UUUUUUUGAGCUCGUUUUGUCAGGAAUUGCAGAAGAACUUGGAUUGUAUGGAAGAAGCGGUGGAUGAAGAAGAUGAAGAAAAAGGAAUAUGUGACAGAUGGAGAGGAAAGUACAGAGAAAUGAGAGUGACGAUGAAGAUGAAUGGGAGACAGUGAGAGCAGAGGGAGAGAGAAAGAGAGUUUGUUUUUGGUCCCUCUGCAGGUUACAGUGAGAGAAGGGAAAAUCUGCUUGCAUUGCAAGAAACCAGAAUCAGAACCGAAACUUAAGGGGGGAUUUUCUGGUGGGUUACUAUGUUUGUAGGAAAAAUUCGAGCCGAGUUGGAACUAGGUGCUUGUACGCGCUCGGCAAUUAUCGGGUUGACUGAACCUAUGUCGAUUUGUGUGUUUUAUUAUUAUUUAAAUGUGAUGAAAUGUAUGAUAAAACAUUUUAAUUCUUUCACAGAGUUUUGUAUAGUCGAAAUUAACAAAAUGCAAUUCUACAUGAUAACUUAACACACAUAAAGCAAGUCAAUUUGAAAAUUUUCAACACUAACAUAACACCAAGUAAAAUUAAUUUUUAAUUUCAUUUGACCAUUAUUUAUAAGGGUUAUCAUAGUGAAACUUGAAUUUUAGUCAUUUCCAACAUGUAUGUCAAAUAUUAGCCGAUUUACAAAAUUUGAAAUUUUCUUAUGAAAAUGGUCAAAUUUCCUUAGUAUAACACACGAAAAUUGACCGAUUUUGACAUGCAAAUUAAAACAUUUUAAAUUCACUAAUAUUUUACAUAUAUAUUGAUAAUGGGUAAAAAUUAAUAUUUCACCAUGUUAAUCAUUUUAAAUAAUAGCUAAAUAAAAUUAAAAAAUAAUUUUUUUAAUUUGGAGGAGUCAUCAUAUCCUUAUUGUCAGUCUAUUUUUGUACAUAAAACAAAUAAAAUUGGGGAUUUUAAUAAGUACAAAGCAUUUGGAAUUUUAUGUGGUCCAUAGCUUAAUGUGGGUUGUUGGUAUUUGAAUCAUGUGUAACUAAAUUUGUUGUUGAUUAUGUAAUGCUAUGUGUAGCAAUUCUCAAUACUUCCAUCACUAGAGUAUAAAGAAAUCCCAGUCGUUUGUCGAUCCCUGAUCUUAAUACUCGGACGAGGCUCUUCUUCCUGAAACUCCAUGACCGUGUGGUUUAACUUCUCACCGCCUUUCGAACGAGGAUCGCACUUACCACCAUUACUAAACCCUCUCUUCUGCUCACCACCAUUCAUCAUCUUCAUAAUGUUCAUACCUCCUCCAUGCUCUCCAUGCUCAUCCUUCUGUUGAGAAGGAGAAGGGGCAUAAGGAUUAUACGGCCCACUAUUACCCUCACCGGGCUGCUUCUGACGAGGCCCAACAGGCCCUUCACGCUCUCCCUCCAUGGGCCUUCCAAACAUUGGAGGUGGAAGCCCAAACUCGAUAUCAUCACCCUGGCCCACCUUCGAGCUGUGUUGGUUUUUGCUCUUCUUGCUGCUCUUAUGACUAUCCUUUCUAUCCUUCUUGAGUUGUUGCCUGUUGCACAGCCGGCCGAGGCAGCAGGCUAGCCCCGAGACCACGAUGAUCAAUUCAAGAGCUUCUAAGCAGAUACCAUGAUACAAUUCUUUGUCAAAGUUCACACAAAUCGGUACAUGUCUCAACUGAUAAGCUUCACUCCAUUCUCAAGAAAGGAGAUCACAACUCUUUAGCUCAUAAACAAUGUAUCAUACAAUACUAACAAUUUAUUUUUCUCCUCUCAAGCUUUGUUAAAGAGAGCCAAUGAGAAUAUCUCUUCCUUUAAACAAUGUAUCAUACAAUGCUGAUAACUUGUUUGUAAAUAUUAUCUGACAUGCAAAAGAUAAUUAAAGCAGAUGCAGAGAAUAAGAAACUACUGGAAACAGUUGAUCGAACUUGGAAAUGAAGAAUAACAAACAUUCAAUACAACUAGCGAGUCGUCUUCAAAACUGUGAAGUGACAGCAAUAAGAACACCACUCACAUCCCAAUCCAUAAACUAACCGGAGUCUGAAACACAUAACUCAAAACAGACGAGAAACCAAAAAGGAAAAGAACACCCUAGUAACCGCCCUUGAGAUCGUUGGUAACAUCGUAAGGGAUGGGAGUGACAGUCUCCAAAGUAACACCACCUUCAACCAUGAAACCAGGCUUGGGACCCUGUGGUUGCCUCUUGGUGCUGAUCACCUCACCUCUUGCCUUGGCAGCUGCCUUGAGCUCGUCAUUCUUCUUCUUCCUGAGUGAGAGCUCCUCGGUGCACCUUGAUGGCAGAACAUGCUCGAUCCUGACGUGGAUCCUCUUCCUCAAGAUUUUACCACGGACCUGAGAUCAAUCACAAAGGAAUCAGCUUUCAGAAUGUCCAAACCAAACAAAAAUAACACUGAUAAGUGCAAAUAUUAUGGUAUAAAAAUGAGAACCCAAAUGUGAAAAAUACUAAACCUAUUCAAAUUAUAGGUUCACAAGGUGGAAAAACGUUUGUUCCCAAUCAAGUAAGGGUGGUUAAUAUAGUGACAGAGUUCAUUCAAGAAACUCAAAUAUAUUCGCAUUAGUUUUCAAAACAAUGGAAGUGCAAACCAUGUUAUAAAUUGAGAACGAAAAUGAGAACAAGACUAUCCAAACUUUAAGCAAUUCAGAUUCUAAGUACACAGGGUGGAAAAAUGUUUGUUCCCAAUCAAGCAAGGGCGAUUUCUGUAGUGAAGUGUUCAAUAAAGAACCUGAAAUAUGUUAACAGGACAGGCCAAAAAUUUAAUCUGGUUCAAGCAAAUGGUUAACAAAGUAGAGAAUCGAAUUCGUAAGUAUCAACAAAGAUCAAGGACAACAUUCAGAGCAUUUCACUUUAGGUAAUUAUCAUGCAUCAUUACUCGUUACUGAUAGAAAUUAGGGUUCACUUCAAAUCUUAUUGUGAAUAACCGCUAUAGAUUGCUUUCUGGCAAUACAUCGAACACCUAAUAGGCAAAAACAUAAACACAUCCACAAUACCAAAAGAAUAGCACAUACAAUCCAUGAAACUAAAUCCUAACCAAAGCUUCAACAAUCAAUGGGCAGUAAACAUUUCCGAUGUGAGUUAAUCGAGUUAUACUACAGAGGCGAUUGGCGAAGUAUUUUUAUACCUGCUUGUUCAUCUCAACGCCGAUGGCGCGCUUUGUGACGUUCCAGACGCGACCGGUGCGGCCGUGGUAGAAUUUGUGAGGCAUACCCUUGUGGAUGGCGCCGUUCACCUUGACGUCGACAUAGUCGCCGACCUUGUAGGUCCUAAGGUAGGUGGUCAGGGGGAUGUAACCCUUCUUCCUGAAUGGCCUCGAGAAGAGAUCUCGAGUUCUGGAGCGGAGACCAUGUCCAGCCGGCAUUUUUCACUCUUGCUUCGUCUUCUUCGCUGAGAGCGGCAGUGGCUGAAGGAAGAAUGAGGCGCUAGGGUUGUGCGAAUAUAAAUACAGAACCCGUAGUUUUGUUCUUAGGGUUUAGUUUAUGGGCCUGACUAUUGGGCCAUAAAUUUGGGCUCCAGGCGUUUCCCGUGUUGGUUAUUCACUUGCCGCGGGUGAGCUGAAGUUUACAGCGUUCAAUUUCAGCUCAUUAUUUUUCCGGCGAGCUUAAUUUUAAAUAUAAGUUGGAAAAUUGAAAAUUGUGUGGAGCUUCAAUCAGUUCAAAUAUUCGAAUUUGACUCGUUAUCCAUUAGUUCGAUUCGAAUUUCACUUUAUAAAAAUUUAUGGCGAUCCCGAUUAAAGUUUGAAUUAUUUAAUCGGUUUCUUAUCUUCUGAAUCAAAAUAGCUAAAAUUAAAAAACUAUGCAAUCUUAGUAUUUUGUUAGAUCUUUUAAAUUAUAUAUGAUUUAUAAUCUACAAUAUUAAAAUGAAACACCAGUUGCAUAACGAGUCUGAGCUCUUAAGUUAAUGUUCGAGCCAUCAAUUGUAUAACGAGUUUGAGCUCUCAAACUAAUAUUUCUAGUUAAAAUUGACUCAAAGUUAAAAUUUGUCACAAAUGAAUUUUCCUCAAAACAAAUCUGCUUAUGAACAACGGUUCGAUUUCUAUAUUAUAAGGAGGAAUCCAUAGGGAGAUUAUUAUAUUUUUUUGGCGCCAAUCUAAGGGGCAAUUGUGUGGAAGCAAGCAUAUGCGGGCAUCAAACGGGUAGUGAUACCAAGACUCAUCUACUCUACUAGAAGAGCUCUCUUCAUGAUUGUCCUCGAACUUUGUGUUACGACGGUAGUUCAUAUUGAUUCGGUAGAGUCAACCCGUCUACUUCUCUCGUCCAUCAUAAAUGUUCAUAUGAGUAUGCUACUCCACAUAUUUUCUUGCCGAAUAGCAUUUAUACAUUUGAACAAAAUCUAGUUCGUUCGGUGUUAGAAUUUAGGAUAAAUACAAGAACAAUUGACAUGCCUAUAUUACGGCAUGUAAGACUUGUAAAUGUUAAAUUUACGUUACGUUAUCUCUCGUCUCGUUGAGUAUUUUUCGUUCUUUCGUGUAUCAAGACAUGAUUAUUUUCUUGAUACCAAGGGAAAAAAGAAAAAACAAACUCAGCCCAUCUCAGCUACCGCCUCGCUGGUUAAAAUGUCUACCUCCACCGGAACCGAGGCCGACGGCGCUGUACCGCCGCCCGAAUUGCCGCAGAACUUAAUCCCCGGCAUCCCAAACGACGUCGCUUUGAUCAUCAUUGCUCGUGUCCCUAGGGCGCAUUUCUUGUCCCUCUCCCAGGUCUCCAGGUCCUUCCGCUCUCUGCUCAAAUCGCCGAUCUUCUACGCCACCCGCACGAUCAUUCGAUCCCCGGAGCCUUGCCUCUACCUCUGCAUCCGCAUCUCCGGCGGCGCUCAGAAUCACUUCCAGUGGUUCACUCUCUGUUCACAGCCUAGAAAUCGGUGGCGGAAUCAUGUCCUAGCCCCGCUCCCAGCCACCCCUUCGACACUCGUCGGCUCCGCAUUUUCCGCCUACAGCACCAAGAUCUACGUAAUCGGCGGAUCAAUCUCCGACGUCCCGACGGCGCUCGUCUGGGCUCUCGAUUGCCGGACUCGCAUGUGGUCGGCCGUCCCCAGCAUGCAGCUCCCUCGAGAAUUCCCCGCCGCAGGCGUGGUAGACGGCAAGAUCUACGUCAUCGGCGGGGCCGCCCGUGGGACCCCACCACAAACGGAAGAACAGCGCGGGUGUUUUUUCUCUUCNNNNNNNNNNNNNNNNNNNNNNNNNNNNNNNNNNNNNNNNNNNNNNNNNNNNNNNNNNNNNNNNNNNNNNNNNNNNNNNNNNNNNNNNNNNNNNNNNNNNNNNNNNNNNNNNNNNNNNNNNNNGUCCUUCCGCUCUCUGCUCAAAUCGCCGAUCUUCUACGCCACCCGCACGAUCAUUCGAUCCCCGGAGCCUUGCCUCUACCUCUGCAUCCGCAUCUCCGGCGGCGCUCAGAAUCACUUCCAGUGGUUCACUCUCUGUUCACAGCCUAGAAAUCGGUGGCGGAAUCAUGUCCUAGCCCCGCUCCCAGCCACCCCUUCGACACUCGUCGGCUCCGCAUUUUCCGCCUACAGCACCAAGAUCUACGUAAUCGGCGGAUCAAUCUCCGACGUCCCGACGGCGCUCGUCUGGGCUCUCGAUUGCCGGACUCGCAUGUGGUCGGCCGUCCCCAGCAUGCAGCUCCCUCGAGAAUCCCCCGCAGCAGGCGUGAUAGACGGCAAGAUCUACGUCAUCGGCGGCUCCGCCGUCGACACCCGAUCACAGUCCAAGCACUGGGCUGAAGUGUUCGAUCCAGCGACUCAGAAAUGGGACACCCUCAAGAGCCCGAUCGAGGACGAGUUCCCACUGCGGCCGAAAUGGAUGCACGCCAGCGCAGUAAUCGGCGCCGGCGGGACGGCUAGAAUCUACGCGAUGGCGGAUCGGCACGGAUUCGUUUACGAGCCGGGGAAUGGGAAAUGGAGGAUGGCGGAGAAGUGGUUGAAUCUAGGGUGGAGGGAGAGGGCGUGUGUGGUGCAUGAUGUUUUGUACUGCUAUGAUUACUGGGGGAAGAUGCAGGGGUUUGAUUUCGAAGCUGGUGGUGGGAGGGGAAUGUGGAAGAAGGUGAGAGGGUUGAGGAGGCUGACGAGGUAUUUGGUCGGAGCGACGAUGGCGAAUGUGGGAGGGAAGUUGAUGUUGGUUUGGGAAGGGAUGGUGAUAGGGAAUGGGAUGGAGAUUUGGUGCGCUGAGAUUGAGGUGGAGAAGAGAGGAGGAGAGUUAUGGGGGAAUGCUAUCUGGUUUGAUGUUGUUUGUAAGGUUCCUCCUGGGUCUUCCGUUGUUCAUUGCUUGGAUAUGACUCUGUGAUUUCGAAUUUUUGAUAUGGUAAGGUCGGAUAUGGUGGUGUUUGUUCUGAUUGUUGUUGUUGUUCUUCAACCUGAGUUUCUGUUCAAAGGUUUGUUUGCCGUGUUAGAUUUGAUUGACACCUGCAGAUUUUUGCAGAACAGUCGGGAUGGAGCAGUGGAGUAGUGGCAUCAAGGAUAAACCAGUGGAUUUUCGCAGAACAGUCAGGAUGGAGCAGUGGAGCAGUGAAGAUUUUCAAGCUCAAAUAUUUUGAACCCCUUUUCGAAGAGACUGUUGUGUAGUUUUUGAAAUAGGAGUUUCAUUUGGUAGGCAAUGGACAAAGAUAAUGCUGAACUCGUCGAAAGACAAGCGAGUGUUCGAUAAAGAAACUGGAGACAAUCAUCUACAGGGGUGCAUAACAGGGCUAGAAGAUAGCGAAAUCAAAUGGAAUGCUGGUCAAAAGUGAUAUAAUCCAACGCAGAGUACCAUAUUCUAGUACAGUAUAUUAAGGCAUGGGUAAAAAAGGUCCUAGAACAAAGAAGGGCAUUCUCCCUAGAGAAGGAAAGCGAUAAAACUAGAUAAUAUUCACCCCUGCAUCCAGAACUGCCAAUCCCCCACAAAAUGCUGCUGCUCAUCUCUCCCAGAUUUAAGCCUGCAACAUAAUCGACCGAAGAAUCCCGAUAUCAGUACUCAUGCAACACAUUCAAGACGAGACGAGCAUAUUUGCGCGUAACCAUUAUCUCUAGUUACCUUGUUAGCGAUGUUGUUGGAGAGCCAGUCCAGACCUUCGUAAAGACCCUCACCAGAAGUAGCACAGGUGCUCUGAAUGUACCUGGAAUGGUCAAAGAUGUUAACAUUAGUUUCGAGGAAACAUAUGCGGAGAACCAAAAAAACACCGACAAACAAGACAAGAGAAUGUUUUACCAGUGACGCUGACGGAGGGAGUGGAGGCCAAGCUUGUCGGUGAUCUCAGCAGCGUUCAUUGCAUUUGGCAGAUCCUGUUUGUUAGCGAAAACAAGCAGCACUGCAUCUCUCAGCUCAUCCUGUAAGCAAUGGCCAACAUGGAUUAGUGUCAUUGGUACUUCACCUCACAUCAAUAAUUCAUACAUCAGAGGCACAUAACAACAGCAAUAAAAGAGAAUCAUACUCGUACAGAACAAUAAGCAAAAGAGAAAUGAACUAGUAAAGAUAGGCAUAAGAGCUGAGUUGUCCUCACAAUGGAUUUUUUAGAGAUAGUAUACUAAGCAGUAAGAAUUAGACAUGUACUCAGUUGGGAUAUAGAUUGCAAGCAGCAAAAAUGCUAAUAAUGAAACGUGUUUAUUUCAGCAUUAGAUAAAUUGAAAGCGAAAAGGAAGCACAAGCAUUAAGCAGCACAACUAGUUUCUUAUAUUUCAUUGGCCAGCAGAGCUAAAUGGCCAAUAACUGCACGAGUAAUUAUAAGUUCAAUGUUUAUACACAAUUACGGAAAACAAAAGGAUUUACCUCAUUCAACAUCCUGUGCAACUCAUCUCUGGCCUCAACAACACGAUCUCUGUCAUUGCUGUCCACAACAAAGAUGAGACCCUGAGUGUUCUGGAAAUAAUGCCUCCACAAUGGACGGAUCUAUACAUGAAAACAUCCACUUUUCAUCAAUAAUUAGACUGUCAAGUAAGAACUCCCACCAACUAAACCAGGCGGCAGUGCAAAAAUAUUACAUCCAAAAGAGCGCAUCGGGGAAAAUCACAUACCUUGUCCUGACCCCCGACAUCCCACACUGUGAAGCUAAUGUUCUUGUAUUCAACAGUCUCCACGUUGAAUCCUGAAGAUCAGAAGCAAACAUUAGCCUGAGAGUCAUAAUUCCUAACCAGCCGCCUAUACAUCUGAGAUCUUUAUAAACAAUUACACCAAUGUCUAAAACUAGCACGUGAUCACCAACCAUCAAAACUUUUGAAAAAUGGAUGAGUUGAUCUCACAAAAUGAUGACAGAAUCACAUCCACUUAUACCAAUGCACAACAAUAACGGUUUCAGCUACACAGUAUUAGCCUUGGAAAUUGUACAUCACAACAGAAAGGAUGCUUACCGAUGGUGGGAAUGGUGGUGACGAUCUCUCCGAGCUUGAGCUUAUACAAGAUGGUGGUCUUACCAGCCGCAUCGAGACCAACCAUGAGAAUCCUCAUCUCCUUCUUGGCAAACAGCCGGCUGAACAGCUUAGUGAACGUCAACCCCAUUUUUCUCUUCCUUUGAUGUUCUGAUCCCUGCACACACAAUCGAAUUACACCCUAAACAUCACCUCACUGAAAACUGAAUCGAAUCACCAACUACACAGAUCCAAUCCAACAGAUCCGCGCGCCAAAUGCGAUGAGCUCACACAAGCUAACAAAAAAGAAACGAAAUCACUAGCUCUGAAAUCCAGAAUUCCAGCAGCUAAUCAGAUCUAACCCGAUCUCACGACGAGGAGGCCAUCAGAUCAGAACGAUGCCGCGAAACGAAAUUGACAAAAGAGAAUCAACGUCGCGUAAUCAGAUCAGGAAAGUAUAGUUAAAUCGAGAGAGGUGGAAAUCGAGAUCGUACCUUCGCAGACGGGAUCGGCGAUGAGGUGAAAAACGCGAACAGAGAGAUGAAAAAAGAAACUGAAGCUUUGAAACGAACGGGUGAGAGAAAUUUGGAAAGAUGGGAGGAAAGGUUUAUAAAGGCGAGGGGAUUUGAAGGGAAUUGACGGGACUACCCUUGUGAGAUGGAAUAAUUAACUAGAUUAGUGUCUACGCGAUCAUUGCGUAUGGGAUGCUGCCACGUCGGUGGGCUGAAUGAAUGAAAAAUGGGGAUUAAAUGUUCCAUCACAUUAAUUCUGAUGGCUAAUCUUGUUCCUUAAUCACGAACAAUCAUUAAAUGGUCGUUUAGUAGAUCAAUGUCUCAAAAAAUCUCUAUUCAAUAGCUAUAUUUAUGAAGCGGAAGGAUACCUCCUUUUGAAAGGUGAAUUAGGGUUUUCAUAACCCUUAAGCUUUUGGCGUCUAUCGCCGUUUUCCUUCCACCGAACCUUCAUCCGAUAAAAUUAUCAUCGCCGUCCCUAUCACGACUACACAAUCAAGGUCAGCCUAGGGUUUCAGAAACCCCUUGGCGUUUUUCUUUAGGGAUCGAUCGCUGCAUCACUACGUCGCUCUCCUCCCCUUACUCAGCAUCGUCGUCGCUCACCCGACACCUCCCUCUUCUCCUCCCGUUGAUCACCAUGGCGAGCACUCCGACAGCUGUUGCAGAAAUAGUAAUGCAACGACAGCUUGAUGCGCUGCAGCUAAUAGAGCGGAGAACGAGAGCCCCUCCAAACAAAUGAAGAGUAUUCAGGAAAACUCAAAAUACCUGACAACGGCAGACCUGGACAAUAGGUCCUGCCUUGAGGAGUGAUCCGUCGGCGAAAACUCACUCGAAAUAUCGCCCUCUUCGAGUGUUUGAUGUUUUGGGUGUCCCCAAUUUAGGCUCUACCGGUCGUUUAUUGAUUUCUUAGUUUUGAAUGUGUCUUUCUGCUUGAACAAUUAUUUCUUAUUUGCCUUCACUUUUGUUGUCGGGUAGAGUUUAGUGUUUGGGAUGUUAACCCGUGUUCAAGGGUUUCUAAUAUAGAGGUGAUUGGAAGCACAAAAGUAGUAACUCAAACUACUCUCUACUCGUUAUGAGUGGUAAUCCUCUCUAGAGAUUGUUAGACAAGUUGAAUAUCAUUUUACUAAGAAUAUAAUAAUAUAAGUAGAUCAAAUUCGAAAAAAAAUCAUAGAUCAAUAUCCAAAAAAAUGCAUAAUGAUGUAGCCUUGUUAAAUAGCUAUAUCAUGAUCAAGCUGACCAAACAAAGCCCUUUGCUUGGUUCAAUUCCAACUUUCUUUCGGCUUACAAGAAGAUGAAAUAAAACUACACGUAAAGUUGAUAUUAACAUAUGGUCAUGUCUUAACAGUUAAGCUUGAUGUGGGUUGAAUAGUUUAUUUAGGAAUGUAUUAUUAAACCUUGUUACAAUUAUUAGCUUCCUUAAUCAAGACCCCCAUUUGAAAAAAUCAUUGUUAACCCAUAAUAAUCACAACCAAUUAAUUGCAACUAAUCUUCCCCAUUUUUUGUUGGUGGAUCACCGUCUCGGAACUAACAUGUUCGGCUUUGGAUCAUUCGCGAUUCUGUGGCAUGCUGAGCUACCAGUUUGGACCAACUCGGUAAACUAAUUGUAGGACGUUGUUGGAAGACAAUGCACGAACUUUUCGGUUCGAAGAGCUACUAAAUACGACAAUGUAGAAGAAAGAUAUGAAUGCACUAUCUCAGCACGACCAGGAAAAUAUAAAAGAGUAUGUCUGUAAUUCGUAGAACUUUGCAUUCAAUUUCUGGGAGAAUGGCUUGUUUAAGUUAAUGCUAACAAACCUUUGUUAACUGAGAUCACCUUCUAACUUUUCAUAUGAAUAAUAGGGUUACACAUAAAAAGCGAUUGCCCGUGAGCCAAGAAACUUAUGUACAGUGAGAAACUAUCUAUACAUCGAAUUACCUUUUUCGCCACCUUCGUCUUCCUCCGUAACCUCUUUAACCGUUGAUGUUUGCAGAAGCUGGAACUUAGCGCCAGUACUGAGCCCAACGGUGAAUAGUCUCCACCAUUUGAGGGAACAAUGCGCUGACGCUCUCGUUGAUCAGGUCCUGGAAGAAAUGGAUGGCUGCUUCGUCGUCCAAGUCCAGCCGGAACUUCUCCUGGAGCUGCAAUGAUUCGGCGAAGCUUUUAGUAUGUAUACAAGUCCACGUGUUAUGUACAUAAGUUACGGUAUUUACCUUGAGUAUUCCCUUCUCUGGAUCGGAAGCGAUAUCGGGGAUAUUGGAACCGGCCAUCAGAUGGAAAAGGUUAAGGAUUAGGUUGCUUGAUUUCCGGAGGAUGUUGUAUGCUUCGCAGCAAUAUGAUUUGAACCUGGUGUAGUAUUGGCUAUAUAGCACAGGGGAAAGAGGAAACUAGUCACGUUCUAUAGCUCGUUUGGAUAGGAAAGGUUGCGAAAUUAACUAUAAGAAGACCAAUACCUUUCUGCGCCACCCAUCGCCUCGACCAUCUCUUUGCAAAGCUUCAUCGGUGGCGGAAAUGGUUUAGGAUCUCGGCCGAGAAUAUAACCAAAGUCGACGUGGAACAUGCGCCCGUCGUCUCUGAGUAGAAGAUUGUCCAAGUGUCUGCAAAGUCUCUGAGUAGGUAAAUUUCAAGAACAAGAGGCGAAGUUGUCUGACAACUUGUCUCAACAAAUCCAAACGGGAAGAAUUGCUCCGAAUAAGGAUUAGUGAAUAGUGAUCAUCAGGGUGAUACCUAGCCGCUCAAAACAGCUUAAAUGGUUGGUUACCUAUCUCCGAUGCCCAGUAUAUAUGUGAUGACAGAAUAGCCUGCACAGCUUUUAAUAAACGUCUCGAGACAAGUGGGAGUGAUCCCAAAGGGCCCGUGAUCAUCAGGAUGAAACUUCUGUAAAUAGCUUGUAAUGCUACGAUGCUCCGAGAGAAUCUGGAUUUCGACAACCAAGACAAACGAAAUGGAUGAACGUUGAGGAAUAAAGGCUAUUGACUGAAGCUGAAUGACAGUAGUCCUGAUAAUGUUUAAUGACCAACUACAAUAGAGAACUAUGCAAGACAAGAUGGUUCAUGAAAGGACACUAUCUAGGAUAUACCUGAGCCAAAGUUCGUGAGGGUAUGAAUUCGAGCAUGCCCUCAUCUUGUCCAGUAGCAAGAACUUUAUAUGGAGUCAAAUGCAGAUCAAGAUUUUCCAACUUAAGCAACCGAUCCAUUAGAGAAACCAUCUGAACAACCUGUAAGUCCAUAAACCUGUUACCUGUCAAACAUAUGAUAAUCUCUUCGGAAUUUUUUUAACAUUCUCCCACUUGUUUCAAAUGGAUCGGAAGAUUUGUGAUUACAUGCAAAGACUAGACUUUGAGGAGGAAAAAGGAAAAAAGUACUGCAGAUAUAGAAAGCAAAAAGACUUUUGAAAGUCUUGCUAAGAAAGUACCAGUUGGUCUUGCCGAAUAUCAUCACCCUUCUUAAAAAUGAUCAUAGAAGUUCCACCACUCUGUGUUCUGAAAGUCAGGCGCAGGGGGUGCAGCGCACUUUUGAAUAUUGAUGACUCCGAUGGCACAAUCCCAGAAAUGAGGACAGAUGGAGCCAGUGGAGAUCUUAUCGGCUGAAAGGAAAACGAAUAUUGCAAAGAGAGCCAUACGUAGUUGAACAUCAAUUUUGCAACACUGGCGUUUCAAAGUGUUCAAAUAUCACAAACCAAAAAGUCGGUUGGUAGUUGGUAUAAAACUUAGAUGGAUGAAUACCUCCUCAAAAUAAGUGAGUUCACUGAGAAGCCCAGAAAGAAGCUGUCUAAGCUUUUCAAUUUUCUUCUGAGUGUUGCCUCGAACAUUUCUGACAUCUCUUGUUAUAGAACACAACUGCGCUGUCAAUUCUGUCUGGCGCACUAAACUUUGCCACGACUUGAAUCCAUCCUCUUCUCCGUCUGGACCAGCUAGCAACUAUUACAAAAAUGAUAGAUGAUUGCAAAGUGAGAAUACACCAUCAAUUCUUGCAGCCCCUAUUAAUUGACAAUACAGAUUGAUAUGCUCCACUCUCAAGUGUUACAUUUAGCGAGGAAUCCAGUCCCCUCGGAUUUCUAAAAUGAAUAGUAGACUCAGAAGUGUUCAGAGAAUAUAUAGUAAGAGUGUAAGACACAGAUAAAUGUAUUAGAGAACAUUCGGCCGAUCUCUUGGAUUCAUACCUUCAUCAUAUUCUCUUCUAGGAGCUCAUGAGUACAAUAAAAGCGUUUGGUAUAAGCGUGAUCAUAAAAUUCCACAGCAACGUACCAUCGGAGAAAGCUAGCCAACUCAAUGUUGUUUAAUGCUGUCAAGAUGAAUAAGGUUUCAGCUACAGAAAACAAGCUUAACUGCUAAGUUGCACCAGAAAAUUAAACAGACACGGCAAUCCAUAAUUAGGCAUUUUGGCUACAGUACUUACAGCGUUGCACAAGGAACUGAGAAAGACGAGAUUUAUCGGAUCGUUCAAAUCUUAGCGCCUGAACUAGUUGAAGCAAGUAACAUUGGAGUUCUUCAUCAUCAGCCCUCUCCAAAACAGUGACAGCAUAAGCACGAACCUGUUUUCUCAGAUAAAUAUGACCACUCAAUCAAGUGUUCAUCACUCUUUUCCUAGCUACGACAAUAAUGUCUUAAGAGCCACUGUAUUUAAUUUUUCAGCACAAGCUUUCAAUUUUGGAAAAGAAAUCAAUUCUUCAAACAUCUCCUUCCUCAACAGUAUCCAUAACUUUCUCAACAGAAUGGAGAAAGCCUACAGCAUUGGGCGAGCAUAAUUUCACCAAAGACCUACCUCUUCACUUUCAAAAAGAGGAGAUAGAAGCUCAAGCGCAUCAGAGACAUCAAUAGUUUCCCAUUUGCCCAUCAACUCUAGCGCUUGUUUUGCUUCCUGUAUAUACAUGGUGCACUAAUCAGGAUUCAAAGUUGUAUUUGAGGAAAACGAGGAGGAGAAACCAGUAGAAGAUACAUGACAAAAGACAUUAAGGAAAAAGUAUUAUAUCAUACAGAUACUAUUGACAGUUGCAUGCAGCUAAGUUCUUAAACUCCUGCCAGGAAUAAUAGCGAAUGCUAACCUGAAGGUCACUCCACUCCACGCAUCGGAGAAACUUUGUCAGUGCCCUCUUUUCAGACAUCAAAGAAAACCGGAAUUUCCAUAAGAGUUGUCUCUCAUCACCACUCAAUGAUCGUGUUGGUGGGUAUUUUAAAAUUCUUUGUAUCGACCUGGAGAGAAAUUCAUGCACAAUUUAAGCUCAGAAGUCAAAAGGGCAUAGGAGCUCGAUGCCAAGAACACUGCAAUUGCUUUCUUACUUUCUUUCGUUGGAGCUUGGCUUCAAAUCCUUGUCAAUGAUACCUCGUGUUAAGCUCCUUGCUAAUUUCAGUUGCUUGUGCUCAGAAGGAUUUAUCUUACCCAUUUCAGGGUCCCACACAGUAACAAGUUCAUUCGUUGAAGAAAUGGGUGAUGGGAAUACAAAAUUUGCCCCUGAUUCCUACAGGUGAAAAAAGGGAAACAUCAUAAUCACAAAACUUAUUCAUCCCGCUCUACCAAUAAAGCAAGUCAAAAUUCCCAUAGGUAAUACAAUUUACCAUCAUACAAAGUGUUGUAGUUAGGAACUGAUGACCAGUAGCAACACAAAGAAAGAACUUGAAGCAGAAGACCAUAGAAAAAUCUGAUGGUACACAUAAGAUACCUGGAAAACAACUCUAUGUUCAAAGCUGCAGAAAUCAACAACCAAGUAAAGAUGCGAACUUCCGGUUUUAGAGCUCUCACGUUCCUUAAUUUUCUCCAUUGAUUUAAACGUAAGCCGAUCGAGCCAAUCUACACGUUGAAUCUGUCCUCUUUCGUAUUUAUUCAGAAGCUUCUCCAGACUCUCCAAUUCUCCACGCUCGUGCCUUGGGACCUGAUAGAGAAGCACAUCAGAUUCUAUUCCAGAUUGAAAAUUACAAGCAAAGGGGUAAGAAGUAACCUUUCCAGGUGUAGUAGUAGGAAAUGAUCCAUCAGCUUCUUUUCCCGACCAAAGCCUAAGCUUCAGCUUACCCGUUUUAAGUUGCAACUUACUGUUGAAAAGAGGAAUAGUAGCCCCACCAAUGAGCCCUUCGUCUUUUCCACGUGAAACAUCCCAAACCUGAAUUUUCCAAAUAGUUCAACAUCACCAGAAAUUUCAACUCCAGAUGAGGGAGCACAAAAGUGAAAAAAACUCUCUAUUGCCUGAUAAUUUGCAUUACAUUACAGGGCAAGUUCAAAAUCAUUAACCAACAGUAGGCAGUACAUGACAACAGGGGCACCUUCCAUCUCCAAACCAUUCAUCAAAACUACUUAAUUUCCACCAUCUACAGGUUUAAGUAGGAAUAGGUGGACCUUGUAGGAAGUUCCCUGACCAACGGGGCACAGAAGUGGAUAUACUUCAUAGAGAGCAGCUAAAUGAAAGAGGUUCUCAACUUACUGUCAACGCGAGCUGUGAGUAUCUACUCAGGUCCCUAUAUUUAGUACUCAAUGUGAUGAGUUCAUUCCAGCAUGCUGAGGUUCCAUUAGUCUCCAGCCUGGUACAAACGGGAAGGAAUGACCAGAAAUCCUUUGAGAAACUAAUCCAGAUAAUACAGAUGAUCCGGAACAAGCAAUGACAAAAGAAAAACUACAAAAUCACACUCAAGUCACCUUGUUCGCAUUGGAAGACCAAAGGGAGCUCCAUCCAUACACAGUACACACUCAACAUACAGCUCUGCUCUUCUCUCUUCCGUAGUGGAAUCAAGCCCUGAAGGAAACACCAGAACAAGAAUACUGUAACCAGAACUUGAACUAAGUUCAUGAUACCAGCGCAGCUCAUUUUUGUUCUCCGUAACUAGCAGAAACACUAGAUGAUCAAUCUAAACAUCUAGCAAAAACUGAAUCCAUCCGUUAUACUAAUACACAAGAACGAGCUGCAAUUUUCACCGAAUCGAGUUCAAAAUGCUAAGGCAAAGCUCAUUCAUGCAGAAUAAAAAAUUAAACAAAAGAGAAGGUAACCUGAGUCCGGCAAUUUGACAGGAGGCAAGGAUCCUUCCAAUCUCUCGAUUCGGAAUGUCACCGGGAGAUUGAUGUCGUACGAUAGGAAGAAUCGGAACUCGUUCCGGCUCAUUGAAUUUUCCAGCAAUUGCAGAAACCCCUAGGUUUCUUCCCCGGGACUGAAGAGUUGCUCCCAACCGAGUUGGAGCAAUCUGAGAGAACGGAAAUUUUCGAAUUCCGGCCGCCGGAAGUUUGGAGAGUUUAGUAAUUACUUGUUCUGUGUAUCUGUUGCAGCUGAAAUCCCACUGUGCUCCGUGUUGUUAAUCAAAGGGAAGAAGGAGCAAGAUUGAUUGAUGCACGAAACGAACACGAGAGGAUUUUGUUCCACGUAAGCAAUCGCCAUGUCAUCAGCUGUUGAUGGAAUUAUCUGGACCCGUUAAAAUUUCAGCCUGUUUAUAAGUGGGCUAGGCUAGAAGCCCAUGUUAGUUGGGAAUAUAUUCUGAUUCUGAAUAAGGAUUCAGAAUUUUUUGCAUUUUGAAGGCAGAAUCUCAAAUUUAAGGUGUGAUUUGGUGCAACACUCCACGAUCUCAUAAUCUCAAUCAACAAACUUAGUAUUUAUAAUCGAAAGAUAACAUAGAAUCACAACAUUCUAAUAUCUAAAUUCAUAAUAAUCAAAAUUCAAGGAUGAUCCAAACUUGUAACGUACAUUUUCUAAUUAUGUUUGCCCCUAUUAUGUCAUGAGUCAUGACCAAAUCGGAACAUCGAACGGAAUGAACAACAGUUGAAAAGUUGGAGAUUCAACACAUCUUCUUAAGAGCUAGACGGUUCAAUGCCGUAACAACUAAUACCGCAGACUAUCAUCCAUCAUUGUCAUUUCGAUAACGAAAACAACGAAUGAUCCUAUGGCUCCUAUUCAUAAGAGCUCAAACCAUCCUGCUAUACACAAAAACAAGUCUCCAAUCUCGCCCUCUCCAGUUCAGCUGAUGCUACUUACAAACCAAAUCUCAGCUUCUUACUAUCUUUAAUCAACCACAUUUUGCACAAACAUGGGUGGCUUCUCCACCUCUCCAUUUUGUGCCUCCACAUCCAUAGCAGAAAGCAGUCCCGCACCUGUUUCAUCAACAACUUAAAAGGUUUGUAAUAUAACAGGAAACAUAAAUUACUUGUAUUCUCUGUAGAAUGUUAGCCUCAAGGUUAGAAACCAAGUUGCAAAUGAAAUUCAUCAAUACCUGGAGAAACUUUACCAUUGGACACACUCUGUCUCUAAUCAUUUUAGCAAAAUAUAAGAUGGGCACAUCCAGUAAGUGGGAAGUUCACCAGUCCUAGUAUCAUCUGGAAAUCUUCCCACUUUCUAGCACCAUGAGACAGGAAGACACCUAACCUAACCCACAUGUUCUCAUACUCAGUAGAUUGUUUGCCCACCAAGGUUUGAGCGGAUGGCGGAACCAGGGGUGGCCGAACCUAGGCCACCAUCCAGGAUCCCUCGAUUCAAAGUGAGAAAAUUCUGUGUUAAAUUUUCAAAAUUAAAGUGUUUUACCACGAAUUUCGCCCAGCGAGCCUCUGUAAAGUUGAAACCCUGCUCAAGGUCUCCAACCAUCCUAAUUCUGCUAUUCAAGUCAACCCAGAAAGCUAAUGGAUGUUGAAGUCCCAUUAUAUGUCAUCUACUAAUAGUCUAAUACUAGUAUACCAGUUGGCAUUGCUAAGAAAGUUCGGAAAUUUGACAACCAACUCACAGAUGAUCACUCGCCAACAAGAGACAGUAAAACUGUACCUGCAUUUGAUGUAUCUGCAACCCACAAUCCUGUCAACGUAGAUUUUACAACUGGGACACCUCUUCCAACUCUUCUUACCCGCCAGAUUCAUCAGCAUAAUAUCUUCCUUCUCCCUCUCAUCCUUAUGCAGCUUCUGAAAAUUGUCGCAGUCAAUCUCCGAAUGCCAGGGAACUUUACACCGAGCACAGAACAACCUGCAGCAAUGGGGGCACUCGGAUUGCGUAACCACCUCACCUCCAUCGUCAACCAGCAUAGCUGAACAAUCCUUGAACGGACAGUAAAACUUCUGAGCACCCAAGAUCAAAGCCUCGCACAGGGAAUUCCCCCACCUGUCAAACACUUCCUGAGGAAGAAUCGAUCUGCAGUGCUCUGGCUCCAAAACCCCACCACAACCCGAAACAGGACAGCUGAUCAUCGACACAUUGUCCUGCAACUUCGAACCUACGUAUUUGGACAUACACUGCUUGCAGUAAGCGUGUGAGCAUCCUUUGAUCGGGAAAGACUCGUUUACCGUCUGCGCUUCCGCACAGAUCUCGCAGAGGAACUCUGCAUUCGGAUUCGGGUCGGGUUGGGGAGGGUUUGAGUUCGAGGCCUGACCCGGUUCGGUAGUGGAAUUAAAAACUCGAGAAAACGAAGGAGUGGUGGAGUGGAGCAAAGUGAUGUCGUCGUCGAACAAUGAGAGGUCGAUGAAAUUGCUGUCGCCAUUGAUGCCGGCGGCGAUUUGGAGAGAAGCUAGGAUUGCGAGGUUGAGGUCUCGGUCUUCGGCGUAGGUUUCGACUGAGAUCGGAGUUUUCUUGGUUUUGCCGCGGUCGGAGAUAGGCGUGAAGGAGAAGUAAUCGCCGUCGUCGUCGUCGAGGAGGUCGACAAUCUCGAUCGCCGAGGUCGACGGUCCGGCCAUUUCUUUUUGGCGGCGCGGCGGAGACUGGAGAGGGGUUUCCUUUGGGGUUUUGGAUUCACGUGUUACAGACUUACCGUGGAGGGGAAAGUCUAUGGAAAUUUCCAGGUCAUAUUUAGGGGAAUUAUUUUGGGAUAAAAAUUAUGGAAAAUUCAAAAUGUAGAAAGUGACGUGAAAAAUAUUAGGUGAUUUGAAAAUUUUGGAAUUUUUUUUAUGAUAAUAGUUAAUUUUUAUAGGUAAUUUUUGGAAAUUGAUCACUGUCGAAAUGAAAUUUUUUAAAUUAAUUAAUAUUUGACAUUUAUGUUGAAAAUGACUAAAAAUUGAUAUUUUACCAUGUUAAACCCUUUUAAUAAUACCAAAUAAAGUUAAAAACAUUUUCUUAAGGGUUUUUAUUAUUGUUAUUAGUGGAAAUGUAUGUGUUUUCGAUUACAAAAAUUUUUAUUGAAUAUACCGUAUACACAUAUGUCGAAGUCUCCACCAUAAAAAUAUUGACAUAUUAACAAAAUUAAAUGUUAUUAACAUACCACGAACCGAUUUACAUUACAACAACAUUCCGUACGUCUUUCCAUGUUUGAUACACAUUCUUCAAUCAAAGCACUCGUAGGAAUAUAUUAUCUUCAUCAAGCAAAUCAUCCAGUACAGAAUAUUUGUAUAACUCUAGUACAUAUAUGACACAAUGUGCAACCUACAUAAACUAUAUACUCAACACGAAUCGCGAUCGGUUUGGGGCCGGUUGCUUGUCGGCUUACCAAGUUGGAGGCAUUGAAUCGGAGGAACAGCCGGAGUGUUCAACUCUCCGAAUGUAUUCCAGCAGAACGGAUCGUACAUGUGGAACUUCUCUUGCAGCGGUUUCAACUCAAUGCUGGUUAAGCUUAUGUCCGCACAUGGUAAGUUGUCGCUGCAGGCGAAAUGCACGGGCUUCACCGUGUAGGUUCCUUUGAUUUGUUCGUAGUUGAUCCCCGAUACCGACACCGCUGAUGAUUGGUUCUUACAUGUAGCCUUGUCACAAUAGUAUUGGUCGAUUACGAUUGGGAAUUGGACUUCGGAAACUUGAAUGUUUGAGAACAUGAUCCCGUACACCGAGCCUGAUCCGCCCUGCGAGAUAACCAACUUGACUGUGAAUCUGUGACUGAGUGUAGAUAUAGCAAGUAGUGGAGAUUGGUUGAAUAUAUACCUGCCAUGUCUUGAUCCUAACACCGGUCAUUGUGUUGUGCAUGUUGACGUUUUUGACAGUGACGUUAGAGACGCAGGCUCGCGCAUUGUCCCUUCCCAAACUUCCGAUGCUGAUUCCGUGGCCUGGACCGCAGUUUACGUCAUGUAUGUAUACAUUUGAGCAUCCUGUUUGUAUGGAAAUGCAGUCGUCUCCUGCAUAAUUGAUGGAAAUAAUGUGUUAAUUCACAUGUGGUAUUUGAUGAAUAAAUAGGUUUAUUACUAUAUUAUCCUUAUAAAGCUCAAUUUCUAAUGAAGACAAUGAACGUGUUUGUGAGAUUUUUUUGUUAUAUGUUUUAUUGUAAAAUGAUGUUUUAUGUUUUAAAGUUUUUUGAAGUUGGAUGAUGUGGUAGCCUUAUAUUUAAAUUUUUAAUUAAUAAAUUAUGUAGGGAUUGGGAUAUUUAUUGGUAUUCGAAAUCCACGAGUUUGUGAUGCGUAUGAAUAUUGAUAUUCGGAUGGGGACGGGGAUGAAGAUGAAUUUUAUGAAUAGGUAUGUAGAUGGGUAUAGGUACUCCGCCCGAAUCCAGCCCUAUUGUCAAACUUAGUUGUGAAAAGGAAGAACAGACCAAUGGUAGUUUGGGGUUUAAAAAAUAAUGGAGUGUUAUGAAACCCACUAAUUCAAAUACCACAUCAACUCAAGUAUUUCAAAUACCACCAAAACCCACUAUUUUAAUACCUCAUGUCAAAUUACCAUCAAUUCUAUUUUGGAUGCUAAACAUAAUAUUUUGCCCCAAAUACCGCUUUCAAAUACUCAAUUCAAACGAUCUGAAAUUACCAUAAUCAAUGUAAUUACCGCAUGCAAGGAGGCUGCUAUGGAUCAGCACAUCUCUGGAAUUCUGCAAGUGGACUCCAUCUGUAUUAGGACUAUCUCCAGGAGACGAGACUCUAAUAUGAUGUACCAUCACUCCAAUGCAGUUGUCAAACUUGAGGUGGCAUUGUGGACUGUUCUGAAUCGUUAUGCCUGUCACCGUCACAUUCACACUUCCAUAAAACCUCAGUGCCUGCAAGAGAACAAAGCUUAUGUCAAUCCUAGUACAAACUACAUGAUCAUUCACAAAAUUCAUCAGUAAGCUAAUCCUUACCGUUGGCUUGAUGCUUGGCAUUUUGCUACUGAGUUCACUUCUUACCUGCCAGAAGAAUUUUUCGGAAUGAGAAUCUGCAGUUGAUGCUCCUACAAAUCGAAGGUGCAUCAACUAAUAAUUAGUUACCGUUCGUGGUGGUUGCUUCUCUAGAGUGCUGUUUAACAGGAUAAUCUGCUGCGUUAAUCCGUCUUCGAGUACAUCGAUUGGAUUGUCUUGCCACCACACUGAACCACUCCCAUCAAUGGUACCUUUCCCUUGGAUUGUGAUCUGUGCUAGCUUGCUGAAUUCCAGCCACUGCAGCAAUCCUUUGCCCCAAACGUAGGAGUUCGUUGGUGCAACAAUUGUGCCAUCCAGCUACGAAAGGUAAAGGGAGCUCAGAAGUGUUAAGCUGCGAAUUCUCAACCUCCAGUGGAACGGAAAUAUUAUCGGUUUGAUACCUGGAAGGUGAUGCCUUGCUGACAGUAUGGACCAGAGAAAGAAAUAGGUCCAACAAGGAAUCGAUGUUGCUCUGGAACAAGCAUAAUUGAAUUUGCAACUUUGCAAGCAGCUGCCCAUGCACCCUGGAAUGCCUGAAAGACAAAAUCGAAUCGUAAAAUUGUAAGAUUUCAAGGCAUAAGUAUGUGGAAUAACUCUACUCAUAUGAAGAUGACAUUCAAAUGGACCAAGCAGAAUUAUCCGUCUGUUCAUCUACGUAUGCUAUGGUAUAUCGAGACGAAAGCGAAAAGUAAAAAGUUCGACGAGUAGGAAAAACCGAAACCUUUGUGUCAUCGCUCUUUCCAUCUCCCUUGGCACCAAAGUUGACGACAUUGAAUGUCAACGAAUCUGCGUGCGGCCUAGUAGGCGAAGGAGGUUCCGGUGAUGCUACUGGAACAUGCUUUGGUGGUUUCAUCGGAGACGGGGAAUUAGGAGCUAUAGGUGAAGGAGCUUUCUUUGGCGACUUUGACGAUCUGCCGCCAUUGUAAUGGUUGUUACUAUGGUGGCUGCUUCCAUGGCUUUUGACCUUCUUCUUUGUCAGAGAAGCUGAAAACCCUCUGUUCUGCCUCCAAUGCUUGCCUCUCCUUGCAAUGCAAGUAUCAAAACUUGCUGACCAAACUAGAAACGCAACCAACACCAUGAAUGUGAAGCUUCUCCGGUUCACCCCUUCCAUCUUUGCUGUGGGAAAACAGAGAAAUGGCUAGAGUGUUUAUAUAGUGUCUAUGUAGAAGCUGUAGAAAACAAUUGAUUUACAUGAGCAAUAAGAUGAUAGUGGUUUUCUCUUAUAUCAAUGAUAAGGAAGUUGUAUGAGAUGGUAUUUAAUGUUCAUUCUUUUGUCCUUUUAUCUCUGUUUGGUUUCUGGUCCUGUGAAUUUUGGUUGGGCAGAUUAUAGGCUGCUAGCUAGACAGACAAACAUCAAAGUGAAAGGGCUGAUUUCAGAGGCCACUUGGCGUUGUGAUGUUGCAUGUGACUCGUUCAAAAUAUUUCCUUGCUUUGUCCAAACAUUAGUGUAAUUUUAUGAACACGUUGCUUAUGGUUUAGCAAAUUAUUUAUCACAGGCUUUGUAGCAUUUGCUAUAUACUUAACAAACAAACCAGCAGGAUAAACACAAGUAGUUUGCCUGCAUAUUCUGGAAAGUUACACCAGUUUUCCCUCCCUUCAUUGAUUGAUUUCCAACUUCUUUAAGCUUAUUUCAUGUGUGAUUACUGCUAAAUGUUACUUUACGAAGAACUAACCGCUUAAUCGAUUAGGAUUUGCAGAUUGCUGAGCUUGAUUUGUUGAACAAGACCCUGAAUCCUGAUGACACAGUGGCUGGUAUUGACCGAAAAUGCUAUUGAUCCGAUAGCCUUUUCUUUCUAAUCAACCCGAUAGAUUUGGCCGUUGGAUCAUACCACUUUUAGGUUAACUUUCAUCCAAAUGGAAAAAAUCACAUUAGUGUGGUCAUUGUACGAGCAUGUUAUGUCAUUAAUACGACCAUUUUACAGGCGCGUUAGGUCGUUGUUAUAUCUACCUUACGAGUAGUUGAAUUCAUCAUCGAUACAUCAUUAUUGCAUUAUUGUAUUGACAAAAACAACUUUGGACCGUUAAAUUUGCCAUCGGAUUAAUAAAAAAAGGCUUUCGGAUCAAUAGCAAUUUCGCAAUACAUUAUAACUCGAGCCAUUAAAAUAAGUUGCAGAGAAAACACACGUGAGUGGGUCUAGAAAAAAAGAGAGCACUGACUAGAACCAGAGUAUUAUCAUCACAUGCAUAAAAAAAAAUUACUCACGGGUUGUAGUAAUUGUUUCCUUUUGUCCUCUCCGCACCUUCACCCACCAUCCUUUUUUUCUCAACUCCAAUCCUUUACUUCUUUCACAUUCCCAUCUCUUAGGGUUUAGAGUUUAGAUUCUCUCCGGAUCUUAAUUUUUCGUGGCUAGUAUAAUUGAAUAUAAUGAUGAGUUUUUUUAUACGACAAAGAAUAAGCUAGAUUGUGUCUACCCUUCGAAUAGUCUAGUUAAGCUAGAUUUAACAACCCCAACAAAUACCUACGGGUAGAGCCGCUUGAUACCGACACUCUCAUCUAGACAAGUGAUGUGUUGGGGGACUAAAAAUGGCUCUUCGUUGGUAUAGCUGCCUGAGAAAGAGAACAAAUGGCCUUCCCUAUUUCCUCUCAUUGUAAUACAUUGAUACUCUGGCGAUGCAGAUCUUUUUUCUCAUUGUUUUCCUCUGUGCAGGGUUCAGACUUCAGAGAUCCUUUUUUGUUUCUGUGUGUUUUCUGAUCUCAGUGUUUCAAAAUCAUACCAAAAGAGGACAAAUGAGUACUGAGUUGUUUCUAAAGACACAUGAUUACAAAAGAGUUGCAGCAGCUCGUUGCUGUAAGUCGUACUAUGAGCAACAGAAGCCAACUGAAUACAGUUAAAACCUCCAUUGCCAUCAGCCCAUGGUUUUGCUAAAGGUCAUUUCUUUCCCGUCAUCUCGCCGCUACAGCCAAUAAUUGCUAAUGCACAUAUAUUAAGAAAUCAUGUCCUUUUCUCUAGUGAUUGCAGGUAAAUGUUUGGCUCCGAAAACUAGGCCUUGAACUGCCCGAUAAUCAUGGCUGAGUUGGGAGGUGUUGUAACUUGUAACAGGGUUAUAAUCAUCGUUCUUGUGAGAUUGUUAAUUUUUGUGAAACGUUGAAUUGGGAUGGGAUUGUCAAAGUUUGGGCAUACUAACGGGGAAGACAGCUAGACCUCAGACAUUGUUUAUUCAUCGAUCUGUUUUCGUUAUGUUUUAAUUUUAGAUCGAUUGUUAUCUCAUAAUUGAUUAUAUUAUGUAUGACUUGCUUGGAGCUUUCGAACCUCAUUAACUUGUGAAUGAAAGAUGGGCCAUGGGGAUUUAUGAAAAAGGAAGACAAACUUUUGUUGGAUGAUGCUAAUUCAUUUGAAAAGAUUUUGAUGUGUUCGAUCCAUAUCAUGAUGACGAUGUAUUCUCUACUAUUUAAUAAUUGAACUUUAUAUUUUGUCGGGAACUAAUAAUUUGGUACUAUUUGGUGAUAUGCUCUUUCGGGCUAUUAUGAAAAUGUUUGUAUUUUGAAUUAACAUCAAUUAUCAAUCUGAAUUUCUUGGUUGAAGAUCGAUAAAAAUUGCAAAAAAUAGCUUCAUUAUCACACUAAAACACAAAAUUGAAAGAUCCUUCAUACAGGUAACCAAAAUCAAAACCGAGAUUUUUGCUAUCCGGUUUGAUAAGUAAAUUCAUUGAAAACUGACUUUGGUUUCGGCCCAGCCCACGUACAGCUAGGCCCAAAUCGAAAUUCUGGACGAAGCUUCUCCCCCCGCUAAGUUCCUCCGUUUUGAUUCGCGCCGUUGUCGUCGAGUUCCACUGAGAAAUGGCCGAUCAUACUUCCAUUUCUCUCUGAAUUAGCUAUGGCCACCAGAUUCCUCCUUCCUCUCCGCCGUGCUCAUCUCCGCUUUCUCUCUUCUUUCGCAGCCGUGGAGACAAUUCAAACCGAGCCCUUGCCGGAGCUGGUAAGCCAGAUAUCUCGCCUCCUCAGCGACCACCGGAACCCUCACCACGACUUGGAGCGCUCCCUCCGUACGUACCGCUCUAAACUCUCCUCCGAGGUAGUCGAGCAGGUCUUGAAGCGAUGCAAGAAUCUCGGAUUCUCCGCACACAGAUUCUUCCUCUGGGCCAACACCAUUCCCGGGUUUCAACACACUCCCGAUAGCUUUCACAUUUUGGUCGAUAUUUUGGGUGCCAGUAGGCAGUUUGCUAUACUAUGGGAUUUCCUGAUCGAGAUCAGAGAUUCUGUUUACAGUUUUCAAGUUAAAGCAGAGACAUUUUGGCUUGUCUUUAGAGCUUACAGCAGGGCAAACCUGCCCGAUGAAGCCAUUCGAAGCUUUGGGAGAAUGAGUGAGUUUGAUUUGAAUCCCAGAAUCGAAGAUGUGGAUCAGCUUAUCUAUGUUCUAUCCAAGCGUAAGCAAGUGAAGCAAGCACAGGCCUUUUUUGAUCGAGUUAAGCAUGAAUUGGAGCCAACGGUUAAGACUUACAGCAUAUUAGUGCGCGGGUGGGGUGAUGUUGGGGAUAAUAAGUCUGCAAGGAAGGUGUUCGACGAAAUGAUACAAAGAGGUUGUGCGGUGGAUGUGCUUGCCUACAACAGCUUGUUGGAGGCGUUAUGUAAAGGAGGGAGUGUAGAUGAAGCUUAUAAUAUGUUUGGAGAAUUGGGAUCCGUAGGAAUCAAGCCUGAUGCUUGUAGCUAUGGGAUCUUCAUCCGUGCUUACUGCGAAUCGGAUGAUAUUCAUUCUGCUUUUGGAGUGCUUGAUCGGAUGAGAAGGUAUGAACUUCUACCGAAUGUGUUCACGUAUAACUGCCUGAUCAAGAAGCUAUGUAAAACCGAUUGUGUAGACGAAGCUUACCAGCUUCUGGAUGAGAUGCUUGGGAAGGGAGUGUCUCCGGAUAAUUGGAGUUAUAAUGCGAUAUUAGCGUACCAUUGCGAGCAUACCGAGGUCAAUAGAGCUACCAACCUGGUUUCUCGAAUGGCUAAGGACGGUUGCUCGCCUGACCGGCAUAGCUACAACAUGGUGCUUAAAUUGCUCAUAAGGAUGGGUCGGUUCGACAGGGCUACUCAGGUAUGGGAAAGCAUGGAGGAGAGGAAGUUUUUUCCGUCAGUUUCGACCUAUGCGGUUAUGAUCCAUGGCUUGUGCAAGAAGAAGGGGAAGCUUGAAGAGGCGUGCAAGUAUUUCGAGUUGAUGGUUGAUGAGGGAGUUCCACCAUACUCUUCCACUGUUGAGAUGGUGAGGAACCGGCUUAUGGGGUUUGGACUGAUGGAUAACAUUGAGAUACUUGCUGGUAAGAUGGAAAGAAGCUCUUGUUGUUUGAUACAGGAGUUGGCUAUUGAAAUGAGAGGGAACAAGACUCAUGUGCGGUCUAGAAAGGAAGAAACCGAGUCUGAAAGUGAUUGAUUGCUGAAACCUCCACGACACGGGUGCACUUUUCAGGUAAACCCUCGUACUUUUUGGUGCAUAUUUGAAUUUGACUGUGAAUAUCGAUCAGAAAGGCAAGAAAGCUUCAUACUUUAGUGGUUUUGUGAUGCUAUCUAACGGAUAUUAUGUUAUGAUACUAGUUUUUGUAUAGGCAAAAAGAGCUUAGAGCUCUGUGUGGACAAAGUCCUGACUGGUGGCUUCUGAAACGUCAACAAUGUUCAUGUCUCUGGUAAACUGUGGAUUGGAUGUCGAAGCGUAAUCCUUAUCGUGCGAUGAUAGGCAGUCGACUGAAGGACGAACGAUGCCAUAUGCAGACCCUUCGGCGGAGUUGCAGUAAGUCUCCACAGUGCCAUCUCUUCCUUCUAAGUUGACAUUGAUUAGGACUAUGUCGCUGCAUGGAACCGUAUCGCUGCAAGCAAACUUCAUGGCUUUUGCACUCUUGGAAGUUCCGGUUAUGUUUCUGUACAUGAUCUUGCUUAUCUCCACAGCUUCUGUCUGAAAAUAUUGAAGUUAGAGAAAAUCGAAAUGGAAGAUUGGUCAAAGGCUCUGACUGUUAGUACCUGGUUCUGGCAGGCAUUCGGUGAAUCACAGUAGAACUGGUCGAUGAUGAUAGGAUUUGCAACAUUCUCCAUCUGGACAUUGUCAUAACGAACUCCGCGAACAUGCCCAUUACCACCCUACACCAGAGAAUCAACGGUUAGAUCAGAGAUUUGAGCUUGGGAUUCACCGUAAGGUGCGGUGGUUACCUGCCAUGUCUUGAUUCUGAGGCCAUUAGUCGUGUUCCGGAGGAGCGCUGUGUUUAGGAUAACUCCCGUGACGAUCCCGGUUGAGUUGUCCUGUCCAAGGCUCCCAAUGCUAAGCAGGAAAGAAAACAUCAACAAGUGCUUGAUUAAGCAUAAGCCCGGAUUAUUCUGAAUUAUUUUCUCCCUUUUUGACAUAGAAAUUACCUGAUACCGUGUCCCGGUCCACAGUAGAGUCUCUUCAUCCUGAUGUUGGAACUACCAUUGACGAUGGAGACACAAUCAUCCCCUGAACGUGUAAGUGGAAAAGUUCUGGAAUUAGCUAAACUACAUUCUUAUCUCAUUAAAGAUUGUUACUUUCUUUUCACAGCGGGGAACCUGUUCCGAUUUUGCAGUUUUGGAGAACAACAUCAGUCGACUGAGUAAUGUGGAUCCCGUCUGUGUUGGGACUGUCUCCAGGAGCCGAGACUAACACAUCAGAGACUCGGACUGAGCUGGAUUUCGAGAUCACGAAAUUCAUCUGUUGGCUGUUCUUGAUGGUCAACCCUUUGACUUUCACUCCAGUGCUGGAAUCAAUGGUUAAUGCCUGAAAAAAAAGAUCAUACUCCGUAAUGCCUCGAAAGUUUCAUAAAGCUGUUAGUAAAAUUCAGUUAAAAGCCUCUUACAGUUGGUGCUGCUUUGCAAGGCUGCAUGAACAGAGAAAGGAAAAAACAGUGUAAGAUUUACUUCUGUUAUAUAUAAAGAACAAAAACAAUUAUGGUUUAAGAGAUCAAAUGAACUUGCAUUUGUCUUGUUCUUUUUACAGGAAGCAGCCCACCAUUUACUGCCAGAGCCAUCAAUGACUCCAUUCCCUUGGAAGACAACCCCAUUCAGCUUACUGAAAUCAAGCCAUAAUCUCGCAAGAUCUUGAUUCCAGCUCUCCGGUUCGUCCGGUGCUAUUAUUGUUCCAUCAAUCUGAAAAAAUCAUAUCGUCUGUGAAAUGCUUGAUGAAACUUGAUCAUAUGCAGUUAACUCUGAUUAUCAUCGUUACCUGGACAAUCAGCUUAUCACCACAAGGUCCUUUGAAUUUCGUCGCAGCUACCAGAUAUUGGCGACCUGGAGGAACCAAGAACACUGCGUUGGAUGAUGCAUUACAGGCAGUGCUCCAAGCUUUUACAAAGGCCUGAGUGUCAUCAGAAACUCCAUCUCCAGCAGCACCGAAGCUAUCGACAUUCACCAGAACCUUGCCACUCCGUUCGCUCCUCCACGACAUAACAUCGCAAUCAUCAUCGUCCACUUCUUCGUGUUCUUCCAAGGUUUCGAGCUUCUCAAGAGUUGUGAGUUCGUCAUAUAGAAUGUUGCCUGCAACUCCAUAGGUCACUAACAGCAAGCCAAUGAAAGAAAUGAUGAAUAACCUGUCCAUGACUUUUGCUUUUUCUUUUUCUUUUUCUGUCUGGUUUUCAGAACUUGAUUUAUUUUGCAUAAUUCCUGGAAAACAUAUAGUUUCAAUUUAUAUGAAGCAGAUAAGAUUGAUUUAUGAAAGUGCUUUGUGGACUAAUUAGCUUGGCUUGAAAGUACAUGAAGAAACCAGCCUGCAUUUUCUUACAUGCCUAUACUUAAAGAACAAGUGAAAUGGUUUUUUUAAUGAAAUUCUUUGCUUUACUCUGCAGCCAGUGGAAAGAGACCAUUCAAUUUCUACCAGUUUCUCAACAUAAGAACAUUCCAAUUGUAGUACAGAUCACAGACUUGUCGAUUUGCUGGUUCAUCAAGUUGCUAGUUAAUAGAAUUGCUAAUAGUAAGCUCUUGGUCGAGGGUUUCCCCCAUCAGUCGAAUUGUUGGUUCAUAAGGUUACAAGUCAUUAGGAUCAUAACUAGUUAACUCUUAGUGCUUAGCUCAUCAGGUCGCAAGUUCGUCCAUUUGAAGCAGAUCAUUGGUUUAUCAAGUGGCAUGACAGAAAUUCAAAGUCGACAGGUCGAGUCAGCUUAACAGUUUCCAGAGAUCUCGAAAUUCAUGCAAAACCCAGUACAAGUGUCCCGAAAAGUCGCCAUCUUUUCACCAUACAGAGAGGUCUGUAACUGGUUUUCUGUAAAGGUCUGUAACUGUUUUUUUAAGAAGAUGCAUGAUUAAAGAGCUUUCGGAGAGUAAAAGAUGCAAACUUCGUUCUGAAUCGAACAGGAAAACCACCAUGAAGCCAAAAAUCAAUGCACUCAAGAUCAUAUCUCCAAUCAUCCAAAACAGGGAACUCUUAUCAAAAUUUCAAUUCAUUUGCCAACUAAUUAUACAGAAACAGAAUCCAACCAUUUCAUAGAACUGAACAUCCCCUCUUAUCAGAAUUCAAUUCCACAAGGAUUUACCUCAUAAAGGAUCGGACUUGGCCUCUGAAUCCUAAUUACAAACUUCACCGACUAUUGAUCUUCCGCAACCAAGCAACACAAAAACAACAAGAGCAACAAUAACAAACUACCAGAAGGAAAUCUCAAUCUCAAUCAAGCAGUGAUCAUGGUACCCAACCCUUCCUCCGACAUAAGCUCGUGAAGCAACGAGUGCUGAACCCUACCAUCGAUAAUGCUUGCAGUUCUCACCCCCUGAGAAAUCGACCUCACACAGCAAUUCACCUUUGGUAUCAUCCCUCCAGCAACCUUCUUCUCCUCUAUUAGUUUAUGCACCCCUUCAAUGUCCGUCUCUUUCACCAAACUCUCAGGGUCGUCUCUGUCCUCUAGUAUCCCCGCCACGUCGGUAAGCAAGAUCAGUUUCUCAGCUCCUAGCGCCGCCGCCAGCUCUCCCGCCACCGUGUCCGCAUUUAUGUUGUACGACUGCCCCAUCUCGUCCGCCGCCACUGACGCGAUCACCGGGAUGUGACCGUUGUUGAUCAGCGGGCGCAGCAUUGUCGGGUCGACCCGAUCCACGUCUCCCACGAAUCCCAAUUGGGCCGAAUUAGGGUUCGGCCUUGCCAUCAGCAGCCGCCCGUCCAUACCGGACAGCCCCACGGCGGUGCCGCCUGCCUUAUUGAUCAACGACACCAAAUCCUUGUUCACCUUUCCCACCAGAACCAUGGACACGAUCUCCAUUGUCUUGGCGUCGGUCACUCGGAGACCUUCGUGGAAGAGGGGCUCGAUGUUGAGAAGCUUCAGCCAGUGGUUGAUCUCCGGGCCGCCACCGUGGACCAGGACCGGACGGAGGCCGACGCAGGACAGAAGGACGAGGUCACUGACCACAGAGGCCUUUAAGUCCGGGUCUUUCAUGGCUGCACCGCCGUAUUUGACGACGAUGGUUUUCCCCCUGAAUUUCUGGAUGUAGGGUAGGGAUUCGGAGAGGAUCUCCACCCUGAACUGCUCGGGGGAUUUGGAGGAGGAAGCUCGUAUGGUUGAUGAACAGCGAUGAUGAUGGCGGGGUUUAAGAGUCAGAUAAUGUGGUGAUGAGGAUUUGCAGAGGGUUGAGGGAAUUAGGGAUUUGGUCGGAGGGUUGAAGAAGAUUGCUUUAGAGGCCGCCGCCAUUUUUUAUUUUCUGCAGCAAAUCAAAUUUCUGAUUGUUCGCCGGCCGCCGAUUGAUUAAGAAGAAUUGAAGGACGAAUUUCUGAGCUCUCGUAUUGGCCGGGUCGGGGGUCCAUCAUUUAUCUGGGCUUCAAAUUUGUGGGCUUUUUCCAGAUCUGGAAAGUGAACGCUGCUGCAGUUUCCCGCCGACGUACCUAAAAUACUGCAUUUCCCGCCGCCGAUAGUACCAAAAGUGUCGCCGGAAUCAAAACAAAAUUCAAAAUCGUUAACCGGAGAGAUCUAUCCAUCCAUCCAAUGCCUCGCUACAAAGACGAGCCUACCGCGGUUCGCGUUUAUACAGUCUGCGACGAAUCAAGGUCUGAUCGGAAAAAUCGUCCGAUUCACAAAAAGUCCGACUCUUUUUAACUUCAUUCGUUAUAGGUUCUGCAGAUACUUAAUCGUAAGGAACGUACCUGCUCUGGGUUGCGGCGACGACUUAUCGAAGCUAUUCGCCACCUACGGCGACGUCGAAGAGUAAGUUAGAAAGCUUUUCUCUUCUUCCCUUCCCUUCCCAAUCCAAAAGGUCAAUUUUUAAUUGUAAUUUUUUUCUUAGAGUGAAACCGAUGGAUGAAGAGGAUUGCGAGCCGUUCACAGACGUCUACUGGAUCAAAUUUCGUCUUGCUAGCAAUGCCAGGUUGGGAAUUUUUAUUGAUUCUGAUUGGAGUAAUGAUGAUCAAGACUGAAAAUGAGUGUUAUAUGUUUUAAGGUUUGCAAAGAGGAAGUUGGAGGAUAGUACAUUCUUAGGGAACAGGUUGCAAGUUGAAUAUGCUCCUCAGUUUGAGAGCCUUACAGACACCAUGGAUAAGCUAGAAGGGAGGAGAAAGGAAGUUCUUGCUAGACUGAAUCGUGAGCUAUGCUUUGAAAUUCUUUACUCAGUUUGAAAUUCUUGUUUCCGUUGUGUUGUUUAAUAACAAUUCAGUCUUUCUGGUGGUUAUUUGUCAGCUGGACGAUCUCAAGGAGCCAAAGUUCUUACUCAAGGUGGUUCUAGUACUGUUUCUCCUCAGCCAUUGAAUCUCAAUCAGUCCUGGUAUGCAUUCGAACAAUGGAUAAAGCUGCUUUCUUCUGAAUUCUGACACCAUGAUAAGAUCAAAUGUUAUCAUGUAUUUGAAGUGCUCGAGGAUCGGAAGGGAGUUUGCAGAGAAAUGAUGCACCGAUGUCAAGGGUUUCUUCUGAUAAGGUUUUUGUUCUGUGUUAAAAAUGUUACUAGCUCUGCAAAUCCUGCUCUUGGUUGGCCUGUGAAUAGCAUCAUUAACUCGGCUUUCUUUGCAGGACUACUUUCCAUCUCGAUCCAUGAACGAGACCGUUAAAUCAGUUAGGGAGAAGCUUGAUAAGGUAUGUGAUUCUGUUGGAAAUGUUUCGAGUAUAGAGAGUAGAAUAAAAGACUGAUGUUUCUUCCUGCCUUUGCAGAUAGAGUCAAGCUCACAGCAGCAAGCAGGACCUGCAGCUAAGAAAACUAGAUUGGACAACAGAAGACGGAUUUAGAUUCGCUAGUACCAUCAAAUUGAAUUAAAUCUGUAAUUUUGUUGAUCAGAGAUACAGAUAUUGAAGAGCUAUUUCUUGCACAUUAUUGCUGCAGACAUUGUACAGUUAGCUCAUAUAGGUAGAGCAACCAAACCAAAGUUUAUUGAAUUAGUUUGCAGAGCAGCAGAGGCUUCAUUUUGUAAUUUUGCUUCCUUUGGUAGAGCUUCUUCAUAGUUUAUAAUGAUAUCCAUAAGUUUCCACACAAAAUUCAGAACAUGGAUAAGGAACAGAACUCAGAAAUCCAUUUUCCCAAAAUAAACAAGGUCACUCAUACAAACUUCUGUGUCUUCGCUUCAUUUUUCUAUCUCCAAAUUUCUGUUUUGUAGUUUAGAUUUGAAUUUCAGUUUCUGUCAUAAUUUACGACAAGUAUACUUGGACGCUGGUAGUUUUGAUCAACUGGCAUACAGGGCAAACAUUGAUAAACACAUCACAAUCCAUACAUAAACACAGAUGCCUGCACGGCAUCAACAGUACCGAAACCUCCUUUGCUUUGCACGAUCUGCAAGUAGUCAUCCGCUCUUUUCUCGACAUAGGUCUCGUUGAAGGCCCGACAUUGAGGUAGUUGUUGUUGGGAUCAAUGCAGGAAGCAGCAUCAUCAAACUCACUGUCUCCGAAUCCUUCCUUCACUUGAUCAGCACCCUGAGAAAUCGCCUGCUGGAGAUUGGUCUUGAGGACAUUCACGAGCGAUUCGUUGUAUUUCGCUCUAUAAUGCCAAUUCUGAGCUUCGGCAGCCACUUGCUUGAUUCUGUCGAUCAACUCUUUGUUCCGACGGUUCAUGUUGUCAAUCUCUAUGUCUUUCUCACGAAUCUUCUUUGCAACGCCCUUCUCGAUCGAUGCUAGAAACGAUGCCACAUGUCUCUGCUUGAUGUCUCUCACACCCUUAGCCAAAUGCUCCUCCUGAUCCAUCAAAUGAAAAGACCAUGAAAAAAACAGUACCACCCAGCGAAACGUUUUAAUCAACUCAAUUGCUAUUAGCCACCCUAACAUUCGAAUUUCAUCGCCCAAAUUAAACAAUCGGCCUUGCAUCUAAAAUCAACAAAAAAAACUUGCAAUCUCCGACUAAAACCAAAGUCUGAGAUAUUUUUUUCGAACUAUAGUCAGAGAUUUAAUUGGUAUUGCUAAUAUUUCACUAGGUUGCUAAUAAUCAAUCAUUCACAAUGAGGUCACUGUAUCCAUAAACAAUUACCUGAAGUUUGAUGUACUGAUCGAAUUCCUCUUUCUGGCGAUCGAGUUCAGUCCGGAUAUUGUCCCCGAGCGACAAGAUCACAGACGGUGCUGCUGCCCUGCUUCCACUAGCAGAAGGAAGAGACGACAUUCGCUCAUCCUCGUACUACAAUCCCUGAUUCGUUUAUUCGGUUGGAGCAUAGGGGAGACAUGCUCGCGUCCAAAAUAGUUCACGGCAUCAACGUUACAUCCAGCUGGCACUGAAACCCCGCAAUGUACGUUACUAAACCAGCAUAUCAUGUUUCCCAAUAAGUUCAAGGUGAAGAUCAACACUCUUAUCUUUAUUAAAGACUAUCUUUACAGAACGAAAGCAGUAACUCACAAUUACCAAAUAGCUGGAGCUGAUUUGAAGGGUUGUUCUGGUAAGGAAUUCGGUUCUCGUCCAAGAAAACAGGAAGCAUGGGAUUGCCACUGUUGCCUCCAAGCAUUUUUCGUAUGUAUCAUAAACUUUAUAGACUUCUAGUUAUGUACGAAGGAGAUUCAAAACCUGCCAGAAGAGCAGAACAGGAAUAGUAAGCAAUCCAUUUCGUGAACAUUGACGAAUAUAGUUCUUGAGUUGUAAGAUACAAUUUUUCAAUUAAAGCUCGACACUUUCCAUAUAAACAGUCUAUAUCGGAGAGCAGAAACACGUGUCUAGGCACAAAUGAGGAAUGUUGAGCAAGGAUCGAGCCUAAACCAAUCAAAAGUCUAGCUUUUGUCGAAACCAGAAUCUUCAUACAACUUUAAAUGAAUUGAGUGAGCCUUAUAAGCUUACUAUCAGUAGCAGAAAAAAUUCCUAACUUAAAGUAAUUGAGGGAAUAUCCAUUAUCCACCAUGACAAGAAAUCAGACACAACAUUCGCACUUGGUAACUUUACCCAACUGCAUUAGAGAGACGUUACAAAGAACGAAGUUGCAUCCAAUAAACGUAUGAUCCUUAAUGCGCCAUGAGUGAAUUAACAACCUAACCCAUGCACCAAACAUGGAGUUUGUGAUGCACAGCAACUCCACAACUAACAGGAAAGCAGCCAAACAACACACUAGAAGCACAAUGGCAGUGAACAGAUUAACAAAUUUCCAGUAACACAAGGCAAACAAUACUGAGAUCACUCAAAUUCAAUGCACACUGAUGGAGUGAAGCAGAUCGGUCUUCAAAAAUCAAAAGGAGAAAGCAAAAUCCUCAGAUUAUAGCUCCACUGAAGUAGGCUAGUAGGAUCACUCCAAUAAGGGUUUUCCAGAAACGGACCAACUUCUCUCAACACAAAUAUGAGGCUGAUGAGUCAAAAAUAGGAAUGCAAAUGACAAAUUCGGCAAAAAAAAUCUUAAGAACCUGAAAGAUUAGAUCUUCAUCAAUAACUCAAUAAAAAUCUCUCAACCCCAUAAUUUCAUCAAACACCAAAAACCAACAAAAAUUGAAAUAAAACAAACGGCGAGCUUGAAAUUUGAAUCCAUCAAUGCAAAUAAAGAGUAAAAGCCAUGAAAGUACCUCAAAAGUAUCAAUCAGGAUUGAUUAAGCUCCACCAGCAGAUCCUACAAAUUUCAUAACAACAGCUUUAUUAAUCCCUAACGAACAACACAAGGAAAUCAUGAACAACCAAGCAAGAGCAAACCCAGAAACCAAAAUGUUCCUAACAACAAUCCACAACAAACAAAAACCAUGAACAACCAACCCAGAUGAACAAGUGGAGAAGUGGGGAAAAGAUGAAACCUUUGGGGUGGAAAAAGGCACGAAACCCGAUGGUGAUCGGAUGAUUCUUCUGCAAUAGAGAAAUGGGUGUGGGGGGGUAUGGUGGUGGUAGAUAGAAAUAAAGGCGGAGAAGGUGAUGAAGAAGAUGGUGCGGUGAGAGUGGGAGAGUUGAUAGAGAUGAUGAGAGAAAACGGACGAAAUCAAAUGCGCUCUCUGCACACACAAGUAAGAAACGAAAAGUUUGGUUUAAGUAAUUUAAUAAAUAAAUAAUGAUGGUAGAGGAGGAAGGAAGAGACGGUAAGAAGGGAAGGGGGGAAGUGGGUAGAGGAGGAAGUGGAUAGAGGACCGUUUUCACUUCCUACAACCCUACUUCACAUUCAAUCCAUAUAUAUUAUUACGGAACUAGCGAAUGAGUUUAUAAUUUUUCGAACAUCUUUAUUUUACAGUUUAGUUUUAGAGUUGAAUUUUAUCAUACAAAAAAAGAGUUGAAUUCUAUCCAAAAGAUUGUAAUAGUUGAUUAGAGCCUAAUGCACCCCGAUUUACAUUUAAUGGCGAAGCGAUCUGAAGAAACAGAAUAGGUCGUUGUGGACAUCAGUGUGAGAAGCAUGGCAACAUGUACGUUAUGUACCUAAUUAUGUAUUUAUGUACAACAUCGUCGAGUUUUGAAUUAACAUGUUUGUUUAUAACAUCUUAGACAUACUUUCCUUACAAACUAGUAUUUGGAGAUGAGUUCUAUCCAAAUUUUUAUAACAUGAUAAAUUAUAAGUGAGUUCUAGUAUUUUUGAAUGAAACGGUAAGACGGGGAACCCACAUAAUUCAAUUGAUUAAACUAUUAAUAUAAAUAAUUUUAUGAAAUUAAUUUAAUUGAUAAACCUCGUAACAUAUAGUCAAUUGGUCAAACUAUUAUUAUACGUGAGUUUUUUAGAAUAAACCGACAAUAGAUCGUAUCAUAUGAUUAGAGAUUAUUAUUAGAGAUUAAUGUUUAAGAUUGUACCCAUAAGACUAACAAUAUAUUAUUUAUAAAUGAGUUGUUAAGUGAAUUGUUAAGGUUGAGUUCAAUCUUUUCUUAUAACAUUAAAAUCCCGGAAUAAGAAGAUCUCUUGAUUUGAUUUUAAGCAAACUUAAUCAUCGAAACCAAACAAACCCUAAUACUUUAGUUUCAAAUUCAUGCAUCAUAGCUAAGUAUUCAUUUUUCUCCCUUAAGCUAACUACAUAAGAUUAGUCUGAAUCACAUGUAACAGUGUAUUUAGCAAUAAUAUAGAUAUGAUCAACUAAUUAGAGUAGCUUUUGAAUUUGCAUCAUUGUGUUAUAGUAAUUUGGAGGUGUUAAUAGAGCUGGAAGUUUGGGUAACGGGUAUCGGGUAUUUCCGAUUCUGUUCAAUAUCCGAGCAGGAUUUGUAUAAACAUCAUGUUAAGCAUAUAAAUAUCAAUAUUCACCAUUUACGUACAUAGAUAACACAUCUAUUAUAGCUUACCAUGAAUUCGAACGGAGACAUCUAUACCUAGUCCAAAUAAGUUGUAUAACCAACACGCACCAUUCAUAAUCUCUCACGAUAAAACCCUAUAUAAUUUUUUUGAAAUCAUAAUCUCCCCUAAUAAAACUCAAUGUAAAAUUUUAGAAAUCGUAACUCAUGCCAGAACUUUUAUACAAAUAAAACUUGACUAAACUCAAAAUUUCCGCCCAACAUCUCGAAACAUAUCGGUUCCAAUAUAUCACUUGUAUAUCAUGAACUCUAAUAGAGAAAAUUCCAAAGAAAGUUGAAGUUGUCACCAUCCCUUUUAACCCCAAUAUAAUGAAGCCAUUUUUGGAAUUCAUAUUAUGAUGAUACAAAGCCAAAGAAUUGAAAACACAGAUGUUAUGAAUCCAAAGCAGCCAGCUAGCUAGCCAAAGAGACACAGCCACACACUAACACUACUUUCUCUGCAAUCCCACCAGCAAACAACCAACUUGUUGAUUGAAUCGUAAGAGAAGAAAACAAAUUACUUUUUAAUAAAUGGGAAUUCCUUAUCUUCCUCCUUUGUUUUUUUUGGCAACGUUCGAGUUCGAAUUCGGAUACUUAAUAUUCAUUAUUUAUUUAUCGUCUGAAUUUUUUUCAAAAAAAAAAGUAGGGUUGACAACAAUCGAGUUCGAAUUUGCAUAAUUACUAUACGUUACAUUUGAGUAAUAUCCAUUUUAUAUAAUAUUUUGUGUAGUUAAUAUCAUACCAUAUACAUAUUUAUCGGUUUUAGUUAUAACCGCAAUUGAAAAAAGUAAAAAUAUAAAGAAAGUAUAUAAUUUUUCAAACAAUUCACAUUUGUAAAUCACUAAUUAAGCAAUAUCAAAUUAUAUAAAAAAAAUUUAAUAAAAAACUUAAUCGAGCAGUUACGGUUCAGAUAUGAUAUCUCAAUAUUCAUAUCCUAAAAAUACCCAUUCAACUCAAAUUUUACCCUGUUUAAACAGAUGGGGUUCGUCCGGAUACCCGUAAUAACGAUUAUAAUUGCCAUCUAGAAUUUAUAAUUAUAAACUUGGCUUUCUCUUGUUGCCAAUUUCUUGUUGAUGGUGCCGUUUGAGUAUAAGCUAGCUAGCCCAUCUCUAUCUCUGGCCAUUAUCGUCAAUGGUAACGUUUUGGUAUAUAAGUAUAUGCCCUUGUUUGAAUUGUUGCGAAACUAAAAGUUAGUGCAACUAGCUAGCUUAUUGUUAGCCUUAGCUAUCAUAAAUUAUUUAUAUGCAUCUUUGAUCCUUUUCAUGUGAUGUUUAUGAUAAAUUGGUAUUUAUAAGUUAUAACAUUCAUUCACAAUCUGUGUAUGGGUUCCGUCUUGAUUGAUUGAGGACUAGUACAUGCAACUGUCCAAGGUGACGAGUGGAUGGUGGUCAUCAAUACCUAGCUAUAUACUACUACUCUAUUAUUGGAUGCCUUUGUCAACGGUAUGAACAUAUCUUGCAUAAUUUGCCACGUGGAGAGUAGCUAGGUUCACCAAAAUAUAUGUACAAUGGUCCGACUCGCGACGAAGUUGUGUUAAAGCUGUUUCGAUAUCAUGGAUAGGCGAGGAAUUCAGCAAACGGGGAUAAGUUUCAACGUUUGGAACAUAAAAUUUUGUGUGUAUCGUUUAGUUUGUUUUAUUACCAAGACUCCCUCUACGGUCGCACCACAUUUAGUGAUGUCGUUGUUAGGAAAAUUUUGUGGCUGCAGGCAUUCAACCCAUUUGAUCAGACUAAUGAUGUCAUCACAAGGGUUGAAAUGAUUGAGCAUGUAUUUUGGGUUUCGACCCAUAAUCUAUGUGAACAAAGUCAUGUACUAUAAAUUAUAUAUAACCACUCAACUUUAUAUAACAUGUUUCGCAUGUGUACCAUGUAUUUGAUGUGCGACAUACUCUAAACUAGUUUAGAGACAAUCAAUAUUGUAGUCUACUCUUAAAUUCUACAUGAUAUAUUGUAUGAUCUUGGUAAAGGGUCAGCAUCGGUGUCCAAUAAAAAAGGAGACCACAUUUCUCGAGCGAUCCACCUUAAUCUUUCCUUGUUAGGUGUUCAUAUGUGAUGUGUCAGAUCCGCUGAAUUUGAACUUAGUAUUUUUAAAUUAUCAAAUAUCAACAGACGACGCAAUCAACUACAUUACUCCAAGGUUGGAAAAGAAUAUAAUAGUCGCAUCCAAGAAUUCAAAACCCCACGUAUAUUUAGAGAUUAUUCGUUGUCUCUAUGUAAUCAAUAUUGUGUUUGAUUUCGACAUAAUUAAUAACAAAAUAGUAAAAUGCUUAUUAGUCCAUCCAAAAAUCCAAGAGGUGGCGGCCUUGUAAAUUCGUAACGAAGACUUCAUCAUUAUUUGCAUAUUUCAAUAUUCAACCCAAAUUGAAGGAAAGAGUUUGACGUUGAAACGCCGUCGUUUUCUCUUAUUCACACUAACCUUCCCAUCUAUAUCUCCCUUUUAUUUUCUGCAAUUAUGACUAACUUGCAUGAUAAAAAAAAAGUAAUUGAUAUGUGGGCUCAUAAAUAUUUAAUUCAGUUGGUUAGUGGACCAAAUAAUUAAUAGUUCAAUUAGAAGUUUGAGUUGAUUGAGUAAAUAUGAUCAUAGAUCUUUCUUUUUAAAUAUAUAGAAGUUUUAAUUAACGAUUCUUUAUAUGAUAUAAAAAAAUGUAGUGAGUGGUUAAUAGAUAUUAUAAGUAGGAAGAUAGGGGUAUGACUGAUACUAAGCAUGUAGUAUGAGUAUGUGUAUUUAUAGCUUUUAGCCGUGCAUGGUUGGGGGUAGCUAGAUAAUGUUAUAGAUGUAGGCCACCAAGUUUUAAUUAAAUACGUUCAUGAUGGCAUGACCUUAGUAGAGGAAAUGUAGUGAUAUAUCUGAUGAAUGGUGGCUAGGUCUAGACAAGAUCUUGCUGGUUGUUGAUGAUGAAGAGUGAGGAUUUUCCUAGACAUGAAACUUUAAAAGACAGACGAUUAAAUUAUUUUCUAUGACAGGAUAUCCUUCAUCAGAUCAAUUGAUGUGAAAGGACGGUCACCUCUAAAUCAAUUUAUAUCAAGCUCAUCUUGAAUGGUACCAUGAACCAUAAUCAUUUUACUUAUGCACUAAGAAGUUACCAUCUUUACUAGUUACCUUUUAACUUGUUUUCACAAAAGGGGUGAUGCAUGCCUAGUUGGAAAAAUUUGGAAUUCGAUUCCUUUACUAAAUUCUAUCACUUUCCCACUAUAGAAAAAACAAAACAAAAUUCAUUAAAUGGAUUAACGUGAGAAUCAUGCAUCUCUGGUGGUGGUGGUGGUGGUGACUAAACUUUUUAUUUAUUAUUCAAUGACUCAAAUGUAAUUAAUACCCCCCAAACAAAAAUAGUUUAAAAACUAUUUAAUGUUUUUCUUGGGAGAGGAAAAGAGACUGACGGUGACGGUGACGGACGGGGGAAGAGUUAGCCGUUGGGAAUGGGCUUAAUCCUGUUGGCGGGUACUUUGGCAGCGGAAGGAACGGAAAACGACGACGUUUGCGUGAAGGGCUCGGGUCACGGGUUUUGGGUGAUCCGCAUAUCUCUUGCUUCUAUAAAACAAAAUUUAGGUGUUGUUUGGCCAGGGAUUUGAACUUGCUACAUCUUGAAAUUGAAACCACCGAUAACCGGAAAUAUGGUGGAUUAGUUUGCUUUGUGAUUAACUUAAAAUAUAAUUAAUAAGACUAAAAGCAACUCCAUUUGUACUUAGUUGAAAUCAUAGUGCAACCAAAAGUCUAAUCAUAUAGGGCCCUAUAAUCCCCAAUGUACAGCUGAAAUUCAUGAAACAAUUACCUAAACAUUUGGAGACUUUCAAUUAUCUGUCUUGAUGAUCAUUCAUACUCAUCCAAAACUGUAUCACCAUUUUAUUUGGUUGUUUUUACUCAGAUGGUUAAUUUGUUGUCAAAAUCAAAUCGACCAAAUUGACAUAUAUCAUGUAACUGUAAUUUGUUAUACAAAAAAAACAUGAUCGACUUUCUUUGACGAAUUUUCUAUAACAAUUCGAUCUCAGUACAGCGUUUAAAUCUUAACCGUGUUGCUUGAUUGAUUUGAUAUUCGGGCCGAUAUAGCAACAUCGGUAUCUCUUGAUAUUUUGACCUUAGUUUUGAUCAAAAAAUAUUUUGAUCUUAGUAGUCUUUGUCAUGUACAAGAGGUGAAAAAUUGGGGAAAUAAUGGCAUGUAGAGGAUGGCAUGCAGGAAGUUGCUUCAUUUGUCCAAAAGUGAAUUUGAUUGUGAAACAUGAAGAUAAUUAUGAUUUAUUAUAUAAUAUAAAGUAAAGUAAUUAUAGUUUAAUUAAGGAGAUGAAAAGGGGAUUACAAAUGCAAGCGUGUUGGCUUUCGUGGGCGUUUAACACGUUGUUGGAUGUAACUUUGUGUUUUGAAAGGGGAGCUUUUACACAUUCAAAGCACCAAAUUCCUCAAGUAUUUCACAAAUCUUGAGAGUUUUUGUUGUUUGAUUAUGUAGUGGGAUGUGGGUUUGCCACCCGAUGAUCAAAAUAUAAUCAAAAUAAAUUAUGAAUCUUUCAUAAUAAUUUAAUGCANNNNNNNNNNNNNNNNNNNNUUUAAUGCAUUGAGUUGGAUUAUAUAGAAUUUAAAAAGUAUUAAGUUGCAUAUAAAAGUAUGGUAAUUAAUUUAAAAAUUUAAAGAAAAUGGUGUAAUAUUGAGUGUUCUAAACUUAAAGAUGAAUUAAAUCAUAACGUGAAAAAACUCUCCUCUUAUGUGAUUAGUGAAUAAUGACACAUAUUAUUUAAAGUUUAUGAGUAAAUUACGCAUUAUGAGUCUGACUGAGUACUACAUCAUUAAGCACGACAUUGACAUAUGAACAUAUAUUUUUUUUGAAUAUUCUCACUUUACAAAUUAACUUCUGAAGAUGAGUUAGGGUGUAACACAAAAUAUUAUUAUUUGUUUAUUGGGAUUAAACCCCUCCGUCUAUGUAAGAUAGAAAAAAUAAAUAAAUAUUAUAUCAAAUUUCAUUUAUAAAAUAUAUUAAAUUCAGACUCGAAAUUUUCAAAUUGCUAAACAUAUGAUCCUAUUACCGAAAUAACUUCACUUUUGCACUAAAUAUUGUUGUUACGGUUUUGUAAAUUGACUACUAAUAUCAUUAUACUUAUUUUGGAGAAACGGUAUCGUUUUGCAUGUAGUAAAACAGACGUCCAGUGUCGAGGAUUUGACGAUUGACUUAUUGAGCCAUCGUCGUAGCUGCCUCCGCCGGCACCGGCGAGCCAGGAGCCGGUCCGGUGUUGCUCCUGUCACCUUACGUUAGAUAAGAUGAAACUCCUUAUUCGCAGACUCGAUUCCAUUUCUAUUGUCCGUUUCCGUCGCUUUUGGAAUGGCAUUCCCUUCCAAAUUCAAGCCUUCCUUUUUCCCACCGCUCUUGUUUUUCUACAUAUUGUUAUCAGCAGAUGAUCUGGAAUCAAAUUUGUACACUAAUCAUCUCCAGCCGAGAUAACAACGAAAUGGGUAAUUAAUUGACAGCCAGCAACCCCCUUUUUCCCCUUUCCAUUUUCUCGAAUUCAAUUGCUUGUCGUCUUUGUUUCGAGAAUCUACACAAAAAGUUGGGUUCAUCAUCAGCUGGCAUCUGUAGUUUGUUGAAAGAAUGAUUCCUUGAUUCUCCUUAUUGAUUUUGUGUUUAUUGAAAGGAAGUGAGGUUUCAUGAAUGGACACUAUUCUCCGCUCCAAAGAUUUAUUCUUUGGGCGUUUUUGUUGUUUCUGCUGGCAGGGUUUCUGGGUUUGCACUUUUUUCUCUUUACUGGAAGAUACUUUUGCCCGGUUUCUGAUAUUUCCCAGAAGCCAUAUUGGUCUGAAAUGCUGUAGAAUUGAAGUAUAUCCGUAUACCCUAAUCUAAAACUGUAAAAUUGUCAUGGAUUUGCUUAUGUUAUUUGCAGUGCUUUCGAAACUGUACCAUAUCAGAUGGAUUGAUUAUCACUACUGCGAACCAGCCAUCAAGCCGGUCUGAUAAGAUCGUGGUUUAAGCAUUUGGACAUCAUUAUUGCCAUACUUAUCUUAAUUAUGAAUAAUGCUAAGGAAGCUUGUACGUCUACAUUUUGGUGGUUGGACUCAUUUUGACCACAUCUUAUAAGCUCGACACCUUGCAUCAGUAAUUUCUCCAUAACCGGUCUGGUAUGAUCACGGUUUAAGCAUUUGAACAUCAUUAUUGCCAUACUAAUCUCAAUUAUGAUUGCAAAUGAAACAUGUAUGUCUAGAAUCUGAUGCUUGGACUCCUUUUGACCACAUUUCAUAAGCUCCACAACAUGCAUCAGUAAUUUCUCCUUCCUUUUUCUUCCUGUCCAUUUACUUUCAUGUGGUAACUUUGAAUUUAAGUUUCCAGUCGAGUUGCAGGCUAUGGACGGAUCUGAUCCAAGUUAGCGAAGAAGCUUUGUACCAACAAGGAGUACAGAUGUUAUGGUAUGCAAUUUCUGAUUACUCAUGAUCUAUUGUACCAUGUGUGUUGUUGUCCUUCUUGUCUGGUCCUCAAAUUGAUGCUGCACUUACUUGUCUGUUUAUGUUUGCACUACUUGAUAAAGCUGGUUCACUCUCAAUUUCCCUCUUAAAUUAUGCAAAUGAAAAGCCAGAACAAGGCGUUGUACCAAUCACCAGAAAAAAUUGAAAGAUGGAAUCAUGUCCUUUGUAAUUUCCAGUAGGUGAUUGAUUAAUUGUCUAGUAACGUGCAAGGAACAUACACCUGUUUUUGAUUUGUUUAUAUCUUUUGGAUAAUACCAUUCGGAACUAAUGACCCACAGCAGUGUUUGGUUGGUUGGAUGAUAAUGAUUUCCCUCUCAUUCACCUAACCUUAUGGACAUCUCACUAGCUGUACAUGCAUCACUUUGUCCCGUUCUCGAAAAGGUUGCUGUCGAAAGAGAGGCGAAAUCGGGUUGUACAUCUAGUAGCCAGGAUUCUUCAAAGAUCCAACCUUUUUCAUCUGGGUAUCAUCCUUUUUCCCUUUCUGCAAUAACCUCUCUUUUUCUGUUCUAUUUGUGGCUAAGUAGAGUCCAAUAGAGUAAUGAACAAGACGUAACCGCGACUCAAGGCACCGACUUUAGUCACGGUUCAGCGGUUAAGGUACCAGGACCGGACAUAUCCUUAGUCGUCGUUCCUUUCGAGUCUGUUGUUUUAUCUUGCAGUUGUUCUUUCUUGACCAGCUCUUCCACACAGAGCCAGAGAUCAGUUCCAUUAUGCAAUUCUUUUGACAAAAGGAGGAGAAUUGAUCAACUAUGAGGGCUUUUGUUGUUGUUGUUGUUGUUGUUGUUCAAACCUGUAACUUUGAAUUUAUGAUUGGUGUUGACUGACAAGGCUAACUAAAUCUAGAUGCAGCGUGCUUUGGUGGGUCUGAGAGCACUUUGAUUAAGUUGUUUAUUUGAUUAUUUGGCCGGCAAGAUUGCCAUUACUACGUGACAAAGAAACUUGGAUGAUUGAUGUAAUGAUGUUCUUCAUUACUUUCAAUGUGCCAUUUGCAUAUCCUUUCCUAUUAAGGUCUAAGCAAUUGCUGAUUUUCUUUUGACUACGAAAGCUGUCCCUUUAUCAAUGGUCAAAGCUCGCAGCAUCCAUUAAUUAAACCACGUAGGAGAAGCUAUGCUUGUAAUUUAACCUAUAGUUGGUGGGAUAAGAAAAUGUUGUUACUUAACGCAUGAGCAACUAAAUUACGUAUUCUUGCCGUAUUACACUACUUGUAAUAAGCUCGAGUUGGGAUAUGAUUGGAGGAAAGUGCACUGUAGUAGAAACUUAACUAGCAUGUAUGUAUGAUUAGUGGCGGGUAUUCUCCUGGUUCACCAUGCGGUUGGUUAGUAACCGUUCUUCUCGACAUUAUACGGUUAGCACACAGGCUUUUGUUCACAUUCGAUGUGGAAAUUGUCAACAACGUUCUUUUCAUGCUUCGAUUUCGGUAAGCUACUCAUCCAUCACAAUUGAUAAGGCAUUUAUAGACCCAUAUGCUAUCAAUUGAUCGCAUACUUUUAUCGUGACGAAAUGUUUAAAAGGGUAAACUUGAAACUUUUGAAAAAAAAAGUGAUCAUAUCAUGAUGCAAAAUCUUAAUCAUUACAAUAUUUAACCUAUUUAGUUUUUGCAAAAUGUUUAUUUGGGGACAAAUUGUCGGCAAGAUCAACUAAUUUGGUGUCAUUUUGGUGGGUAAUUUUGAUAAUGUGUUUCCAAAUUCCAUUCAUUCAUCUUCCCCACCAUGGCCUUAUAAGCCCAUUAAGAGCCUCAAACUGUUACUCGGAUUUGUGUGCUUAAACUUGUUGUUCAUAAACAGUGAACUAGCCACAAGUCUAUUAGACUAUGUUCGAGGAAUUCUAAAUAUAUGUAUGGUCGUUAACUAUAUCAACAAUUUUAGCAAUUACUUCAUUCGGCAGUUUUUAGUCACUAUUCAUUGGUUGGAUCAUGAACCUUUUAUCCAAACAAUUUGGUAUAUAAUAACAGUUUAAUUAUGAUUUAUAAUAAUUUAAGUGGUUGAACAAUAUAACGUUAUACAUUGUAUAGAUUUAAUAUUUUCAUCGUAUAGUUCUGAAGACCAUGUUCAUUGCUAAUGAAGUUACUAAUUUAACAAACACUAUGUAUCUUUAACCAUUACUAAAUAAAGUGAGAUUUUACAAUUGGCAAUUAUGAAGUUUUGGAGUGGAGAUACUAAUCUUAGAUCAUCCACAUUGUCAAAUGUGUUUUGCUUCAAUGAUGUCAUGAUUAAAUUUAGUACCGCCCAUUUAAUUUUCUAUCUAAUUCUAACUUAGCAUUAAAACAUAAUAAUUUAUUAUCAAUGAAACAAUGAUCGUACCUUUUAUCCAACUUUUGUGUUAUCAACUGUUCAUUCAAUUUUAGUAACAAAAUAAUAUAACUUUAUUAGUAACCGUAUAUACUCACAAUUUAAAGAUAUCAAGUUCAAAUCCGAUACAAAUUCAAAUCUAAUAGCCCAAUGUAAAUAUAUAAUAUUUCAUUUCUUCAAUCCAUCUUGGAAUGAUAUACUUUUGAAAAAAAAUGAAGAGAAUUGGAAGCAAAUGGGUCUAAUUUCUUCCAAGUGGCUCUCGAAUCAGCCAUGGAAAUGGGUGUCAAGCUCAAACAGAAACACACACACACAACAACAACAAUUUGCUAGCAAAAUCCUCGCCAUGAAUGUCUAUUAAAAUCCAUCUAAUCUCCUUGCUAAUCAUCACCUUUUGUUUAACCGUUCAUAAUUUNNNNNNNNNNNNNNNNNNAUUUUCUUUUAUUAUUUACCAAUUUCAUCCCGUACAAAAACGCUUCAUUCACUAUUUUCUAACAGUCUCCUCCUACUCACAUUCUAAUUCCAAUAUAAAUUUUUGUUAUUGCGACCUCCCAAUUUUUAAUUAAAAGAAUUGUAAUCUGAUUGAUUUUUUUCUCAUUCCGCUUUCAAUUUUUGCGUAGAGAAAUUUUUCGCCUUAUUGUUUAGGAUUCGUAAGGAUCGAGGAANNNNNNNNNNNNNNNNNNNNNNNNNNNNNGUAAAUAGUGGGGGGUUAUCAUUAUAAUAUAUAGUGCCAUAAUUUAAAUACACCAUAUCCAAAAAAAAAAAUCAUUUGAUUGCUUAGAUUCUUUCCAAUUUGUCCCCUCAAUUCACAAAAUUACACUUCAUAUUGUCUCCUUUGGUUUUGUCCAUUUCUAGCUACAUAUCACAAGCCCCUAAAAGGGAAUAAUCUUAUGUUCCAUUCUCACCAUUAUUAGUAUUACCACUACUAGCUACCAUUACCAUUAUCUAAUGGCAGAAUCAUGAGUGGAUGAAAAUAGAUUAUCGUCGUAAAUUCACUAAUUCCAUUAUUAUAAACUUUAGUGUAACCCUUUUGUCAUUGAAGUUUUUAUCUAAAGUAAUUUGGAAACUCGAUCGUCUGUAGCACUUUCAAAUUCAACACCAAACUUAAAAAUUAUAUAUGCUUGUGAUCUUUGGACAUUCUGGUUCCGAUAUUAUUUGCUACGAUCAUCCUUCUUUACUUCUCAACUUCAAACACUUCGUCGAGCAUGAUGUUUCUAUUCAAUAUAACGCGCUAACUCACCCAAAAGCCAAACCUUAACGACCACGAUCCGUAGUAUCGAACACCACAAAAAACGAAAAAUAUUGUAAUAAAAACGGUCGAACAAUCACAAUCACAGUCACCACAAAAUUAAGAACAGAAACAACGAGAACAUAUACCAUAGCCAACCUAAGUACAUCCAAUGUGUAGUUUAUUUCCUCUCGUGCCGCCAUAAUAUAUGUAACAGUGAUGUUCCCAGAUAACUGGGACGAUGAUAUUUAUUAAUAUAAUAUCGAUCGAUCACCACUUUCAACUGAGCUUUUUGCUUGUAAUCGAUCACCAAUGACCCAAUGAAGACUCACAACUUCUUGCUAUAAAAUAUUAAAAAAAUAUGGCAGCAAUCAUAUGCUUAGAUUGCUACACUUGCAUUUCACAUUUUAAUAUAUUUAUUUUUGUGCAAGUCAUAUUUACAAUAUAUUAACUUAUCCAUGAUUGAUGUCUUCAUAUUCAUAGUUUAAUAAUAUUUUCUUCAUUACCCAAUAAAGCAUUAGAUUCAAACUAGUUUUAUCAUAUAAAAAAAGUACUACUUCACUUCAAAAUAUAAAACAAUUAUGUCUCCACUAGUGUAGUGUAAAACCCGUAAAACCCAAUUGAAAGAGUGAUACAUAUGUGAUAAUGAAUAAGUGAGAGAGAUCAUAUCACAUAUGCAUCAUCAUGUCAUGUACAAUGAAGUAUGGCAUACAAGGUCGGCAUGUUAAUCGACAAACAUAGUUGCUUGUGUUUCGAAAGACGUACAUCGUGUAUAUAUGAGCUCUUGUUCUGAUACGAUUUUUUCCCCCAACAUGUUAUAUUAAUUUUACAGGCUANNNNNNNNNNNNNNNNNNNNNNNNNNNNNNNNNNNNNNNNNNAUUUAUUUAUGGUAGUCUGAAUACAAUAGACAAUCACUCAUUUUGUAACUGUAUAUACAAGGAGAAUUAACUAGCUAGAAGAAGUAGUUAUAAUAACCACAAAGAUUAUUUGGAAUAACCAACACAUUUACUCAAAUAAGUGAGAGUUGCAGUCGAGGAAACCUCAUUCCCAAGAGCAUCUAUGCCAUAUUUGAACACCAAGCCCUAAAAGAAGAACCACCCUUUAAUUACUACUGUUUGUGGAAAUUUUCACUCUUAUGCAUAUAGUAAUAAAUGGACAAGGUUAUGUCUUUCACUUUGCAGCCAUUUUGGAGCUUUUGAUGUAGCUAGGAGAAGUUUCCUUUUCUUUGUACUUCACCUGAAAAUCUGCACACAAAAAACGGGAAUGAUAUAGGGCUUUUCGAUAAAGUAUCGGAUAUUUACGUGUUUCGGUCAAUUGGGUCUACUCUACAAGAGUUAAUUGUUGAGCAUCUAUUUAUAGGCUUUAUAUAGGUUUACCUUAAACUACGGGGAAUACUAGUACAAUUAAUUAGUAUUGCUGUUUUAUUUCCUAGUUGUAAUGGAAACGAGAGACAUGAUUCAACAUCCUAUUUCGAGAUACUAAUAAGCUUUUACGACGAGAGAAAUAAGUAAAAAGGUCAUAUCCCGACCUACAUACCUUGUAGAAGAAAGUCAUUGACAUAUUGAAGUAGUAAUGAGGAAGAGAAAGAAAGUAGCUAAUUAUAGUCAUGAUAGUUUUCAACAAAUGAAGGUUAAUUAAUUGAUUAAGUACCUGAUCUUCAGGUUCAUCAGAGUGGUUCCAUGGUGUUUGUGGAUGUUCAUGAUCUUGUUGUUGCUUCAACUUGAUUUCAUCUCUGAAAUGGGCUGGUGGGAACUGAGCCCACUGGACAAACCCACAUAACAAAAACAAUGCCAUCGUUUUUUUUAAUAUGCUACGAGAUUGAUUAUUGUUAUUGACGAUAAUUAACACUCAAAUUAAACAUAAAAAUUACGAUUUACAUUCUUUGCAGCCAUGCUGAAAGCUUCCUUAUGAACCAUCUUUGGAUUCUCAGCUUUCAGCCUUUUGAUCUCCUCUCUGCAUUAAAACAAUAUUAAAACAGAUUUAUUUGUUUUAAAAAACCAUUUUCCAAAAAUGACAAAUUAAUGAUCCAAAUUGUGAAGGAAAACACUGAACAGAAUUAAUGUUUCUUGAUUAAUUACUUGAUGAAGCGAUUGUAAGCUGAAGGAGCCCUUUGCCUUUUCUCUGGAGCUGCAAAAAUUUAAAAAAUAAUAAUACAAUUUUACUAUUAUAACCACACAAUUAAAUGAUUAACUAACAAAAUAUUUAAUUAAUUUGAUGAAAUAACUUACGUUUAUUGAUUUUGCGAUUAAUAUCUUCAUCUUCAUUCUCAUCAGAAGUUACCAACAAUGGUGGGCUGCUAUCCAUGAACAACAAUGAACCCUUCUCUUCAUAUAGGCUACCCACUUGAUGAUUACCAUCUUCCUUUUGCUCCUUCACAAUCGUCAAAAUAGUCAUCCAAAAUAAUUACGAGUUAUUGGGAUGAAUCGAUUCUCCAGCGUGAUAUCAGAUUGUUUCACUGUGAGAUCGAGGCUCGGUAAAGGCAACAAUAUCAUGUGUUCAAUUACUUGAGUAAAAAAUUAAAUGAUGUUAAUUAAGGAGUGGUAUAUAAACCAAUUAUAACCCUCUUUCAAAAUCUCAAGAUAUUGUGACGAUAAUGAUUAGUACGAGAGCCUUCCAUGACAAUAGUUAGUGAAUCUAUGCAAACUUCAAUCCCUCUACCUGAUUAUGAACCUCGUCGUUGUCGAGUCCAACAUCGGGGGAGGCCGGCAAGAGAUGGAAGGGAAGGAAAGAGGCUUUGAUCAUAUUGACAGAGAGCAAGCUAGUGCAAUGGCCACACCUCACUGUAACCACCAUUGACAAGCUGCUGCAUGGCACACUCACCUUCAAAGAGCAUAAACAUAAUGAAGAUUUAAGCUUACUGACAUUAUAAGUAGAUAAGCUUUUGAAAAAGAUCAUUAAGAAGAAUGGGUUUAAUUUGAUUGGUUUUACCAGUAAGAUGGUGGUGCAGAAGCCACACUGGACAUAGCAGAUCUGGUCCUCUGCUGCUGCUGCUGCUGCUGGUAGAUCAAACAGUUGGCUGCUGACUGUUGACGACAUUUUGUCAAGAGAGAAUGAGAGAGACAAUGAGAAGAUGAUGGAAGUUUCAUAUGGGUUUUUUUAUAUAGGGAGAGAGCUAACUAUAGGGGUAAAAUUGUGAUAUUAUAAUUAUUUUUCCCUUUUUAUACCAAGAAGUUCUUUGACGGAUAUGGUGAUAUCGUCGUCAGAUAAAAUUUGGAGGUUGCCAAUCGUCAGCCCGGGUGAGACCGGUUAAGUCAUCACAAAAGUGCCAAAAUGGUUGUGCAUUCCAAAUUUCAAACACGAGAUCUUUAAGAACAAAAUCAGGUGUUACAACCAUUCGACUAUAACUUGUUAAAAUUAUGUUUUUUUUAAAUAAGUCAGAUUAUAAUGGUAAUUAAUCUCUUUUUGGUUGAGGGGUAUAAUGAUUGAUUAAUUGUCAUUAUCAUGAUGAUAAUAAUUAAGUCUCUGUUCGUCAGGUUGUUUGUAAUUUAUUACCAUCACAAAAUUACUCAUAAUUACAUGUGGCCACACAAGACUUUGAUAGAUAGAUGGUCCCUUUUCCAAGACUAUGAUUAAUUUUAGUUAAGUGUACUCUAAUGUGUUUCUAAUUAGUUUUAAUCAUUAGUUAAGAUUUUUUUUAUUAAGAUCAUAAUUAUGUCCUCAUUUUAUUAUAAUGUUAAUAAAGAUUAAAUUAGUAUAAUUAUAUCAUCAUUUUAUUAUAAUGUUAAUGCAACUCUUUUAAUAUUUUCAUAAAAGUAAGAUCUUAUCGAUAAAAUUCGUCUUAUUAUCACUUAUCGAAUCUUUUUAUAGAUCAUUAAUGACUAAAAACCUGUUAAUAAUUUGUUUUGUUUACGAGAUAAACACUCAACCAUUCCACUAAUCAAACUUCGUACUGCACACACUAAUGGUCACUUUUCAAUAGAGAAAAAACCUAAAAAGAUUAAAUCACCAAUAUGAUCAUCAUUUGAUAUUUGUGUAUCAACACAAGACUAUGAUUAAUUUUAGUUAAGUGUACUCUAAUGUGUUUCUAAUUAGUUUUAAUCAUUAGUUAAGAUUUUUUUUAUUAAGAUCAUAAUUAUGUCCUCAUUUUAUUAUAAUGUUAAUAAAGAUUAAAUUAGUAUAAUUAUAUCAUCAUUUUAUUAUAAUGUUAAUGCAACUCUUUUAAUAUUUUCAUAAAAGUAAGAUCUUAUCGAUAAAAUUCGUCUUAUUAUCACUUAUCGAAUCUUUUUAUAGAUCAUUAAUGACUAAAAACCUGUUAAUAAUUUGUUUUGUUUACGAGAUAAACACUCAACCAUUCCACUAAUCAAACUUCGUACUGCACACACUAAUGGUCACUUUUCAAUAGAGAAAAAACCUAAAAAGAUUAAAUCACCAAUAUGAUCAUCAUUUGAGUUUUGAGUGUCACCACCAAUAAAUGACAGUUUUUCAACUCUGCUUCAAACUUUCAAACAGUGGAACUACAGACAGUAAUUAAUUUACCAAGGUGAAUAAAAGUGGUAGUGGCCCCCUCUAAAGUGACUCAUGGGUUGUUUUCUGUGUCAUAAUUUACUGCUUCAAAACGAGAGAAAGGAUGGUGAAAAUUACCAAAGCAAGGUCAGGUUCUAGAAGAGUGGAUCAUGUUCGUAGAAGGAAAUGAAGCAUCUUGGCCUUUUGUCUUUCUGUCCAAAGGGGUUUCUUUAUGUUCCACUGUUAAUGCCACAUCUACCUUUGCCAAGUUUCCAUUUCCAUUUCCAAUUUUUUACCUCGAGUUAUUAUUUAAAAGAUGAUAGAGUCGGAGAUUUGUACAACUUUGAGUAAGUAUUGAAUCAUUAUGAUACCACGUUGUCAUAAACCACUGCAUGUCAACCACUUAAAUCAUUGGGACAUGACGAUUCAUAACAAGUCUUUGUUCUGUGAAUAACAUUCAGAAUCCAAAGGGAUAUUCAUAGUCAAAUACAAGUAUUAUUGAAAACAAACGCUAGACCGAACAACUAAAAAUAUAGAUAUCAAAAUGCAUAACAUUACUAUCAUCAUUGCCCUGGAUACUUUCGAAGGAUGGUGACAGCUCAGGACAGCCAACCUCCCUACGUACCAACUCUUUGGUGGAAUGUUGAAGUUUGAUGAUCCAAAUUCACCGUGUGUAUAUCAAAGAGGUCAGAUCAGCCGAGCUUGCAAGUCCGUAACCAAACUUCAUUAGUUCUUCAUCAUUAAUAUUUGUUAAACCAAUAACUUCUUCUCUCAUUGGUUAAUGAUUUAGGGUUAUGAUUUGGGUUUUUGUAGGAGAGAUUGGCAAAUGUGAAUGCAUGGAAAAAUGAAGGAGUCAGAAGUCAGGAACCAGAUAUUAAUUAGUAAGGGACUAAGAUUGAUAAAGGAUUAGAGCUCAAUUUGGAAAUGUGUAGGUGUGGGUGAUUCAAGUGCAUGAUUUCCUCAUUUUGUAUAAAUUGCCAGAUUGUCGUUGAAAGUGUUAAUCUCUAGUGAUUAUAGAAGGGUUAAGGGGGAAGUUCUUUUGAUAGCUAUGUUUGACCUAGUUUGGGGGUGGUUGCUACUAUAUCGUUCGAUUCGUUGGGUCGUUUUUACGGGUUUAUUAUGUCCCGGUUCGAUAAGGAUCAAGGGUUUCCUAACCCACUUAAUUGAUUGUUUGGGAUGGAAAUGCUCUAAUAGUUCUAUAUACUUUUAUUCUUGUACGUAUGAAAUUAAUCAUGCCUACGCACAUCUAUCGUAUACACUCAACCGCGAAACAUGCCGAUAAACUAGACCGAACGAAAUCAAACCGAUACAACUAAUUAAACCGAUUCUUGCUAUUAACCCAUCCACACCAACACACUAUGCAUGGAGAGACCAAUAUUAAUUGCACCACUUCAACCACCAAUUUGAGGACCACAUGAUAGGAUUGGAGAAGUAUUACUAAUUAAGAACCCUAAUUUUUUUUUUCUUUGUGAAUGGUGAUUCAGAGGGGAGUACCUCGUAGUUCUGUGUAGAGGUUGAAAGUAGUAAACUGAUAACAAUUUGGUUGACUGUGACUGCACAAGCUAGCAUUGAUUAAUGUGCCAUGAUUUUUGCUUCAUCUUGUUAAUUACUGAUCUGGAAAAUGUGGAUUAAUGGCCUUAAUUAAACUCUAUAUCACAAACAUUUUGUUUUGUUAAGAGUUAAUGGCGGGUUUGUCAGCUAUACAAAACCAUUUAGGCAAAGUUGAGUCAACUCAUCCAUGCACUAUGAAGAAGAACACUCAGUCAUCACUAGUGGAAUUUUGUUUUUGUCGUUUACUAUCUCAUUGUUGCCAGUUUUCCAGUUCAGAACAGAGCAACACAGACCCAAUUGGCAAUUGCAGAAUCACAAGUCAAUAAUUUUAUGAAUGAAGGUUUACAAGUCAUCCUGUGCAAAAGUUGGUAUAUAGGAGAUGUUGUGGGCUGUCAACGGUGGCAUCGGCCUCCAGCGUCGCGGUGCAAAGUUAAUAUGGAUGGUGCCUUGUUUACAGAGCAACGACGACGUCACGGAGUCGGGGUGGUGAUGGGGGACUUCGACGGGACUAUCUGGGACGCCUCCAGCGAAGCUUUGCGGGCUAAGGGUAGUAGAGGCUCGAGUUCUUGGAAGGGGUCAAGUGGAUCAUGGGGUUGCGGCGUUGCGGGAGCUAUUAAAAAAAAAAGAGUUCGGUCGAAUCCUUUUGAUUUACAAACAAAAUUCACCUAUUAUAAACAAAAGUCCUUCAAAAUUUUUAUGAACUAAUCCUACUACUAACUGUAAAUAAGUUUAAUUAGUGUAAUUACUAGCAGCAUUUUUUAUGAUCAGUAAUUUAUAAUUUUAACCAUGAUCGUUUUAUCAACCCUAUUCAUAUAUUAAAUGAGAUAAUAGAAAUAUCUAUAUAUGGGUAACACUUUGGUAUUUACAAAUAUCGGUAUCCUCUAUACUAUAAUUUUGUCAUAUUUUGUUAAAAAUAAGAGUUUGGAGGNNNNNNNNNNNNNNNNNNNNNNNNNNNNNNNNNNNNNNNNNNNNNNNNNNNNNNNNNNNNNNNNNNNNNNNNNNNNNNNNNNNNNNNNNNNNNNNNNNNNNNNNNNNNNNNNNNNNNNNNNNNNNNNNNNNNNNNNNNNNNNNNNNNNNNNNNNNNNNNNNNNNNNNNNNNNNNNNNNNNNNNNNNNNNNNNNNNNNNNUCAUUCGACCGUUAUUUACAGGGGUUACCAUAGUGAAUUUUUAUUUUUAGCCAUUUCCAAUAUGUAUGUCAAAUAUUAGCUGAUUUGAAAAUUUUAAAUUUUUUUUGUGAAAAUGGUCAAAUUUUCAUAGUAUAACACACGGAAAUUGAUAAAUUUUGAUAUGAAAAUUUUGAAAAUUUUCAAAUUGACUAAUAUUUGACAAGCAUAUUGAGAAUGGCUAAAAAUUGAGAUUUCACCAUGUUAAACCCUUCUAAUAAUAGUAAAAUGAAGUUAAAAAAAUAUUUUUUAAAGGUUUUGAUUGGUGUUGUUAGUGGGGAUGCAUGUGUUUUUUAUUACAAAAAUUUUACCUUUGAUUUUUAAUGGUUUCCCACCACAUAUUGUUCGGUACGAUUUUAAACCCCCUUACCAAUUUUCUGGCUCCAUCAAUGUGCGUGAGGACAAUGUUUUGUUCGAGAUCGAUUCACAGGUGGUUCAUGUGGCAUUGGCCCAUGAAGUGGUUGACCAAACGGAGUUUGGUAAAUUGAUCAAAGAAUGGCAGGCUGUACUUUUGUUACAACCUAGUUUCAAGGUUUUGUAGGUUAGGAGGAAUAGGAAUCCGAUUUUGGAGGAGGCCCUCCCGACUGAUUUGAACAACAUUUUGCUUUGCUUGUCAGCAGCAAUAAACGUUUGGGUUGUGAAAAAAAGGAGAUAUCGUUGAAUCUGCACUUGUUUAGCAUCGUUCAGUGUCUAUCUUCGGCUGGAGAAAUAGUCGUUUGAGGCACGAAGACGGUAGGCCAGAGCUCACGAAGAACGUAGAAGAACAAUACCGAUUAGGAUUUUAAGGGGCGAAGUGAGGGAUAACAUAGCAAUCCCUCGGCGUAUUCGGACAAAGUGACAGUAAGUGUGACAUGAGUAAUACCAUGUCAUUGAACAUUGAUCUCGAAGAGUAUACGUAACAUUGUCCUGUGUCGUCGCUUGAUUAGCUAAGUGUGUUGGUGCAAAUCCUACCUCUUGGCGACCAACACAGACUAAGAUGUGAUACAAAUCUAAGAAGCAUUACAGACUAAGUAGGCUUAAACAAUGAUCGAAUUGAACAAAGGGUCGUUAGGGUGAAAGAUUUCAAAAGGUGAUUUGGACAAAAUCACACACUAUAGAGAUUGUGAUAAAAUACACCGUUUGGCAUGGAACCAGAUUAUGAAACAAACAAUCAAAGUACGAUGUUAUGAAUUUAUGACAACAAAAUUUGUUAACCCAAUUAUGCUUCAAAAGAAGAGUAUGCAUACUACUGUGUUGUGAUGAUACCACCAAUUGCAAUGAUCAUACACAAGUAAUAUACGAGCUAACGAAUUAACUUCAUUCCCCUACUAAAACGGACAAACUGAUUAGAACAAUGAAUAUUCAGUUCAUCAACACCAAAAUCCCAACACUAGCAAAACUGAUCUUUGAAGGAACAAGGACCCAAACGAAGACACAGAACCAAUAUUUAUCUACACGGGACACAAAACGACUGAAACACAGGACCAUGGAGAAAACAAUAAACAACUUUUGGCCAAAACUUGUUACAGAACAGAUAGUAAGCCAAAGACACAAGAUAGACCACUACUAUAGAGGGCAGUCUUUCACCUUCUUCAAUAAGGAAAGACACUAGGAUCAAGAGGAAGAGGCACAUGGUACCGUCCACCAACUACAUCAGAAUGAUGACUACAAAAACUAACAGAGGGAGUGCAUAACUCAAGAACCAUGCAACAUACAUGAUCAAGAACACUUAGCAUUUGACCUUUAGGUUGCUCAACUAGUAGGCCAUUCACAAGACUCAGAAAUCAAGUAACAAGGACAAGUCUCACAGUGCAAAUUUGAGAAAUGAGUUGUUGACUGACCCUAAAGAGAGUAGAUGAAAACUGACGAUAACUGCCCUCAUUGUGCAAACCCAGUUGAAAUAAGAUACACCCACUCUAAAAUCAAUGUCAAAGCUUGAAACUUUAUCUUGUCCUCCUACUACGUACGCAGUUCAAGAAGAGCUAGAAACCAAUUGACAAUACAAAGUCUACAUAAGAUAUCUAGCAAUUGCAAGUGUAUAAUAAGAGCACUCAUGUCCAAUGACAAUUGAACAAAGCCAUCAGAAUCAAUGCCUAACCUCUGUCUAAACAACACACACAUCAUUAUAACCUAUCAAAGAGACAGACACAUUUAUGAACAUCUAAUGCCAGACAUGAAGAAAUUAACUGCAAUAACAAGCAAUUAGGCACGAAUUUAUGAAGCAGAGCGAUGUUUUGCAUAUCACAUAUCUAAACCAUCCAAAAUCCAACAGUUAACCAUAAACCUUUAAACCAUCCGGCGUUCAACAAACCUAAUCCAGAUGCUCAAAAUUCAAACAUAUUAUAAUCCAAAACACUCUCGAAACCUAAUCAGAGCCGGCCUUGUUGUAAACAUAGGUCAUCCCGCACUUGCCACAGUAGUGCCUGUCAAAGUGGUUGGCCAUAAACGUACCAGCUCCGCACUCGGCGUUGGGGCACUCCUUCCUCAGCCUCUGGACCUUGCCGGAGUCCUCCACCUUGUAGAACUGGAGGAUCGCGAGCUUCACCUUCUUCUUCUUAUGCUUGAUCUUCUUCGGCUUGGUGAACACCUUCUUCUUCCUCUUCUUGGCGCCACCGCGGAGGCGGAGCACCAGGUGGAGCGUCGACUCCUUCUGGAUGUUGUAGUCGGCUAAAGUGCGGCCGUCUUCCAGCUGCUUCCCGGCGAAGAUCAGACGCUGCUGGUCGGGUGGGAUUCCUUCCUUGUCCUGGAUCUUGGCCUUGACAUUGUCGAUCGUGUCCGAGGACUCGACCUCGAGGGUGAUGGUCUUCCCGGUUAGGGUUUUCACGAAGAUCUGCAUCGUGAGAGAGCUCAGAGCAAAAAGCACGAGUGGCUGCGAAAUGAGAGUGAAGAUGGAGUUUAUACCUCUGUGGGUGGGGAUUAGGGUAGGGUUUUGCAGGUUUCUUAAGAUUGGGCCGAUCCCAACAUUUGAAUAGUCCAUUUGAAUAAGUAGACAUGGGUGAUUGAUUAGGCCUCAAAAUCUUUGUUUUUUCUAAUAGCUUUGUGAGAAGAUAAUGAGAUAGUAAGUGGUAAACUUACAUUUUUAUCGAAAGAAUGAAAAUUAUCGAUAAAAUUUUUUAAAAAUAGUUAAAAGUUAGACAUAUUAUAAAAUGGGUGGCUCUCUAUUGACAAAACGGUGGAUCGUCUAGGGGCGGAGCCCCUGACUGACGAACAUAAGAUGGAGGAUGAUGUCUUGAACAAUCGAACUAUCAAAGGGGAGUAAGUCGACCAUUGCGGAAAUGAGAUGCGAACUUUUCGACGUCUCCUUCAAUAUCAACCUCAGAGCCUUGAUUCUCUAAGAAUAACAAUCAUCUAAACCCCUUUUAUAUUUAUAUUUACACAACUACCUUUCAUCAGUACUAUGUGCUAUAUAUUAAUUAGUUACUGAUGAUUAUUUUAUACUCUUCUUUAUAAUAUAAUUCGUUUUGUAAUUUGUAUGCUACGAGCUUCGAAUACACUUAUUUGUUUUAAACUCACAACGGAUAUGUUCGUCUAUUAAAAUAAACGCCAAAUCUUGCCGAUGACACAUGAGUAGUUUCGUUCGCACAUAAACAAGAAUUCGUUCUAAAAAUGUUAAGAUAACAUACUUUCCAAUCAACAAGCGGAUAAUUAUCUAGUUUAAAUUCGUCAUUUUUCGUACCAACAUAUACAACUAAGAUGAUUAGUAACCAAUCAUGCAUCAUGGAUGGAAAUCAACCGAGGAUAACAUCCACGACAAUGAUGAUCUCUGCGGGAGCGAUUUACUUGAGAAAAAGUGAAUCCUCAAAUCCAUGUUAGAUUACAUGCUAUUUAUUGAUCAAAUAGGAAAGGAUAUGGUAUAUCCUAAUAUCUAGAGUUUAAAUCCAAUAUAUCUUACGAAAUGAAUAUUAAUAUAAUAUUUUUUUUAUUUUUUUUAUAUUGACAGGGAAUCUCGGUAAAAAAAACAUAGCCAUUAAUAAUAAUGUGUACAUUCCAUUAACAAAAUGUACAUUUCAUGUGUAGUUGGGAGAGAUGUGACCAUGCUUGUAGGACCAAUGGUGGGGAUUACCUUCCAGAAAGUAGGAAGUGUAAUGAGAAUUGGCAACCAAAGUGUCGACAUGACAUGAUUUUCUUUACACCAUUGUCUUGGAAGUUUAUGGAAUAAUCAAACAGAAGAUGAAUGAUAAUCCCAUAUUGUAAUCUCUCAUACAGAAGCAACAAAUUUGAUACCAGAAACAGUAUUUGAUCAUUGUGGAAAACGUGUCGAAUCAACGCGAAUCCGAAAACCCAACCCGAAGCAAUGGCCUCCAAACACCUGCAGCGUUCUCAUUCCAACAUCCAUCUCACAGAUUCGUCCAUGCACUCUUUCAGCUACAAGCGGCUGUAAAGAGGGUCAAAGUUUCCUUCUUUUCCCAUUUUAAUUUCUCCAAAUUUUGACAGGACAUUGACAAACACAAUUUUGCCGCUUUCAUCAACAGUCGUCCCUUCUUCAGCAACCCAGAAGCUCGAUACCCAUUACCCACAUCUGUGAUCAUCUAAAAUCCCUGUGCUUCUGUGGUGAAAGAAAGCUCCUUUGAAGGGGAUAUCCAGAUUUUGCAAGAGAGAAGCUUUCAAUUUGUCUCUUCAUUUCUGUAAGUGCUGCUGAAAAACUCGCGUGUCCUGCAUUUUCAAUCAUGGGGGUUUAUAGUGGAGAAUCAUGGGGAUUGAAGUAUAUAUAUAUCUACCCUUUAUGCUUGAUUUCACGUAUGGGGUCCAAAAAAUUGGACUACCUGCCUUUUUCCUUUAUAGCAUCGAUUCCUUGAGUGUUGGUUUAAGAUGACCCUUCAGAUUUUGUUCAUUUUUGGGGUUUUUUCUGUCUCUUAAUAGUAAUACUUGUCUUCAUUCUAAACAAUCUGUGCGAAGUUUCUUGUAUAGUUACAAAAAGGAUGGUUCUUUGUAAUCCAUGUUAGGUUCAGCUGCAGUCAAUUGCUUGGACGUUAGUUAGUAUUAUGAUUUCUUUUGGAAGCCUUAGUUCUCAAUAUGGUAUCUUGGUGAGCAUGUCCAGUGUAUGAUAGGAGUGUAGUUCUGAGAGGGAAUCAAUAUUUGAGUAAAGAAAAUGUUGACUUUGUUAGCAGGAUCGUCGAACCGGACUUGGCAGCCGAUCAUGACAGCCCAUACGACUGAGCCGAGCUAUUGGUUGAACUGGAGGUUCGCCAUUUGUGGAGUUUUCAUUGCAGUAAUCAUGGCUCUAUCAGGUCUUCUGAUAUGGAAGUAUGAAGGGUCCAAGGAAUCGGAGUUCGAAUCCGAAAGAAGAGAAAGCCGCCGGUCACCAAGUGUUGGAUCCUUGUAUAAGGAUGAAGCUGGGAGAACUUGUAUGAAGACAAUUCAUCCUAUUUGGUUGCUAGGUUUCAGGAUUGUUGCCUUUGUUAUUCUCUUCUGUUUGCUCACCACGAAUACUGUCGUUGAUGGAGGAGGCAUCUUCUUCUUCUAUACUCAGUAAGUUAUCCCUUUAUAGUAACAUCAUAGCCUUUGGUUAACUAGCUUCACAUUACAUUAGUAACUAGUUUUUUGUUGGCCUACUUGCUUAGGUGGACAUUCUCUUUGGUGACCAUUUAUUUCGGAGUAAGCUCUCUCGAAAAAUCUGUUUUACAAAUAUGGUUACAAGUUGUUGAUAGAUCGAACUAGUUUCUUAUGAUCCUCAUUCUAAAUCUGAAGUAUGGAUCAGCAAUGUCGAUUUACGGAUGUUGCAAAGGUCAUGAUACUUCGGCUUUGGAUACUGAGAGAGGUAACUACAUUGCUCCGGAUCUUGGAGAAUUCGGAGAUUCAUCCAGCCGUGUAAAGAGUGCAGCUUUGGAUCAAGAACAAGAUCCGUGCUCUGAACAAAAGCAAAUUGCUGCUGCAUGGGGAUACGUGUUUCAAAUCAUCUUCCAGGUGAUUCAUAUCUUUUAGUUCAGAUCCAAAGACUUGAGUUUGAUAUUUCGAGUUCAGUGAGUUUGAAAUGUGUCUCAUUAUUUUUUGAUCCACUGUAUUACAGACUUGUGCAGGAGCUGUGGUGCUCACUGAUACUGUGUUCUGGUUCAUUCUUUAUCCCUUCCUAAUGGCUGCAGAUUUCAAGCUUGAUUUCGUAAGUUUUCGACUUUUUCUCCGUAUCUAGAAUACAUAUCCGAGUUAUGUUCGUUAAUCGAAAUUCGGGUUUUCCACAAAUGCAGAUAAAUAUUUGUAUGCAUUCAGUCAAUGCGAUUUUCCUCCUUGGCGACACGAUAUUGAACGGGAUGGUAAACUUCACCAUCCUCUAUUAUCCAUCUCGUUCGAACUGUGCUAGUCGGUAACAAAUCUGAAUAAAUCAUCUUUCUUUUUCCAUCUAGCGGUUUCCAAUGUUUCGAAUCGCGUACUUCAUUCUGUGGACGAGCGUGUUCGUGGUUUUCCAGUGGAUCAUCCAUGCCGUUGUCUCAAUGUGGUAAGUUUCUGAGCAGAAACUAAUCGAUCGUUCGCUUAUACUUCCAUAAACCUUUGACUGGAAAACAUUGACACUUUGAUCUGGAAUUAGGUGGCCAUAUCCAUUUCUCGACUUGUCGUCUAAAUACGCUCCUUUUUGGUAUGAACGACGAAUGCAUCUAAACCACAUUACUAGCUACUCAUGAUUCGUCUUUUUGGAUAACUGAUUGUAUCAAUUUUGCAGGUACCUUGGAGUGGGAGUGAUGCAUAUUCCUUGUUACGGGAUCUUUGCUCUUAUAGUUAGAUUAAAAUACUUCUGCUUGGCAAAAUGAAAGAGCGACUCCGUUCGAUCAAUAUCGAAAGAGAGAGGCAAUGUUAUGAAGCACAGGCCAUUUCAGUGCCUUGGCUCCCAAGUUUCUGUAAAAAGUCUCGAUUAGGGUUAACGAGUAUUAUGUGUUUGGUUAUUGUUUGAUCAAACCACCGUUAUAGAGUUAAAUGCACCUAUUUUUUCAAUCCGGUUAGAUAGCAAUUUCGAGAUUACAGUUUUGCUAGGUUUAUCACAUUCAUACUUGUAGAACAAAGUUAACUAAACUAUAAAUUCUCAUAUGGACUGGAAUCCACCAGUUUUAUAGUUCGCGAAGACGAAAACCUAUUCGGUAAUAAUUGUUGAGAGCACAAGAGAGAGUUAAUUACACGAAACUUCGAAUGUUUGGUCUUCUGCUAUUUCUGAUCCUGUACUAUUCUCUACAGGCUUAAGCCGAGUGUUCAAAGUACAUAUCUUUCGAAACUACGAGUGUCCAAUGAACAUCCUUAUCUAAGGCUUUACAUUCUCCCUGAUGAACCGUUCAACAUCCGCGAUUUUACCGGUCAAACUGGAAGCUUCCCCGACCGAGACAUUAUUAGUGCACUGAGAGAAUGAAAAUGGCUUCCCGGAUAUACCAAGUGUAUGGUAGUUUGCCACGUCAGCAUCCGAAACACUGCUUCUCGAUUCUCGUAGCUUAUCACUGUUAGCAGAGAGUGCAAAUACAGUUAGAUGAGCUUACAAGUAGCUAGAACAAGCAACACGGAGGAAUCGAAAAGCUGUACAUCUCUUUUUCAAGUUGCUUGCAGAUGAACUCCUUGGUAUGUGCUGUCACCUUCUCUGUUUUGUUGCAGCAGAUCAAGACUGGAACCUUCUUGCUUACCACACUUGCUUUAGUCAAAAUAUCAUACAGGUAUCUGUCACCAAAAGAAAAAUGACAAAAAAAGAGUUGGAUGCAUUGUAAGCAAUCACACAAACAUAGGAUACUGUAUGGUUAAUUUGUUGAGAAGGUUUUACUCUGAAACUGCACGGAGGUUAGGUAAGAACUCUAGAGCAUCAACAAGAAAGACAACGCCAGCUGCUUGAGGCAAGAACUCGUCCAGCUUUGGCCGGAGACGAGGAUGCCCAGGAACAUCAACAAUGUGGAUAGGUUUCACCUUGCGCUCCUGUCGAGGAAUGAAGAAAACGAGAUAAGCAAACACGAAGAAGAUAAGAAAACGUCCCUAGUAUAUGGUUUCCCAUUCAAUCGAGAUAUCUAGAGCUUGAAUAUGAGCAUUCCAAGUGUUGAUUACCUUGCCAGCUUCAGAAUGGAGACUGAAAGUUCCUUCGUUUGGUUCCAUUGAGGUCGCAGCACCUUGAUGUGAAGAGCCAUCCCGAAGCUAGCAAAGAAGGAAAACAAUAUUUAUCAGAAACAUGUGGCUUCUAAAUCCAACUUUGUGAAAUACCAGACACCGGGAAAAAAAGAGAUCAUAAACAACACCGCCGAGUUCUGGAUAGGGCAAACUAUGACAGUUUCUUGGAAUGUAUCAUCAGAGUCAGGCAUGAACCAGAAACAAAAACAUGUAAGAAAUGAUUGGCGAGCACACCUGAUAGAAAAGAACUGUUUUUCCACUCCCGCUAAGUCCAGACAAGACAAUGGUGUUAGACCUAGAGCGUUUGAACAAGCGACCUGUGAAACAAGAAAGGAUAUACAUCAAAUACCAUUCUCAUUCUGACCUUUCCCAGGAAUUUGGUCACGGGUCAUUCAUUUCCAUCCAACGAUGUAAAGUUUGGAUUUCAGCAUAGCAUAUGUUAAACCAUUCCAGAAACGAAAUACCAGCUGGGAAUCAGAACAAAAUUCAAAUAUUCAGUUCACCCUCCUGAUUUAACCUCCAGUGCAUGAUUAAGCAGCUAAAAUUCAAUUACCAAUGUGACCACUAUUGCAGCUAGAAGCCUUAAGUUAUCAAUUGUCAACCUAACCAGUUUCUCAAAAUUCAUCCAAAGAGUCACUGAUCCUCGAGGACCAACUCAAAGCAAGGUCAACUUAUAAUUCAAGGGGAAAGAGGUCAACAUUACUUAGAAUCAACACAAGAAUAGGGAAACACAGCACGGCAGCAGCGGAGUAGAGCUGAACAGGCGGUAUCUGACGAGCGUAUUCAAUCCCUUGCUGAAUUGCCGGUACCUGACUGGCGUAUUCGAUCCCUUGCUGAAUUGCUGGUACCUGACUAACGUAAUCGAUUCCCUGCUGAAUCCAUUGCUCCGCCUCCCUCUUCCACUGCUCAAUCCCUUCCAUCGAUAGAGAGAUUAAACACGCAGCAACUACGAAAACUCCCGCAGCCAGACAGAAAUUCCAAACUUCUUCAGAGAAUUAAGAUCAUUUCUGGAGCUCGAGAUUGAUUACCGGCGAGAGGAGACGAAGACACAGAGCGAGACUCCGCCGAGGUCGCCGGUGAAUCGGAGAAGGGUGUGCGUUUUGGACCGAGAGUGAAGAGUUCCGAUCUGGUGACGAUCUUUUUAAAGCUUCACCGUUUUUGGUAAGUUAGAAGAAGAUGAGUUGGCGAACUUCAGAUGGGCUUUCGGCCCGGAUAGCUUAAAUUGGCCAAAAUCGUUAUAGUAACUAAAACGAUUAUUGGGCCGGUGGAAUUAUGAUCCGGCCCGUAGAAGAGAAGUUGCCAUCCUUACUGACGGGGUGAGGAUGGUAAAGAAGAUUUUCUCGAUUAUUCACAUGUAUAUUCAAAGUAACAAGUUUUAUACACCCUAUCAAUUAUCAAUACAAUAUGUAUUGAUGUUCCCACCAAUUUGGUUCAAGCCAUAGCAUCAGCAAAACAAUUUGUUUAGCUAUAAAGAUAGAUUGAAUCUCCCAAUCUCUAACACGAAAUUUCUUAAAUUGAUGUACCAAGCUAACAGUAUUAUGAUUUACGUCAUUGGACUUGAAAAAGAGUUAUGUCAUAUUUGGAUUUCCACUUUCUGAAAUUCUCGCCUCCAAACGAUUUCCAAAUCAUCAAGAACAUCCUGCAACUAUACUCUAUUGAUUGUAUAAACACCCAAAUUAAAAACAAAAACUUCAAUACUCUUCAAAGAUGAUCGCAAAAAACACCUCAAAUAAUUACGUAACCUCAAUCCGAUCCACCGAACCAUCAAUUCAUCUUCACCCAACCAUCAAUAAUAACCUUUUUAUUGUCUUUUGUCCCAAGCAAUAAUAUAACACCAAACAAAAUCCAAGUCCUCGUCACAAGUUGGUGUUUGGUACGCUUACUCUCCACCCAAUUCCGCAACUACCCAUCAAGCACUAAACUUCUCAGCUCGCAACUCUCACCAACUUCGCAUCUUCAAUUCAAUUUCUUCCCCCUGAUCAGGUAUGAAUUCACAAUUUCCAUUCAUUCUCAUCUCCAGUUUCGAUCCAUCGUUCUUCUGAGUCUCACUCUAAUCCUCCGUUUGCAUCCCCCGCCAGUUUGAAAAAAAAAAUGGCGCGGAAGAAGAUCAGAGAGUACGACUCCAAGAGGCUUCUCAAGGAGCAUUUCAAGCGCCUCUCCGGCUCCGAUCUGCCCAUCAAAUCCGCCCAAGUAAGCCUUUUUUUGUUUCUUCUUUCAAACUCACGCAUGAACAGAAUCCCCACCGUGAAUUUUGUGUGUUUAGGUUAAGGAAUCGACUGAUGUGUUGGAGCUGGCGGAGACUGAGCCAUGGCUGUUGAACGGGAAGCUGGUGGUGAAACCGGACAUGCUGUUUGGGAAGCGUGGCAAAAGUGGGCUUGUGGCGUUGAAUCUGGAUCUGGCUCAAGUUGGUUCCUUUGUGAAAGAACGGCUCGGGAAAGAGGUUGAGAUGAGUGGAUGUAAAGGACCCAUUACUACUUUCAUUGUGGAGCCGUUUAUCCCUCAUGAUCAGGAGUUUUACCUCAACAUUGUGUCUGAGAGGCUUGGAUGCAGUGUUAGCUUUUCGGAAUGUGGAGGGAUUGAGAUUGAAGAGAAUUGGGAUAAGGUAAACAAACCAACCCCGUAAGGAUUGAAUGAAAAGGAGAGAAUUUGAUUCUUAAGAGCCUUGUAACUUUGUUCAUGCGUGUUCUUAGGUUAAGACGAUCUUUGUUCCGACUGGGGAGUCCUGGACUUCAGAGAUCUGUGCUCCACUCAUUGCUACAUUGCCUUUGGAGGUAAACUGAGUUUGAUUUUUGGUCUUUUGAUUGAAGAUUGUUUGAAGGAGUUAAUGACAUUAGGAAUUCUGUUUUUUUUUUUCGGAUUCAGAUUAGAGGCGAGAUCAACAAGUUUAUUUCGGUGGUCUAUACUCUAUUUCAAGGUAUGCGUACAUGUCGCCAUUAAUAUGUGUCUGUAUAUCAUCAUUAUUUUUGGCUGUUAUGAGAGAAUUUUGGUAUUUCGAUGAGUAGAUCUUGACUUUACGUUCCUGGAGAUGAACCCUUUCACUCUGGUUGAUGGAAAGCCUUAUCCUUUGGACAUGAGGGGGGAACUUGAUGACACUGCUACAUUCAAGAACUUCAAGAAGUAGGAACCCCCAUUUCCCCUUUGAUGUUUUGCAUUACAGUUUCUGUUCCUCUUUUUCUGUUUAUGUUUCCUGAUUCAAUUGGCUCGAACUGUUUUUUGUAUAAAGGUGGGGAAACAUUGAGUUCCCGCUACCAUUCGGGAGAGUGAUGAGUGCCACGGAAAGCUUCAUCCACCGUCUAGAUGAGAAGGUACACAUCUCCCUCACAAAUCCCAUUGAGCCUUUAUGUUUCUGAUUCAUUCGGAAUUUUCACUGAUCGAGAAAUGUUGGAAUUCAUUUUGAUGAUGACAGACAAGUGCAUCUUUGAAGUUCACAAUUUUGAACCCAAAGGGGAGAAUCUGGACCAUGGUGGCUGGUGGAGGUGCGAGUGUGAUCUAUGCUGACACAGUAUGGAUCGUGAAACUCUCUGUGAUUCAGAAGCUCUUUCCUCGUCAUGGCUUCUUAUGUCUUUUCUAAUCACAGGUAGGAGAUCUUGGGUAUGCUUCAGAGCUGGGGAACUAUGCGGAGUACAGUGGCGCACCGAACGAAGAGGAAGUUCUGCAGUAUGCCAGAGUUGUGAUUGAUGUGAGAGAACUCUUUUCUCCACACCUCUGAUUCGAUAGAGUCCUUCACGUUUUUCGAUGUUGAAUGCACCCUUUUGCGUGUUGUGUGUGUCUCAGUGUGCAACAUCUGAUCCUGAUGGCCAAAAGAGAGCCCUUGUUGUCGGAGGAGGGAUUGCAAACUUCACCGACGUCGCUGCCACCUUCAAUGGCAUAAUCCGAGCGAUGAAGGAGAAGGUGAGUUCUCAAUCUGAUAAAUUCUUCGUGCAAGAUGCAAUCUUUUUGAGUGAAAGAAACCUUCAUGCAAAUUCUCGUUCUCGUCCUUAGGAAUCGAAGCUGAAAGCUGCCAGGAUGCACAUAUUUGUAAGGAGAGGAGGUCCAAACUACCAGAAGGGUCUCGCCAGAAUGAGGGCACUCGGGGGAGAAAUCGGGAUUCACAUUGAGGUACUACUCUCGAGAUUCAUGAAACAUGUUUUUUUCUUAUGUUAAAUUCAAACGAUUCUCAAUCUUAACAAGGUUCGUCUCUGCUUCGAUCGCAGGUUUAUGGUCCGGAAGCGACAAUGACUGGUAUCUGCAAGCAGGCUAUUGAGUGCAUCUCUGUUUCUGCAUAAGCACCCCUUCCUCUCUUCAUGUCUUUGGUGUGCUGUCAGAAAUUUUGGAGUCUUUAGACUGUUUUCUGUGGAAAUGUUGAUCUUUUCAUCUGGUAAUAAAACUGGUUGUUGAAGCUUAUUAUUAAUAAGAAGCUUAAAGAAUCAAGAACAAGACGGGGGUGGUUUGGAUGGGAGUAUUUUAAGAGAAAUGGAGAUAUGGAAAGAUUGGGUUUAGGGUGGUCUUGGUUGACAGUUAGGUACACCAAAAGAGAGCAUCAUGACAUAACCAAAAAAAGAUAACUCGCAUCUUUCUCUUACGUUAGUUCAUCAGAAUCCAACGUUAGUUCAUCAGAAUCCACUAGAAAAUAAUGUUCAUGACAUCGAUUAAAUGGACCCAUUUGAAGAUCAUCGCAACCACCCUUCGGAUAGUAUGUUGUAUCACAAUCCACAGAGAUGAAAAAGCCAGAUUUGCGAACGAGGUAUAAUCAAGGUGGUAAUUUCAUCGGUUCUCAUCGCACUUUUUACUAUUUUUUUGUAGUUUUGUACCUGGUUGAAAAUUGACAUUUUUGAAAUUUACAUUACAGAACAGCAUCAUGGACUAGUCUCCAUACGGAAAAGAUUACUUCCCACGGGUCAUCUAUAUGAAGUAGUUUGGCUUAGAUAACUUAAAGAAUCUCGUUUGUAUCAAGACACUUCGUUUGUCAUCCAAAAUAAAAAUCAUGGUAUUUUUAACUGUGGUAUUUGAAAUAAAUACUUGGUUAUAAGGUGGUAUUUGAAAUAACUAAUUCAAAACUCAAAAUUUAUUAUUUUGUAUUAGUCAAAUAAGGUCAUUUUUACCUAUCAAAUUUUUUAUACUUUAAAAAUAUCACAUUUCCAAAUAAUAUCUCAUUUGUAAAAUAACUCGUCGGACAAAAACGGAAAGAUAAUUAGAGGGUAGCAUAAGGUUUUGAAUGAGAGGGUGCUUAGUUUAGGUAGUGGUGGCCUCGUGGUCCAAGGAAUUCCCGUGGGAUUUAAAUAAUAAUAAUGAUUAAAGUGGGAUUAGGAGGAGGAUGGGCAAGAGUUCAUAAUAAUAAUAAUAAUUUAUUGUUGGUAUAAUUAUUUUUGACUGAAUUAUUAUUAUAAUUAUAAUAAUUAAAAAAAGUAUAGGGAGAAUAUUCAGUUGAACAACUCAAUAAUAAGUAGGUCGAUCGUUUUUCUUUAAUUUACUCAAUUUAUGACCGAGGUUGGUACCACUUAAGAGGCUAUUACUUAUAUUCUAAGAUCAUUAGGUAGAAUAUUUUGUGUUCCCUAAUAGCAUCUAGUUGAUCAAUGUUAUCCAACUUUCAUCUUAUAAGUUGUCAUGACAUUAUUUUUUUUUAUAAUAAGCUGUUAAACUUUCAUUCAUGUAAAGCAAAUUACAUUACGAUUAAGUUAUCCCAUCGGAGGGGCAGGCCCUAUAAUCAAGGCUAUAUGGACUGCGGAUCCUUACGAAUAAGUGACAUCACUUUUUUCUCUCUAACAUAUUGAUCAACUAGUGAAAAUCAAAGCAAAACAUAGAAAUAGGCCAAAAGAAACGAGACAAGUAAACCUAUUGAAGACCUAGCCAGCAAGCGACCUUAUUUGACACCCUGAAAGCGGCCAGGAUCCCAAGUGGUCGAUUUCCUCCUCCGCUAUGGGAUGAGGACCUCUUAGCAUGGCUCCUGGCGGCGAUGGCUCGUAGUUGUCGAUCUCCUCCUCCGCUACUGGAUCUGAAUCGCGGCCGAAGGUGAGGGAGAGCAUGGAAGCGGCCCAACGAGUUGUGGCCGUUGGUGUUGACGCUAAGGGGUUGUGAAGGUGGUUGUGAGUUGUGUUGAGGUGUUGUUGAUGCGAUUAGAAACGGUUACAUUAAGGUCUCCUUUCAGUUGAAAGCUUUUAGGAGGGUUAUCUAGAAUAUUAAUUAGUUGUAUUUGUCAUAACAUUAUUUUCAUUAUUUAACUUAAUUCUUUUCUAAAAAUAAGGGACCUAAUUUGUGUGGGGAAAAAAAUAAAAAAGCCAACGAAAUGAAAAAAGACAAGAAAUGCUCAGAGACCCACAUGCUAAAAGGCGAACAACUACUGUUGCUGAAUUCGAUCAAUCACAGCCAUUGAUUAGACUGCUUUGAUUUUACAUUCUCAAAAUUUUCAAAAUAUUUUUGUUUUAUUUUUCUUUCUUUUAUUGGGAGGCAAAAUUUAAAUUCUUUUCUUUUAAAUUUAAUCCAAACUGCAAAAUAAAUAAUAAAAUAAUUAGGGGGUGAUUUGAUGGGGCUGCUGCCUAAUAUUCUGGCGCGCACCUUUACCAGUAAAAAACAUUCACUAAAAUAUUUGCUACACCAAAAAAUCACAGUUCCAAUGCAGAAUGUUUUUUAACAUUUAUUACUUGACCCAUAAUCACAAAUUAUGAGAAUUAGGGAAUGCAUUUCGGUCACUAGUUUGGAUAUACAUUUCAAACCGGCUAACCGAACAUCGGAUGACACUACUACUUGAUCAUGUCAAGUCGCUUUUAGGCUGACAAAUACACGGUUUAGUGAUGGAGAAUCGGGUGUAGUAUGUGUCUAUUCCGAGCUGUCUUCAAGCUUAUACACGUGUUUUUAUUAGAUGUGUAGAGAUUCUAGUACGAUGGAGCGAGUGAGGUGGUCAAACAGAUGAUGCGAGUGAAAAGAGAGACAACAGAAUACUUGAGGAUGCCCUUGCACGUAUAUAGACCUAAGACAUUUCUGGACUGAUAAGGCGUCUGGGUCUUAGCUUAUUCUGUUUUGAAAUGAUAGGAGACGGGUGAUGUCGAUUACCGUCAUAACAGUGUUGAAAUGAUUGCGCAUUUUGAACUUCGAACCUAAGAUCCCUGGAAAUAAAGUCAGGUGCUAUAAUCCCUUGACAACAACUUGUUUGGCCUAUAUUUGGGAUAAAUAAAUCAAUAGAGUGUCACCCUCAUGAAUUGGGGAUCUUUUCUUCUAUAGUAAUCUCGGGGGAUCCAAAUAGUGGUGUUAUAUGUUGUAAUCUGAUCAACAAAUCAAUUGAGACAGAUUUACACACUUUGUAUGAGGCGGUUGGACUCGGCCAUGUGAUUGGGAUUUCGAACAUGCGCUCGGGUUGCUGGCGCUAACCGGCUCGCCUUAGACCGACAGCCCGGUUCUGGUUUGAGCCACAUGACUCAUCACCACUAAUAACCCGAACCGAAAUUCAAAACUCGAAUUUGGACCGAUUGGUCUUUUUAGAAUUAAUUUGAAAAGAAAUUUGCCUUUGGUGGACAGUGGACUGGACAACGGCGCAUGCUAGCAGGAGGGCCCAUUGGUUUCAGAACCCUUUUUUUAACAGAAUGGGAAUAUAUUAUUUAUUUAUUAAUUUGGUGAAUUAUUUUUACUUUUUUCACUCUUACCAAUUUAAUGAAAAAGCACAUUUUAAAGCGAAAAAAGUCGAAAACAGACAAAAGGAAAGACAAAUUCAACCACGUGACCUGUCAAUAAUCUGUUUUUUUUACCCCACCAAGCAAGCAAUUUUUGCCAAUUUUAUACAUAUUUUUUUAUGAAUGACAUUACUAAUUUUAUUUGUGUUUUUAAAUAAAAACUCAUUAAUUCAUAAUAUUACACAUAUUACUCCAAGCAUUCUCUAACUAAAUCGGAUAAGUAUUUUUCACAACAAUGAAUGUCAAAUAAACACAAUCACUAGCCAAAACAUAGACUUACUUUUAUUGUCGGAGUCAAUUAAACAAUUAAAAUGUAGUUAUUNNNNNUUAAAAUGUAGUUAUUUCAAGAAUGGUAUAAGAUUAUGAGAAAAAAAAACGAACAAAAUAUACAUAUGUAUUCUUUUUAAAUUUUAUAACAUUAUGCGUCUUUCAUCAAGGCGGGCAAGGGCAGUAUUUAUAGUCUGGUGAUGGACGUUGUGACUUCAUCACAUCGAUUGAUAUGAUUAAAACGAUCUCAACCAUCAAUUUGAAAUAGUAUGCUCUUAAUCAAUGAGCUAAGUAACCAGAACAAAUUAAUUUAGAUAAAGUCCAUAUCUCUACUNNNNNNNNNNNNNNNUCCAUAUCUCUACUGUCCAAGAGCCCCUAAGUAAUCUAUUUACAUCCAAACCUCAUCAGAGUUAUAGGUCAAACUUUAAUAUUCAAAUUCAAAUGAUUAUCCAACAAUGUUGACUCUUAUUUGAGUUAUCGUUAACCAAUCAGGUUUAUUAUAAAUUCUACAAGUUAGAUAAUCAUAUCAAUAAUUACUAGUCGAAUCUCGAAUGACAUUCAUUACCUAGAUAAACAAUUUCCAUUUGAAUUCAAAGGUCAAAAUGAAAAAUGGUAGGUUGGUAUACUUACACCCUACAAAGAACUUAACUAACCAGUAGCUACUUCGUUCAAUUUUCUUAUUAAAAUUUAAACGAGACAUUUAUUGUAAAUAAUAGAAAAUCUCGGCCAUUAUUCCAAAACUACUUAUAAAUUAUUAAUUUCUUACAAAAUUAAUCCUCCUAAUUUACCGAAAUAGUAAUUACCAAAAGUACCCCCCUACUGAUUCCAAACGAAAUGCAAUCAACCACAAACAAAUAAAAAAUCCCCCCCUAAAUAAGCAUCCUUUUCAUGUCUUGUAGAUGAUUUAUUCCCAUAACUUUAACCCAAUAAUUGUUCCCCUAAUAAUCAAAUAUUCAAAUUCCCUCCCUUUAUUUAUUUAUUUUUAAUUAAAAAAAAAGCAGCAACUGGUUGAACUGGGGCGAAAGAGAUGACUCUGCAGCAGCUGCUCCUCCAUCUCUGUAUCUGUGUCCAAGUUUUUGGCAUUUUCUCUUAACCCCUUUUGCCAUCUCUUUGCCCCCCUUUUCCAUCUCCGUGGGUUACUGUAAACCAAGAAAUUCUCCAUUCCCAUAAUCUUCUCUCAUCCUAAUCUUCCCACAGACUGAAGAAGAAGAAGAACAGCAAACAAAGAAGCAAGCUUUCCUGAAAGAGGGCUAAAGGAGAAUAGAAUUCUUUUUGGGGGCAGGGGGAAGGAAUUGCACCGGAGUCCGAGGUGCAGCAGGAAAACAUAGCCAGAUCUCGUGGGGGGUGAAAAAGGAAAUUCCUUUUCCCCAAACCCCAGCUGGUGAAAAAUUUGGAGGAGAAAAGGAAAGUGAAAGGGAUAUGAUAUGAGAAUGCUGGCUUCCUGAGAAAGCAAAGGAGAUAAAAUAUUUGUUUUAGUGCAGUGGUUGUUUGGUUGUUAGGGUGUUGGUUGGCAAUGGUGGAUUGAACAGACUGUAGUGGUUGAAGAAGAAGGGAAAAAGAGUCAAUUUUUUGAAGUGUGGGAAAGAGAUUGAGAGAAGAGAAAAAUGGAAGGGAGGAAGAGUUUCAGGAUUUGGGAGUUUGGGUUACUGGUUUUGGCAGUAAUGGAGAUAUGCUCUGCUACUCUUUCUCCUAGUGGUAUUAACUAUGAAGGUCAGUUGUUUCAUUCAUGAGCAAAGAAAAAAUUUUCUGUUUCUUUCUUCCUAAAACAUGUUGUUUACUUGCGUGUGUGUUUUUUCACAGUGGUGGCUUUGGUGGCAAUAAGGAAUGCUUUACACGACCCUUACAAUGUUCUGGACAAUUGGGAUGCUAAUUCUGUGGAUCCUUGUAGCUGGAGGAUGGUUACUUGCUCAUCAGAUGGAUAUGUUUCUGCUCUGUAAGUGUUUGAAUUUAUAUAUUCUGUUGGUGGGUGUCAUGGUUCAUUUACUGAAAUCCAUUUUUCCAUAAAUAGGGGACUUCCCAGUCAGAGCUUGUCUGGGACUUUAUCACCUUCCAUUGGCAACCUUACUAACUUGCAAUCCGUGUAAGUUUUAGAUCAAGUUUUGUACGUUGUAAUGCUGUCUUAGCUUCUUUGAGUUGUUUUUGGUACAAUAUGCUUUAAUCUUUACCUUCUACUUUUCCCUCUUCAGGUUGCUGCAAAACAAUGCUAUCUCAGGUCCUAUACCUGGCUCAAUUGGGAAACUGGAGAAGCUUCAGACUCUUGAUCUCUCCAACAACUCGUUCUACGGAGAGAUUCCGGCUUCGUUAGGGGAUCUCAAGAUGCUGAAUUAUCUGUAAGCUCCAGACAGUUAAUCAAUCAAAUGUUCUUCUGUCAAAUUUCUUGGUUUUCUCAUAGCUUAAUGAUCAUUUAUACAGGCGCUUGAACAACAACAGCCUUACUGGACCUUGCCCUCAGUCUCUUUCCAAUAUCCAAGCCCUUGUGUGAGUGUUUCCUUGCACUUGAACUUAGAAAAAACUAUGGGUUGUUGCAAGCCACAUGAGCUAUUGCUGAAAGUGAUUCUCUUUGUUUUCUAGGGAUCUCUCCUUCAACAAUUUGAGUGGUUCACUGCCCAAAAUAUCAGCAAGAACUUUCAAGUGAGCUGCUUUAUCUCCUUUUUUCUUCUUCACAUGCUCUUUAGAUUCUUAUUUUUCUCUCACUGUUUGUUGCUUUGAACUCAUUUUCUGACGUUGUUCAUUUUUCGACAAUUUCCAGAGUCAUAGGCAAUCCUCUACUGUGUGGACUUAAGGAUGCUAACAACUGUUCUGCUGUAUUUCCAGAACCCCUCUCUCUCCCUCCUGAAGGUGCUUACUGAUAUACUUGAUUGACCUCAAAAGUGAUAUACAUCAAGUUGAUCGACUCGAUCUGACCUAUCAUUCUUUUCUUGUUGGACUUCUCAGCUGAUUCAGAUUCUAAAACAAAGAGUCACCAUGUAGCCAUUGCUUUUGGUGCAAGCUUUGGUGCUGCAUUCGCCAUCAUUCUGAUCGCUGGUUUCCUUAUUUGGUGGAGAUAUAGGCAUAACAAGCAAAUUUUCUUCGAUGUGAAUGGUUAGUGUCCGGUGAAAUUCGACUUCUUUUUUCCUACUAUGAUCCUAAGAAACUUUUUUAUGAUGUUCCUCCAAUACUAAGCAACUUUUGGUUGUUGACAGAGCAAUAUGAUCCUGAAGUGAGGCUAGGCCAUUUAAGAAGAUACACCUUCAAGGAGCUUAGAAAUGCGACCGAUCACUUCAACGCCAAGAACAUACUAGGGAAAGGCGGGUUCGGAAUUGUGUACAAAGGAUGUCUGAACGAUGGGAGCAUAGUGGCUGUGAAAAGGCUGAAAGAUUACAAUGCAGUAGGUGGUGAAAUCCAGUUCCAAACCGAAGUAGAGACCAUUAGCUUGGCUGUCCAUCGCAACCUCCUUAGGCUAUCCGGUUUCUGCACGACCGAGAACGAACGUAUUCUUGUAUAUCCUUAUAUGUCGAAUGGCAGUGUUGCAUCUCGAUUAAAAGGUAAGUUUAUACAUAAACUCUUUAUGUAUGUCGAAUGGCCAUGUCUCUUCCGAAGGUGGCUCAUUCGACUUGUUGUGUUUCUGUUACAAUGUUUCAGAUUAUAUCCAUGGAAGGCCAGCUCUUGAUUGGGGAAGGAGGAAGAAGAUAGCUUUGGGGACAGCUAGAGGUUUACUUUACCUACACGAACAAUGUGACCCGAAAAUCAUUCACAGGGACGUUAAGGCAGCUAACAUAUUGUUGGAUGAAGAUUUCGAGGCAGUUGUCGGAGAUUUCGGGCUAGCAAAGCUGUUAGACCACAGGGAUUCACACGUUACCACAGCUGUACGUGGCACCGUUGGCCACAUUGCACCGGAAUACUUGUCGACCGGCCAGUCGUCAGAGAAGACCGAUGUUUUCGGUUUUGGUAUCCUCCUCCUUGAGCUAAUCACGGGACAGAAGGCACUUGAUUUCGGAAGGGCAGCACACCAGAAAGGUGUAAUGCUUGACUGGGUAAUGGUUCAACCUUCUAUUUGCUUGUCAAAGUUUGUGUCUUUGCACCGUUCCUUGUCAAAGUUUGAGUCUUUGCAUCUUCCCUCGUCAAAGUUGUCUUUGUACCUAACCCAUGAUGAAUAUUAUGUGUGGAGAACUGUUGCAUUCCAAUAACUCGAGUUGUUGGGAGAGAUUCAUAAUUAGUCUUUAUAUCAUUCCUUAAUAUUCUGAAAAUGAACCAAAUGAACCAACUUUUAUAUGUGUACACAGGUGAAGAAGCUUCACCAGGAAGGAAAGCUACAGCUAAUGGUGGACAAAGUGCUGAGAGGGAAUCUGGACCGGGUCGAAGUCGAAGAGAUGGUCCAAGUGGCGCUGUUGUGCACACAGUUCAACCCCAUCCACCGUCCGAAGAUGGCGGAGGUGUUGAAGAUGUUGGAAGGGGAUGGGUUGGCUGAGAAAUGGGAGGCAUCUCAGGACCACCUGGAAACACCAAGGUUCAUUAGAACAUGUGAAUACUCGCUUCCUAUUCAGAGAUAUUCGGACUACAUUGACGAGUCCUCGCUUGCGGUCGAAGCAAUGGAGCUGUCCGGUCCUCGAUGAUGAUGGUAGAGUGUGUUCAAAGAGAGGAAGAGUAGCAUUAAGCAUCAGGAGUUCAGGACCAUCUCUCCCAUUUUCAUUUCUGUACAAAUUCUUUAGUGGUUUUAGGGAGGUUGUGGGAAGUUAGGUGCACCAAAGAGUGUUGUAGAGGUUUGAAAAUGUGGAGAGUUGGGGUGUGAUGAUAUGAUGUUUUUUAUUAGGAAAAUUAGUGUUGAUAGUGUGUUUGUGUGUAGUGAUUCAUCUGUGAAAAGGAAAAGCUAAGUUUGAAGAGGAAAAUAUCAUGAGAAGGGCUUACUCAGCUCCAACAAGAGAAAUUAAGAUGACAGCGAAAGAAAUUUAUUUGAAUAUUGACUAAAUUUGUAAGAUUGGUCUUAAUAUAAUUUGGGAGAUACAUGAGAGUUUAUUUUGUUAUUAAAUAAACAACUCUAUUAACAUCAUACACAGACGAAGAAAGACAAGAAUUUUUCACAACAAUCACACCACCAGCCAUACAUUGUGUACUCCAUUGAAACGACAAGAUGAAAACAAACUCACAGUAAUCAUCGAUAUUUAUCUGCUAAAUGCCUUGACAAAAAGAACCAGGCAUUUUAAAGAGUCGGGAAUUGUAAAACAUAGGUUCAAGUGGAGUUGCUCCAAUGAUAAAACAGUGUGUUUGGUGAUCCGGAAGUCAUGGGUUCUAAUCCAACAUACCCCAUGAAAAUAAACAUCAAUGUAGUGUUUACUUUCCGCCUUCUAUCUUAUAUCGACCGAAAAUCUCGGUCUACUCCAAAAAAAAAUCAAUAGGUGGAUCUUAGCCCUUGCCCAUGAAACUGGAUAGUCAGCGAGAAUUGGGCCGGCUGAGUGUUUAUUCUACAAUUACUGCUCCUUCUGCCACGUGUUUCCAUUUCGUGCAUCGGCGGGAAAGUUUACUGCGUCUCCUGAUCUACCGGUUCAUCCUUUACUUUUGCUUGUUAUGACCAGAUUGCCCUCUCCCUAGAUGAGGUAUUUACAAGAGAUUUAGUUAAUUGUCCCAAAUUAUAAUCCCUUCCAUAUAUCCUACCAAUUUAGAGGUUGUUUGUUUUUCGGUGAGGACUGAAACUAAGAUUUAGAUUAACCACCAAAAAUAAAAAAUAUUACCCAAAACUAAACUAAAAGAUAAUGUAAAUUAAAAUGGAAUUUUUUUUAUUUUGAUUACCCAUAACUCACCAUAAAUAUUAAUUUUGAUAUUAUAAUGUGAUGCCUACAAAUGCAUAAUUACUUUCACAACAUAUAUUUAUUUUGACGUUCUACUAUCAACUAUUAUAAUCAUUCAUUUUUAGAUUUGAUUACUUGAUAUUAACUUAUGUUAUGCUCUAAAUUGGUGAUUGACAUUCGACAUCUUAAAUUAAAAUUUUAAAUAAUUUUCUUUAGACAUGUAAAUUUGAUGAGCUUACAUCCUCUAAAAAUCAGAAACAAUUGCAUCUUAGUUAAUUAUAUUACAUGCUAAAUAGGUUGACACAUUAAUUUGUAUUUUAACUAAUGAGAAACCAAACUUACACCAAUACAUUUUGUACCCAAAAAAAAUAUGAUAAAUAAUUAUCAGGUUUUUUAAUUUAGGAUCCAAAUUUUCCAUUUUGAAGUAAUUAGAAUCCAAAUUUUGUUAUCAGUGAUAAAAUCACAAAAUCCAAUCAAAAGUGAAGGAAACCAUCUACACUCUCCCCUCCCUUUAUAGUAAUUGCUGGAUUCACUGAAGGGCUUUGAAGUAACUUCACACAUUAACAGUUUCAUCUUCCCCAAAGUCUUUUCACAGUCCACCACCGUUUACUUCUUUCUCCCGCCGCUUCUUCUUCCUCUCACUGAACUGAACAAUCUCCCCACCAUUUCCGAUCUCGAUUAUCUCGUUUUCCCGAUCUCAGAACUUCUAGAUUUCUCCACUCACAUUUCUCCCGCUCAUAUAACGGACUCCUCUGCUAGCUGCUUGCUAGCUAAGCUUCUUCAUCCAUCCCAAGACCUCCUAUGGUGCUGGAGCAAUGGAAACCAAGAAACUCGGAUUCCAAUCUGGGUUUUCCCUCUGGAUAGCCACCACCUUCUUCCUCUUCAUCUCCGUAAUCCUCCUCACUACUUCCUUUCAGGGUCGUGUCUCCUUCCAAGGCGUCCGUGAUGUAAACUCCUCCUCUGCUUCGACGAUUGUUUCUUCAUGGCCAUUCACUAUCCCCGCUUCUUACUUCCCUGCUACUCAACCCAAAUCCACCGCUACCAACGCCUUUGGAGUCGUUCUUGGGAAAGUGAAUCUGGAUAAAAAUGGAAGCGUGGAAAGUGUUCGAGGAAAUGUCACAGAGAGUAAGAGCUUGUCUGGUGCAGGAAUUUCGAGUCGAGAUGGAAGCUCGGAAAGUGUUCGACGAAAUGUCACAGAGAGUAAGAGCUCGCCUGUUACAGGAGUUGCAGAUGCAGGGCAAGUUGGCCGAUCCAAUAAUGGAUAUGUAGAUCGAGGGGAAGAUGUGAAACAGAGCAUAGACGAAGAUUAUUACCAAAAAUGUGAUAUAUUUGAUGGGAGGUGGGAGAGGGAUGAAUCCAAGCCUUAUUACCCUGCUGGUUCUUGUCCUCAUAUUGAUAGGGAUUUCAAUUGUCAUGCCAAUGGGAGGCCUGAUUCUGGAUUUGUUAAGUGGAGAUGGCAGUCAAAUGGCUGUGACAUCCCAAGGUACUGUAUGUUUACCUGAAAUGGAAACUUCUAAUUGUUCAUUCUUUUGAUAAAAUUUGGAUUAGCUAGCUAGUUUUACUUGGUCAACGGUUGUUGGAGAUUUGAAGGUUCAUUUCCUUAUUGGUCUGUGUAUUUUUAGGUUGAAUGCGACUGAUUUCCUAGAGAGAUUAAGAGGGAAAAAGAUGGUUUUUGUGGGGGAUUCUCUGAACAGAAAUAUGUGGGAAUCUUUGGUGUGUAUACUCCGCCAUAGUAUCAGCAACAAGAAGAAAGUUCAUGAGAUAUCAGGGAAGACUGAGUUUAAGAAGAAAGGUUUCUACGCCUUCUUGUUCGAGGCAAGUUGUUGGAAAUGAAAUCACCUCACUUAUGUUAAACCACUUUAUAUGAUGUUUAAUUGUUUGAGGUGUAAUUUGCAGGACUACAACUGUACUGUGGAUUUCGUUGGCUCCCCGUUCCUCGUUCGAGAAUCAUCCUUCUCUGGUGCGAACGGUACGUUAGAGACGUUAAGGUUGGACUUGAUGGACAAGACAACUUCCAUGUACGAUGAUGCUGAUAUACUAGUUUUCAACACUGGUCACUGGUGGACUCAUGCGAAAACUUCUAAAGGGUAUGAAUGAACAAUACUCUACUUCUUGUUACCAUUUUGCAACCAUAUGAAUGUCGAAUUCGUGUUUUGUAGAGAGGACUAUUAUCAGGAAGGUGAUUAUGUGCAUAAAAGGCUCAAGGUACUUGAAGCAUAUAAGAGGGCACUUAGAACAUGGAGCAGAUGGGUUGAUCAGAGCAUAGAUACAAACAGAACCCUUGUCUUCUUCAGAGGCUAUUCAGUGACUCAUUUCAGGUAUAGAAUACUCUUGGAAUCUCAUUUUCAUCGAACACAUUCUUUUUUCUAUUCCAAGUCAUUAGUUAUCUUGUAAGAUUGGAGCUUAGCAAAGAGGUAAAGACUCAACGACAUGUUUGAAAUUCCCCGAAUUCGAGUAUUUGACACGUUUAUUAGGGGUUUGUCUUAUCUCUUGUCAAGUGCAUACGAUUCCAACAAGGAAAGCUUCGUUUGUCUUGUUCUUUUGCAGAGGUGGCCGGUGGAACUCAGGAGGACAAUGCCACAAAGAGACUGAACCGAUCUUCAACGCAACUCACUUAGCUAAGUACCCUACGAAAAUGAAAGUUUUGGAGAAUGUGCUCCAUGAGAUGAAAACUCCAGUGAUUUAUCUGAACAUAAGCAGACUCACGGAUCACAGAAAAGACGGGCACCCGUCGAUUUACAGAAUGAAAUACGAUACGCCUGAAGAACUUGCUGCAGCCGAACGAUCCCAAGAUUGCAGUCACUGGUGCCUUCCGGGAGUGCCGGAUACCUGGAAUGAGCUUCUCUAUGCCUCGAUCUUGAAGUCUGGGAUUGGAUCAACCUAGAAGAAAUGAAUCCAGGUGAUUCGCAACGGUGCAUCUACUGAAUCUUUUUCUGAAUACCGAGUCUGCUUCUACAUAAUACCAAUUCAUCUACUGAAUCUUUUCUGUUGUAACUUUUACCAAUUAGCCAUAGAGUAGCAAAAGCUUGUUGAUUGCUUAAAAGGAUGUAAAAUUUGAACGACUGGUUCUGCUAGGCUCGAAAUUGUAGAUUCUGAUACAAGAUACUUGUCUUCAGUUCCAGAGAUUCCAGAAAUGGUCAAAUGUUUGAUUCUUGUAUGCUAUUUACACUUCUACUAGCCAACUCAGUUUUACCAAUUCCAGAAAUUGAUGGAUGUUUGUAGUACUUGCAUUCAAUACGCGGCAAUAAUCGCGAUAAAUUGUCGUUUUUAACUGGUUUAACAAGACGGUACGAUGAGUAAAGCAUCGAUCUUUAUCGGUUCAACCAGGCAGUACGAUAAGUAAGAAGUACAAACAUCAAUCCUCUUAUGAUUUGGAUUUUCAGAAACAAAACAAACCAAAACAGAAACCAUACUGGUGGUUUUUGCAGAAUCAGAACAGACAUCAAAACAAACUGGAUUGCAACAUAAGAAAGCAAAAGAUAAAUGUUUUAGCCAUAAGAGGAACUCCCAUCAUGACUGGAGCCGAACUGCCUUUCUGUGACUUGCCGGUUCGCCAGCAGAAAGAUGAAACCUUUCGCCAUUAAAGGACUGGAAAAAUUUCACCUCAUCACUGAACAAACUGUUUUGAAGAAGAUAAUGAUGAUGAACAAUGGAACCCACCAAAGGCAAGGUUUGGGAACCAAUCAUCCAACACUCCAAAUCUGUUCCCCCCCACAAACAAACAACCAACUCCCCCCCAAAGGCUUCUUCUUUCUCCAUGGAUAUGGGGAUCAGAGCUUUGAUUGGAAGAACACUACCAUUUUUCCAGAUCAGGAGUGGAAUCCAAUGGGGGAGAGGGGAAGUUUGGCUCUUUGUGGCAAGAGAGCCAAAAUGGUUUGUGGGGGGUGGAGGAGCUUAGCCUAGUUAUGGAGGGGUUUAAAUAGUUUCAUUGGUUGAGAAGUGAAGGAUAAAUUUUUGGGGGUUUUUUUUUUGUUUUUUAAUCCUUUUGUAGUUAUUUGUUUUGGUGGGUUGUGGAUUUUGGAUGGAAUUAAAAACAAUGAGGUGGAUGAUCUAUAGUUAGGGAAAGUGACUAAUAAUUGGAUCUUUGUCCCCCCUACCCCUCUUGAUAAAAGCUUCCACUUUAGAGAAGUCAUUUUGAAAACCUUAGUCAUUAUGUAAUUGAUAUCAUCACCCUUAGGGUUUGUGGGAUGUGUACAAUUGUAGCACUUAGAUCAAUCCAAGAGGCAAAUAUUGGGAUUAUGUCUCAAUUUACAUGCCUAAUCUGAGUUGUUUUUCNNNNNNNNNNNNNNNNNNNNNNNNNNNNNNNNNNNNNNNNNNNNNNNNNNNNNNNNNNNNNAAUCCGGGAAAAAAACAUUCGUAUGUCAUAGAGUCUAUAAGAAUACAAUGAACGGCCUAUGAUGGAAAAUUGGAAAUAAAGUGGUAACCAAAAUGUGAAGAAUACCCAUGAUUGACUAGAGCAUCAUCAACACCUUCACGAUAAGUACGCUCAUUUGGUCUUUCAAUUAUGAGGUUCUAAGAUUUUUAUUGUUAUGACACAUAUAGAUUUUUCUAUCCACAACAUUACUUCUAAGUCAUGUUUAUCACAAGGAAUUAGAGGGAUUUAAUUGAAAUAACAUGUUGGGUUUUUCUUCAUCGAAUUUGGAACUUUUUAAUAAGAUAAAAGACAGAAAAUAGACAUUAUUAUAUGAGUUUCUAUAUAUGAGAUGUAAUUAUAUUCGAACUAAAUUCACAUUCAAUAUCGUUAACACCAAAUAUAAUCCUACUAUUUCUUCGAAAACAUCCAAUAAAAUUAGAACGGUAGAAAUAUAAUCCUACUAUUACCUGUCUCCCUCCUAACACUAUUGCCAAAGUCUCCUACUUUUCUUCAUUUCACUUAUUAAAGGGAUUCCCAUUUAAGUACUAACCCCACUCCUCACCAAAUAUGUUAUCAUGGAACAAAAAUAUGACCCACAAAGAUGUGUCCAUAAUUUGUGUGGCUACAAUCUUUAUCCACGUCCCUUUACUCCUAUUCCAUCUUCUUGAUUUCAUUUAGGGUUCGUUUGGUAUGAGGGUAUCGAGGAUCGAAAUUUUGAGGAUGCAUGAAAUUAGGAUAAUAAAUAUAUGCCGAUUAGAAGUCGUGUAUGAUGCUAGAACAAAUAUUGUUUGGUAUACUUAUAUGGUACCAUGGGGCUCGUAGUUUUCCACAGAGAAUGUUGUAGAAAUUUAGAUGCUAUCUCGAACAAAGAAAUACAAAUACAUAAUCNNNNNNNNNNNNNNNNNNNNNNNNNNNNNNNNNNNNNNNNNNNNNNNNNNNNNNNNNNNNNNNNNNNNNNNNNNNNNNNNNNNNNNNNNNNNNNNNNNNNNNNNNNNNNNNNNNNNNNNNNNNNNNNNNNNNNNNNNNNNNNNNNNNNNNNNNNNNNNNNNNNNNNNNNNNNNNNNNNNNNNNNNNNNNNNNNNNNNNNNNNNNNNNNNNNNNNNNNNNNNNNNNAUAUAAAUAUUAUCCGUUAUUAUGGCAAAAAAAACCGUUCACACCGAAUCCAAACUGUAUUUUCGAAAUUCUUUUCAAUUCCCUUUCACAAUUUGAUCUUUGAGGUCCUUUUAUUGAACACUGACAAACCGACCUACACUUUCUUUCCCCUAGUGGGGGCAUGUUGUUUAUCAUCCAAAGGAAGAGGCUCUUCUAGUCAUCAUCCAAUUGUGACUAGUGUGGUUUGAACUUUUUCUAGACAAUGCAACUGCUCUUUUGACCAGUAGAAAAUGUCGUACAAAAUCGGUUAUAUCCAGGAGAUUCCACCACGGAAAAACCAACCAGGAACAAGAUUUGUUAUAAAGAGGAUAUCGAAUAAGAGAAUCGGAAUAACCGAGCAGCACACUCAAUUUGUUUUUGAGUUCUUAAUUCUGAAUAUAAUCAUUUAAACCGUAAUUUCGUAAAUAUUCAGAAGAUCAAAAUUGACCGAUCCACCUAACUAUUUCCGACCUAGAUUUUUUUGUCCUUUUAAGGAUAUCCGAUAAAAUUAAAACGAAAGCUAGCAUCAAUCAUAUGGUCGCUUUCGAUAUUGGAUACCCUUUUAAGUACCAAAUUGUAGCCACCUAUGAAGAUUAGGUUAAAUAAUCAUGGUAAUCAUCAUCCACUUUGUUUAGUGGACACGAGAAGGUUCAAUACCAGGACAAAUCCCUUGAACAUAUUAAAUUUAUAUAAUUAAGAUCACUAAUUAGUAAUUAGUAAUGAAUUCGUACCAUUUUAGUUGGAAAUUCUCCACCCCCAAUCUUGAUUAAGUGUUUGUCGUUUAUUUCUGAUAGUGAUAUUUCUGAUUGUGAUUAGGUGACUAUAACAACGAUGGGGAUGAUGACCAUGACGAGGACAUGUUUGAAAUAUUUUCUGCUAAAUAUUUACAAUCUCGAUCAAGAUUCUCUCUAUCGUAUUAUGUUUAGUUGGCUCUAGAGAAAAUAAAAAUACAAGAGAGUAUAUGUACGACUCGAUUUUUUAUGUGCAAUUAAUUUGAUAAGUCGAAAGAGAUGAAUGUUAUCGAUAAAAUCAAUAUAAUAAUUAAAUAGAAUUUUAAUUUUUAAUUAGGCAAAAAUCUUAAGGUGGCUGAGUGGUUUAAGAAGCUGGACUCGAGUUUUGAUUCUUGAAAGAGGGCGUGGGUUCAAAUCCCAGUUUUUCUAUAAAAAACAAAGUCAUUAACUUUUUAUGGUUCGUACUCGUGUUGAUGUGAAUUCAAUCUUUCACGCCAUCUUCAUCUACUAAUUUAGAUCAUUAGUAAAAUGAAAUUUGUCUAAGCCACUUUUUUCACGUUAGAAUUGAACUUAAUUAUGAGGAACGAAUUUCAUCAUAAGCAUUUUUUAGGAUACAAAACGACAUGACCAAUUCCGUUUUAAUCUAGUUUAAUUAUGCAAUCUCAUUCUAAUAUAUAGUAUCUAACUUACUCUCCUAAUUAAAAAAUAUUAAGAAUCUCUAAUUACAUAUCUUCAUAAGCCGCGAGAGAUGAAGUCCAACGAAGAAAUCAAUACCAUAAUUAAAUUAUAUUUUAGUUCUUAAUUAAGCAAAACUUUUAGGGCGGUUGAGUGGUUUAAAAUGUCAGAUUUAAAUUUUGGUCCUCAAGAGAGAGCGAGGAUUCAAAUAGUAGUAGUUUUUUCCACCAAAAAGUUGUUAGCUUUUUACGAUUGGCAAUUUUAUUGACAUAGAUUCAUUCUUCCACACCCUCCUCAAUCAUCAUCAAGUAAUCUAAUUCACUAAUAAAAAUAAAUUUAUUUAGGCCAUAUUUUCCGAGGCGAAUUUAGUAGCAUAAUUGACGUAGGACUGGACCUAAAUCUGGCUGAGCAAUUCCACCAUACAACCACAAAGCGACAUUACCAAUUCCGUCUAAAUCCAACCUGAUUAUUGAACCUCAUUCUAAUAUAUAGUAUCUUAAUUACUCUCCUAAUUAAAAAAUGUCAUGAAUCUCUAAUUACAUAUGUACAUGCCAUAAGAUCACACAAAAAUGAAACCGGUUCCACUCUCUUUACCUACAACUCAAUAAUCAUCCAUGCCAAAUCUACAAUGAAAAAAAGAUCUCAUCUUGGAUGGAAAGAACUAUGAUCAACAGUAGCAACUGAUUCCGAAAGGCUAACAUUGAGGGCCAAUGGAUCUCUAUCCCCCAUUUCCAUGGUCUUCUCGUCGGCGAAGGGAGGAUUCGUCGGAGGAGGCAGCUGCUCUUCAGUGGUUAGCAUCUGCAGCACCUUGGACAUGACUGGUCUUAGAGAUGGACUCUCCUGGGUGCACAGAAGCGCCACGUGGACCACUCGAAGAACGUCGUUCCUGACGUUGCAGUUGUGGUGGUUGUGCAGCGUCAGGUUCGGAUCGUACAUCUCUUCGAGAUUUCCCGUGUGGAAUCGCACCCACAUCUGUUGAACAAAAUAGUUGGUCAGUAAGAAAAGUCAGUGCAGUCCGGUUUUUACUUUUCGCAUCGUUAUUCUAAUAUAAAAUGACUAAUCUAUCCCUAAUAAAAGACACUUACCAAGUUGACUAGGCUAUCUGUAUAUUCAGAGGAUUUGCUUCUGUUGUUCUGUUUCCCAGUAACAAUUUCAAGCACGAGUACUCCGAAACUGUAAACAUCUGCCUUCUCCGUCAACUGGCCGUGUGCCAGAUAUUCCGGAGCCAUAUACCCUCUGCAAAUAACUCAAUAAUUCAUGUUGACGAAUAGUAUAAAAGCCAAUCUGAAGUUAGCUUUAAGGUGAAAAAAUGAAUUUACUUACAGGGUUCCUGCAAUGACUGUGCUUAUAUGACUCUUAUCCUCCUGGAAAGACCUAGCCAAGCCAAAAUCGGCAAUCUUAGCUCGAAGCCUCGAAUCCAGCAAAAUGUUACUAGCCUUAAUGUCCCUGUGGAUGAUCCUGAUCCUGGAAUUCUCAUGAAGGUACACUAAACCUUCUGCUGUUCCGACAACCACCUCGUACCUCUUGUCCCAGCUCAUUGUCUUCCCCUUGUUUGCAUCUGUCACAUUUUAUAAAAACAAACUAUCAUCAGACCAAAAUUUUCGAAUAAUCCGAAUGAGUUUUGUCUUGUUUUUCACCAGCGUACUAACCAAAGAUGUACCGAUCGAGACUCCGGUUGGGCAGGAAUUCGUAGACAAGGAGGCUUUCGGGACCGGAACAGCUGCAACCCAAUAACCUGACAAGGUUCUUAUGUUCCACACUGCUGAUCAUGUUGACUUCGUUGAAGAAAUCUGCUACCCUGUGCUUGUUGUUGAUGAACAGCCUCUUCACAGCUAUCUCUCUUCCAUCCGGCAGAACUCCCUUGUAAACCGACCCGAACCCUCCUUGUCCAAGCUUGUUUGCUUCGUCGAAGGAUCCUGUAGCCUUCUCGAGCGUCGAAUACUUGAAGUUCAAGCUGCUGUCGUUCAAGAUUUUCACCAACUUGCUCACAUCAUUAGGACCUGAUCACAGUAGUCGAACCGGUGAGACUAACAGUUCAGAAAAGGUGGUAAACGAUCUCCUAUUCAUGACCGAACCGAUACAAUCAGACCCUAAGUUAUCAUUACCUAUUCUUUUCUUCUGAAUGUAUUUGUUCCUCCAUAUAAAGCCUCCAAUUGCUCCACCAAUUAUUAGUACCAGAACACAGCUGACAACUGCAACAACUAUCACAGCAACAGGAACUGUAAACAAAGGAAAAUUCCUUCCCAUUAGUCAACAAAAUUUUCCAAUCAUUUCAAGGUCAGAUUCGCCAUUUAGAAAAAUGUUCCACAGGAAAGUUGAAUUGAAGAUCGUUUAAGAAACUUGUGUCUAGCAUGUGGAAGGAAAGUUGAAUAGAGUGAUAUAACAGAUUUCACUUGAAAUCGUAUUUUCUAGGAAUCAUGUAUAUUUCUUAGUUCAACUAAUUUUUUCGCAAACCCUCUCAAGCUCAACUCAACUUUUUUCUAUCAAUUCAAAUUUCAUAAGAAACAUGAUUCGAGAUGCUAAAUCUUAUCGUAAAAUCACACGCUGUUCUCCGAUUCUCACCUCUAGAACUUCGAUUUCCAGACUCGCUGUUGAGAAAAUCCCUAUCAGAAUACCUAACAAAACACCCUGUAUUCAAAGCUCUCCCUUCCGUACUAGGCAAGCAACCAAUCAAGGACUCCUGAGCAUUCUCCAAACACAACCUGCAAGCACUGGAAUUCAAAUUCCUCCAGCAAUUCGCCAGCACGAAAACCAACGACGACGACGAACCAUUAUUCCCUUCCCCGAAAACCGCCUCCCUCGUCCUGGAAUACCCUCCAUUCCCCGGCGCACUCGCCACCACAUUCGACAGAGCUCGUCUCACCGAAUCCUGAAACGAUGUUGCCGUUGCAUUCCUUCCUCCGCCGCCUCCACAAACGGCUUGGUCUUGAGCGCCGGAGUACUCGCCGUAGAAGCUGUAGUUCUCGGCCCUCAUGAAGCAGCCGUCGAGGAAGAUCCUCCCUCCGUUGUAAGGGUAGCACUGCGGCAAGAUGGUGCGCGCCUCAGCAUAGCAGAGCACGCAGUCGAGCAACGACAGAUCUCCGUAGCAUUGCGCCAGCCCAAAAUUCCUGUUAGGCCCUGGAUCCCCUGCUACCGCUGCUCCGAACCCCGAGGUUCGCAUCUGGUCGCUGAUGUUGUCCAUCGCCGCGACGAAAUUGGGCACGUAGAUCGUCCCGUUCUCCUCCAGCUGACUGUUACAGGUAACGUUGACCGUCUGUGCUCUGGCGUCUCCUCUUGCCGUUUGUUGCCGGAGCGUUGCAGCUAGGAAGAAGAAGAUGAUUAUGAUGAUCUCUGUUUUGCUCCUCAUUCUUUCACGGGGGAAGUGGUGGUAAUUCAAAUCAGUUAAGAACCCAAAUCGAAAAAUCAUCAAAUUCAUGGUGGGUAAUUAGUAGUAAUUUAAAUCAGAUCAAAAAGCUCUUACCUUUGAGGUUGCUCUGUUUUUGGCUCGAUCUUGAAACAGAGCAUGUAAUGAAAGUCAGAAAUGGUUGCUGCUGCUGCUGCUGUUUUCUGAAUUACCCACCUGAUCGGCUACCUAAUUACGAUACUGGAAUUCAAUGGAAGUGAUUAUUAGUCAAAGAAAUGGAUGCAAUUGGAUUAUCAUGGAGGGUGGUUGAAGAAAAUUAAACGGCAAGGAUGAUGGACGUAAUCAGCCUUGUUGGGAAACAGAGACGUCAGAGACGAAAUGUUAUUAUUUAUUUGUUUAUUUACAGUUGAAGAAGAUGGGAAUGCGGCUGGAGUCAGGCUGUUGAUUUUGACUUUUGUUUUUUUUCUUCCAUUUGUACGGUUCUCUGCUCUGACUUCACUGUGCAUGUUGGACGAUCAUCUUUCUGGAAUUUCUCGUUGAUUUGAGUUUAAAUCAUGGGCGGUCACUUAAGUUUAGGUAGAUAACAUUUUGGUCACUCUUUGUUUUGAAACAAAUUCAUAACUCAAAUUUGAUGGUAACAAAUCAAUUAUUUUAUCAACGUCUAAAUGAACUCCGUCCAAAAUUUGACGUGGCUGACAGAAUGAAUAAAAUAAUCAUUAAAGAUACCAUCUCAGUUGGUUCUAAAUCUCUAAACCAAACGAACCCGAAACCAAACCAUUACAACCAAACUCAGAAAAUUACCCAAUCAAGAUGGAGGGAAAUCCUUGAACAUGAUUAUUUAUUGCAGAAUCUACACUUCCUAUCUUCUCCAUAUCUUCAAAUUAAAAUUGGUGGAAAUAUUGAUUCGUUACAUCUAAAAUCUUAAAAAUCAUGAAUUGGUUAAAAAAAACUUCAAUGGUCGAAAUGUUACUCAUCCAAAACUUGAGUGAAUAUCUCUCUUACUUGAUUGUUCAUGUUGGAUGAUCAUUUUUCUGGAAUUGGGGUUAUAAACAUCGACAAUCAUUCAAGUUUCGAAUAAACAAUAUUUUGCUCACAUAAGUUUGGACUAGAUAACGUUUCGGCCAUUAAUUGAGUGACAACUCAUAUGGUACCUUAAAUGAUUAUUUUAUUAAUUAUUUAAUUUGUUAUGAAUUUUGGACAGAUUUUAGGAUGGACGUUGGUGGAAGCAUUGAUUCGUUAUCAUCCAAAAACUUAAACCAUGAAAUUCGUUAAAAAACAUUCAAUGAUAGAAAUGUUACUUACCCAAUUCCGAAUUACACAGACGUUUGUUUUUGCAAAACUCAGUAACUAAAAACAACAAAUCUGUAGCAAGUAAAUCCGACGUCUCAUGCAUGCCUCUCUACUCCAUGAUCAUGGAUGAUUAUUCGACCAGCCGACCAUCCAGAACUCGAUACGACAAUGGAAAACGUCAUCGUAGAACGGAUUGAAGUUUGCGUUUAGUGGGCAGUAAUCCAGUUCAGGUUUCCUGACGGAGAAAUAAUUUUUAGCAACUAGGAGACAGGUUUGGCACUGAUUGGCGUCGAGGGUAUAGCAAGUAGCCAUUCCCUUGACGGCUCCGGCAGCCUUCUCAGGCGGAUCCCAAGCUGCGUAUCGAUUUCCGAUGUCCAAGUGCAAGAGUGUUUGCUCCACCAGAUAAUCCAGCACAGCUUUCAAACGUUCAGGGAAGUUGGUGCAGUCGGGAGAAGCCGCCGUUGCAUUGCUGAUGAAGCAGAACAUGUCCAGCACGAUGAUGAUCAGGGAAUGUCGCGAGUAGUACUGCGCAGCCAUGUCGAUUGAUUUCGAGGAGAAUGGUGAAUUGAGAAGGGUGCAGGUUGGUUGAUGUAUAUAUAGAGUUGUGGUGAUUUUUUUUGUAGGAAUCUUAACAUGAUUAAUGUAGGAACAAAAACUAGUUAUAAUUAGUUGAGUUGUGAAGGACUCUGUUCUUGUAAUUUGUCGCCUACUUACUAUUCCCAUUGUUUGAGGAAGUUCUAAUUGGAGUUUUGUUUUCAAGCUUUCACUGUGGAUGGCUGCUUAUGAUUAUUCUCUGCUCAGUAGUUCAUACUAGAAGGUAAUUGACUAAUUGUUGUGUUAUUAUUGAAAUUUGAACGUUGCUCUUAUGAUUAAAUGAGCAAUUUGAAUGUUGUUAUAGAGUAUCUCUGUUGGACUAAUAGAAUUUGUGUAGGGUUGUGAAUCGUGAUUGAGUGCGUUGAUCGAUAUCUCUAAACUAGGUGGAUCGGAUCUUGAUUUAUCUCAAAAGGAUGGUGUACGAGUUAGUUAAUAUAUUCUAAGUGUGUGAGUGAGUAUAGAGUAGGGAGAAUGAGAAGAUAAGGAUGACUGACCUCAACAGAGGCCGUUGAGUGGCUUUGCCCUCGUGGCGGCUUGGUGUCAUUGAUGGAGCUAGAAAUUUAGCCAAGAUGGUUUGAAAUUCACACCUAAUAAUAUGUGGUGGGAAAUAAUUAGAAAUCUAAGCUAAAAUUUUUAUAGUCGAAAGCACAUAUAUCUCUCCUAACAACAACAAUCCAAACUUUUAAAAAAUAUAUUUUUAAUUUCAUUUGGCUAUUAUUUGAAGAGUUUAACAUAGUGAAACCUCAAUUUUUAGUCAUUCUCAACAUGCAUGUCAAAUAUUAAUCAAUUUGAAAAUUUUUAAUUUUCAUGUCAAAAAUUGACCAAUUUUCGUGUGUUAUACUAUGGAAAUUCCAAAACUUUCAAAUCGACUAAUAUUUGACAUAUAUGUUGGAAAUGACUAAAAAAUCAAGUUUCAGUAUGGUAACCUCUUUAAGUAAUAACCAAAUAAAGUUACAAAUCAAUUUUACUUCGUGUUAUGUUAAUGUUGAAAAUUUUCAAAUUGACUUACUUUUUGCAUGCAUGUGGUGGUAAAAAAGUUAACAUGAUGGAACCUUAAUUUUCUAAAACAUAAAAACUCUAACUUUUGAAAAUAAUUAAAAAGAAUAGAUUUUAAACCUCAAAAAAUAAAAUCUAAACUUUUAACACUAUAUCUUAAAUUCCGAAUACAAAUUUACAACCUCCAAACUCUUAUUUUUAAACACAAAAUAUAACAAAAUUAUAGUAUAGAGGACACCGAUACUUGUAAGUACCAGAAUGUUACUCAUAUAUAAAUAUUCCUAUUACUUAUUUAAUGUAUGAGGUUGAUAAUAUGAUUAUGAUUAAAAUUAUUAACUACGAACUGUAUAAAAAAUAGCUAGUAAUUACACUAAUUAUACUCCUUCACAAUUAGUGGUAAGAUUGGUACAUAUGAAAAUUUUAAAGAAUUUUUAUUUGUAAUAAAUAAGUUUUAUUUAUAAGUUUCGGGUUCAACCGAACCUCUCCAUCAUUAAUAACUCCGCCAUUGCCUCGUGCCAAGGCCUCAUGUGGAGUCUCCUGGUGGUGGGAUGUCUAGCGUUGGUGACAGUUCGUCUAGACAGGAUGCUUGGUGCGCGGAUCGACAGGUGGCGGCUGACUUGGCGGGCCGAUCGCCUGGUACUAGUGGUGGUACUGGGACGCUUAUACCCAAGUCGCCUGGUGACGAACUAUGAGCAUAUCUUAGUGGCUUCCAAGUGGUAUGUCCAGAGUGAGGUGUGCCCCCUUGAUCUUUUGUAGAGUCUUAGGGUAAGAAAUGAAAUGAUCUCAGACGUCCGUUUAAUCAAUGGUGGAGAUGCAUUUGCAAACCCUUGAUGAGUCCUGGACUUUCAUGGGCCAAUAUACAAACUAAAUGACAAUUACUCUGAACUACAAGCCAAUUAGAUAACUUUUAUCUUUCUAUAGUUCUCAACUGAGAUGAUCAUAUCAAGAUAGCAGAUAUACAUACAUAAAUGUUCUUGGCAUGUUCAAGUCUCAUGAUCUAUGACGAACCACCGAAGUUGCAACUAGAUUAAGAUUGUAAUUGGGAUCAUCAAACUUGGGUGGCUUUAGAUGGACGAGUUGAUUUACUUGCAACUCGACCAAAGUCGUCGCAGGAGCUUUCAGGCUACAAGUUCAGGCGACAACGACGAGCCAUUACCAGCAGUCGGCACAGUACCGGAACCCAAUCUCCGACCACGCUCCCUCCUGCUGUUGUCAGCAAACUUGACGCUAGCCUGAUGCAGCCCUCUCUGCUUCUCCUCCGAGCUCCAUUCUGCCAUAUAGUAAUCCUCUUCUGUCGCCACUUUGCUCGAAGACGGCCCACGGAACAUCCCUCCCCACUGUGGGAAGUGUAUCAAAGUUAUUGGCAGACUGCAGCAUAUGAUCAUAACUCCCAUCAGCAUGAUUCCUUUCUCCUUGGAGUAUCUUGAGCCUCUGAAGAAGAUCAAUUGGGUUAACACUGCUCCCACGUUGCCUCCUCCUCCUGUCAUCCCUGAGAUCAAGCCUAACGACCUGCCAAAUUGAUUUCGAAAGAAGAAUUAAUUAUAUUAAAUUUGUUAACAGUAAUAAGAAUGAUUGCAAAAUAUUAAAUAAUUGUGUCCAAUUAAUAAUUUUCAAGGUGCAAUCGGUGGGUUCGAUCCGGUUCUAACAACACUUGUAAAAACAGAGUAAAAAACAGAGUAAAAUCAGAGUGAAAACAGAAUAAUAACAGAGAUAAACAGAGUAAGAAACUGAGCAAAACAGAGUAAUAAAAGAGUAAAGACAGAGUAAAGACAGAGUAAUUACAGAGUAAAGACAGAUUAAAAACAGAGGAAAACUGAGCAAUUCGCUUACCUUCUGGACACGAAAGGAACGACGCCGAAAGUGAGGCCACAAGCAGCUUGGCAGAAGAAAGAGAAGCAUAUCAUAACAACAAUGGAGCCAGUCAAUGAAUCAACUAAGCCAAGGGCUACACACAGAACACCACCCAAAGUCUGAACAAUCCAAAGCGUCCAGAGUCGUCCUCUCAUUCCAAACCUCUUCGCCACCACAUCGGAGAGAAUCCCACCGCCAGGUCUCGACACUAAAUUCGCCAACCCGAAGCUUGCAGCGAUAAUCCCGGCCGUGUGGAGCUUCAAAUUGAACCGAUCGUAGAAGUACUCGGCGAUCACGUUGUCUAUCGUCAGUUCGACACCGAAGCAGUACCCGUACGUCAGGGCCAGGAUCCAGCCUCUGUAGUUGGUGAGUCCGUUGCGGAGGAUGUCGGCCAACUUGUCCUUGGUCUUAUCGCCAGAGGAUUCUAGGCGGCGGAAGUUCCCGUCUGGGAGGUCCUGGCCGAAUAUCAGGACGGCAAAUGCGGACAGGGUUUGGAACAAGGCGGGAAUGAAGAACGCGAUUCGCCAGGCGGUGAAUUUGGUGGCUCCGAUGUCCCGGAUUAGGCCGAAGACGAGCGGCAUUAUGAGCUGGGUUGCCCCUCCGCCAAGAUUACCCCACCCGCCGGCGACUCCAUUGGAAGUUCCGACCACUGGAGAGGAGAACAUCGAGCUCAUCCAGUACUGGGUCGAGACGAAUGUCGCCAGAGAGAAACCGGUGAAGAACCUAUGAUAGUCAAAAGUCAAAGUCAGCAUCAUAAUCUAAACGACAACUUUACAGAAAAUGAAGACACUUUGAAGAUUUUCGCUUGGCUUUGGUGUCCGGAAAGUUGAAUGGAAGUUUGAUCAUUUUAUUGUUUGGACAGAAAAAUUGAUUCCGACGAACAUUUCACCGACCAAACCAAAACUACCUGACGAGGAGGAAGGAAGCAGGGGACGAUGCCAUAGGGGUGAAGUAGACAGCAGGAGCCGUGAGCAAAGUAAGCGCCGCUGAGGCAAGACGAGGGCCGAACAUGUCGCAUGCGGUUCCCAUCAUCACACGGGCGAAAACAGCACCGGACACAGAAGCAAUGCCAGCAUUUCCGAUGUCGGAGGCCGUCAGGUUGAGGUUGUCGCGGAUGAUCGGAAGCAGAGGAGGGGCGGCAAAUGUGGAGACAAAGCACGCGAAGAACGACACCCACGAGAGAUGGAAGGCUCUCAUGUGCGGAGCCGCAAAUGAAUAGACUACGAAUUUGGUGGCUUUGUGCUCCGAGUCGACCGGCAGAGCAAAUUUGGCCGUCGUCGAAGCUGAAUUGGGUUCCAUUUCCAUGGCUGCCAAUAAAAAACAGAGGACUAAUUUGGGUAGCUAGCCGGUGGUGGGUUGGAUCGGAAUGUUUUGUGUUUAAUGAGGGUAGUGGGUGUAUUUAUUAACUUCAAAGUCUCACCAAGGUAAGGGGCAGAGUGGCUCUUUGGAGGAACAGAGUGUGAGACUGACCGCCGAGUCUCAGAGUACAGAGAGAUGAACGGAAUCUCAAAUCUGUACCUCCGAAAGUCUACUGAGGAUUUUGGAUUUCUACGCAUUUGACAGAGAUGGCUUUGGGAGUAUAGACCAAUUGGAGAUUGUGAAACUUUUGACUUUUCAUUAGAUUAUUUGGGGGUCUGAAUUCCUGACAGUGGGAUAUUCAUUUAGAUACUUUUUAUUAUUUGUUUAACUUAGGAUACUUAAAAUUUAAUUAACCACUUGUUUAUUAUAUUUUGGUUUAUUAUUUGGUUUGUAUCAUGGGUUGUUGUGUUAGGAAUGAUAUAUUUGUAAACAAGUAACAAAUUGAUGAACCAAUUGAUCUCUCAAGAACAUCAAUAAAUUCUGUUUAAGAAUAAUCAAUUCAAGAACUUCGAGAAUAAAAGAUCAAAAGAGUGUUUCCGGGUAUUUACUUUUUUUUGUUAAUUUUUUAUUCAAAAUUAUUGAUUCAGAGGAGGGAGAAAAAGGGAUUGAUCUCGAACAUGAAUAAAAAUGAAGAAAAAUAUGGGUAACGUAACAUAAAACCCACGAUUACGGUGAAUACGGCUGCCAUGUAUCUUGAUGGUUCAGCCCCUAAAAAAAUCGUGACAUUGGUAAUUGCUUCUGAAUUAAAGCUAGUCUGAUUCAUUGCAAUUUUUGUUGGAUCAUCGUUUUAGGUGCCAUAGUCAUUUUUAACACUCUUGUUCAACAAUUAAAAUGUAGUUUUUUGGAAUCAAUGUAUUCAAAUUUAUAACCUUGCACCGAUCAUCAAAUAGACCAUGGACUAAAGGGCCAAGUUUUUAGCCAUCUCCAAUAUGCUUAUCAAAUAUCAGCCAAUUUAAAAUUUUUGAAAUUUUCUUGUCAAAAGGGCCCAUUUUCAUAGGUUAACCCCUUUCGAAAAUUUUGACAUGAAAAUUUUAUUUUGAAAUGGCCGAGUUUACUAGGACUUUAUUUGAUUUUUAACUUCAUUUGCCCAUUAUUUACAGGGUUUAUCAUAAUGAAUCUUCAUUUUUAGUCAUUUUCAACAUGUAUGUAAAAUAAUAGCCUAUUUGAAAAUUUUGAAACUUUCAUGUGAAAAUGGCUCAUUUCCAUAGGUUAACCCCUUUGGAAAUUGACCAUUUUGACAUGAAAAUUAAUUUUUUUAAAAUUCGCGAAUAUUUGCCAUGCUUAUUGGUUAGAACUAACAAUUAAGGUUCCACUAUGUUAGACCCUUCAAAUAAUAACCAAAUCAAGUUAAAAACAUUUUUGAACAUGCUAAAAUAAAACCGAGUAAAUUUGAGUUUUAACUUCGUUUGACCAUUGUAUACAGGGUCCACCAUAAUGACACUUGAGUUUUGAGCCAUUUUGAACAUGCAUAUCAAAUAUUAGUCGAUUUGAAAAUUUUCAAAUUUGCAUGUCAAAAUGGCUCAUUUCCAUAGGUUAACCCCUUUGGAAAUUGACAAUUUUGACAUGAAAAUUAAUUUUUUUAAAAUUCGCGAAUAUUUGCCAUGCUUAUUGGUUAGAACUAACAAUUAAGGUUCCACUAUGUUAGACCCUUCAAAUAAUAACCAAAUCAAGUUAAAAACAUUUUUGAACAUGCUAAAAUAAAACCGAGUAAAUUUGAGUUUUAACUUCGUUUGACCAUUGUAUACAGGGUCCACCAUAAUGACACUUGAGUUUUGAGCCAUUUUGAACAUGCAUAUCAAAUAUUAGUCGAUUUGAAAAUUUUCAAAUUUGCAUGUCAAAAUGGCUCAUUUCCAUAGGUUAACCCCUUUGGAAAUUGACAAUUUUGACAUGAAAAUUAAUUUUUUUAAAAUUCGCGAAUAUUUGCCAUGCUUAUUGGUUAGAACUAACAAUUAAGGUUCCACUAUGUUAGACCCUUCAAAUAAUAACCAAAUCAAGUUAAAAACAUUUUUGAACAUGCUAAAAUAAAACCGAGUAAAUUUGAGUUUUAACUUCGUUUGACCAUUGUAUACAGGGUCCACCAUAAUGACACUUGAGUUUUGAGCCAUUUUGAACAUGCAUAUCAAAUAUUAGUCGAUUUGAAAAUUUUCAAAUUUGCAUGUCAAAAUGGCUCAUUUCCAUAGGUUAACCCCUUUGGAAAUUGACAAUUUUGACAUGAAAAUUAAUUUUUUUAAAAUUCGCGAAUAUUUGCCAUGCUUAUUGGUUAGAACUAACAAUUAAGGUUCCACUAUGUUAGACCCUUCAAAUAAUAACCAAAUCAAGUUAAAAACAUUUUUGAACAUGCUAAAAUAAAACCGAGUAAAUUUGAGUUUUAACUUCGUUUGACCAUUGUAUACAGGGUCCACCAUAAUGACCCCUUCAUUUGACCAUUAUUUUUAGAGGUACCAUAACGAAACAUGGCCUUUUAGCCAUCUCCAACAUAUUUGUCCAAUAUUAGCCAAUUUAAAUUUUUUGAAAUUUUCAUGUCAAAACGUCCCAUUUCCAUAGCUUAACACCUUUCGACCAUUUUUACAUGAAAAUUUUAAGUUGAAAUGGCCGAGUUUACUAGGGCUUUAUUUGAUUUUUAACUUCAUUUGCCCAUUAUUUACAGGGUUUAUCAUAGUAAAUCUUCAUUUUUAGUCAUUUCCAACAUAUAUGUAAAAUAUUAGCAGUUUUGAAAAUUUUGAAAUUUUCAUUUCAAAUGGCUCAUUUCCAUAGGUGUUACCUUUGGUAAUUGACUAUUUUGACAUGAAAACUAAAUAAUUUCAAAUGAGCUAAUAUUUGGCGUGCACGUUGAGAAUGGCAAAAAAUUAAGGUUUUACCAUGUUAAGCCCUCAAGUAAUAGAUAAAUGAAAUUACAAAAAAUAUNNNNNNNNNNNNNNNNNNNNNNNNNNNNNNNNNNNNNNNNNNNNNNNNNNNNNNNNNNNNNNNNNNNNNNNNNNNNNNNNNNNNNNNNNNNNNNNNNNNNNNNNNNNNNNNNNNNNNNNNNNNNNNNNNNNNNNNNNNNNNNNNNNNNNNNNNNNNNNNNNNNNNNNNNNNNNNNNNNNNNNNNNNNNNNNNNNNNNNNNNNNNNNNNNNNNNNNNNNNNNNNNNNNNNNNNNNNNNNNNNNNNNNNNNNNNNNNNNNNNNNNNNNNNNNNNNNNNNNNNNNNNNNNNNNNNNNNNNNNNNNNNNNNNNNNNNNNNNNNNNNNNNNNNNNNNNNNNNNNNNNNNNNNNNNNNNNNNNNNNNNNNNNNNNNNNNNNNNNNNNNNNNNNNNNNNNNNNNNNNNNNNNNNNNNNNNNNNNNNNNNNNNNNNNNNNNNNNNNNNNNNNNNNNNNNNNNNNNNNNNNNNNNNNNNNNNNNNNNNNNNNNNNNNNNNNNNNNNNNNNNNNNNNNNNNNNNNNNNNNNNNNNNNNNNNNNNNNNNNNNNNNNNNNNNNNNNNNNNNNNNNNNNNNNNNNNNNNNNNNNNNNNNNNNNNNNNNNNNNNNNNNNNNNNNNNNNNNNNNNNNNNNNNNNNNNNNNNNNNNNNNNNNNNNNNNNNNNNNNNNNNNNNNNNNNNNNNNNNNNNNNNNNNNNNNNNNNNNNNNNNNNNNNNNNNNNNNNNNNNNNNNNNNNNNNNNNNNNNNNNNNNNNNNNNNNNNNNNNNNNNNNNNNNNNNNNNNNNNNNNNNNNNNNNNNNNNNNNNNNNNNNNNNNNNNNNNNNNNNNNNNNNNNNNNNNNNNNNNNNNNNNNNNNNNNNNNNNNNNNNNNNNNNNNNNNNNNNNNNNNNNNNNNNNNNNNNNNNNNNNNNNNNNNNNNNNNNNNNNNNNNNNNNNNNNNNNNNNNNNNNNNNNNNNNNNNNNNNNNNNNNNNNNNNNNNNNNNNNNNNNNNNNNNNNNNNNNNNNNNNNNNNNNNNNNNNNNNNNNNNNNNNNNNNNNNNNNNNNNNNNNNNNNNNNNNNNNNNNNNNNNNNNNNNNNNNNNNNNNNNNNNNNNNNNNNNNNNNNNNNNNNNNNNNNNNNNNNNNNNNNNNNNNNNNNNNNNNNNNNNNNNNNNNNNNNNNNNNNNNNNNNNNNNNNNNNNNNNNNNNNNNNNNNNNNNNNNNNNNNNNNNNNNNNNNNNNNNNNNNNNNNNNNNNNNNNNNNNNNNNNNNNNNNNNNNNNNNNNNNNNNNNNNNNNNNNNNNNNNNNNNNNNNNNNNNNNNNNNNNNNNNNNNNNNNNNNNNNNNNNNNNNNNNNNNNNNNNNNNNNNNNNNNNNNNNNNNNNNNNNNNNNNNNNNNNNNNNNNNNNNNNNNNNNNNNNNNNNNNNNNNNNNNNNNNNNNNNNNNNNNNNNNNNNNNNNNNNNNNNNNNNNNNNNNNNNNNNNNNNNNNNNNNNNNNNNNNNNNNNNNNNNNNNNNNNNNNNNNNNNNNNNNNNNNNNNNNNNNNNNNNNNNNNNNNNNNNNNNNNNNNNNNNNNNNNNNNNNNNNNNNNNNNNNNNNNNNNNNNNNNNNNNNNNNNNNNNNNNNNNNNNNNNNNNNNNNNNNNNNNNNNNNNNNNNNNNNNNNNNNNNNNNNNNNNNNNNNNNNNNNNNNNNNNNNNNNNNNNNNNNNNNNNNNNNNNNNNNNNNNNNNNNNNNNNNNNNNNNNNNNNNNNNNNNNNNNNNNNNNNNNNNNNNNNNNNNNNNNNNNNNNNNNNNNNNNNNNNNNNNNNNNNNNNNNNNNNNNNNNNNNNNNNNNNNNNNNNNNNNNNNNNNNNNNNNNNNNNNNNNNNNNNNNNNNNNNNNNNNNNNNNNNNNNNNNNNNNNNNNNNNNNNNNNNNNNNNNNNNNNNNNNNNNNNNNNNNNNNNNNNNNNNNNNNNNNNNNNNNNNNNNNNNNNNNNNNNNNNNNNNNNNNNNNNNNNNNNNNNNNNNNNNNNNNNNNNNNNNNNNNNNNNNNNNNNNNNNNNNNNNNNNNNNNNNNNNNNNNNNNNNNNNNNNNNNNNNNNNNNNNNNNNNNNNNNNNNNNNNNNNNNNNNNNNNNNNNNNNNNNNNNNNNNNNNNNNNNNNNNNNNNNNNNNNNNNNNNNNNNNNNNNNNNNNNNNNNNNNNNNNNNNNNNNNNNNNNNNNNNNNNNNNNNNNNNNNNNNNNNNNNNNNNNNNNNNNNNNNNNNNNNNNNNNNNNNNNNNNNNNNNNNNNNNNNNNNNNNNNNNNNNNNNNNNNNNNNNNNNNNNNNNNNNNNNNNNNNNNNNNNNNNNNNNNNNNNNNNNNNNNNNNNNNNNNNNNNNNNNNNNNNNNNNNNNNNNNNNNNNNNNNNNNNNNNNNNNNNNNNNNNNNNNNNNNNNNNNNNNNNNNNNNNNNNNNNNNNNNNNNNNNNNNNNNNNNNNNNNNNNNNNNNNNNNNNNNNNNNNNNNNNNNNNNNNNNNNNNNNNNNNNNNNNNNNNNNNNNNNNNNNNNNNNNNNNNNNNNNNNNNNNNNNNNNNNNNNNNNNNNNNNNNNNNNNNNNNNNNNNNNNNNNNNNNNNNNNNNNNNNNNNNNNNNNNNNNNNNNNNNNNNNNNNNNNNNNNNNNNNNNNNNNNNNNNNNNNNNNNNNNNNNNNNNNNNNNNNNNNNNNNNNNNNNNNNNNNNNNNNNNNNNNNNNNNNNNNNNNNNNNNNNNNNNNNNNNNNNNNNNNNNNNNNNNNNNNNNNNNNNNNNNNNNNNNNNNNNNNNNNNNNNNNNNNNNNNNNNNNNNNNNNNNNNNNNNNNNNNNNNNNNNNNNNNNNNNNNNNNNNNNNNNNNNNNNNNNNNNNNNNNNNNNNNNNNNNNNNNNNNNNNNNNNNNNNNNNNNNNNNNNNNNNNNNNNNNNNNNNNNNNNNNNNNNNNNNNNNNNNNNNNNNNNNNNNNNNNNNNNNNNNNNNNNNNNNNNNNNNNNNNNNNNNNNNNNNNNNNNNNNNNNNNNNNNNNNNNNNNNNNNNNNNNNNNNNNNNNNNNNNNNNNNNNNNNNNNNNNNNNNNNNNNNNNNNNNNNNNNNNNNNNNNNNNNNNNNNNNNNNNNNNNNNNNNNNNNNNNNNNNNNNNNNNNNNNNNNNNNNNNNNNNNNNNNNNNNNNNNNNNNNNNNNNNNNNNNNNNNNNNNNNNNNNNNNNNNNNNNNNNNNNNNNNNNNNNNNNNNNNNNNNNNNNNNNNNNNNNNNNNNNNNNNNNNNNNNNNNNNNNNNNNNNNNNNNNNNNNNNNNNNNNNNNNNNNNNNNNNNNNNNNNNNNNNNNNNNNNNNNNNNNNNNNNNNNNNNNNNNNNNNNNNNNNNNNNNNNNNNNNNNNNNNNNNNNNNNNNNNNNNNNNNNNNNNNNNNNNNNNNNNNNNNNNNNNNNNNNNNNNNNNNNNNNNNNNNNNNNNNNNNNNNNNNNNNNNNNNNNNNNNNNNNNNNNNNNNNNNNNNNNNNNNNNNNNNNNNNNNNNNNNNNNNNNNNNNNNNNNNNNNNNNNNNNNNNNNNNNNNNNNNNNNNNNNNNNNNNNNNNNNNNNNNNNNNNNNNNNNNNNNNNNNNNNNNNNNNNNNNNNNNNNNNNNNNNNNNNNNNNNNNNNNNNNNNNNNNNNNNNNNNNNNNNNNNNNNNNNNNNNNNNNNNNNNNNNNNNNNNNNNNNNNNNNNNNNNNNNNNNNNNNNNNNNNNNNNNNNNNNNNNNNNNNNNNNNNNNNNNNNNNNNNNNNNNNNNNNNNNNNNNNNNNNNNNNNNAUGAUGGCUUUAUUUGGAGUUUACUAGUGUUUUAUUUGAAUUUACUGGGCUUUUUUUAUUUUUAAUUUUGUUUGGCCAUUAUUUUCCGGAGUUAUCAUAUUGAAACUUAAUUUUUAGUCUUUUUCAAUAUGUAUAUCAAAUUUGUUUUGUAGUUGCUGUUUUAUAUUUGCUGCGAUUUUUCCAUGAUGUGGUUUACAUGGAUAAUAAAAAGUUGACUCUAUUAAAUUUGUGAAAUACAUAUUGAAUCCCAAAAGCAAAGCCAUUGUAGACUCUUUGCCACAUUCAAUGGCCACAGACAUGCAAACUCAACCCCAGUAGUACAUUAUAGACUGUGUGAUUCUACUUGGGUCCAAUAUUACAAUAUUACAAUAGCCAUGUCCGAGCCGAUUUGAACUCACCACUCUUUAAUCAAAUAUAGUGUCAAUAACAAUACUAACUAUUGCCAGGAUUUGAGCUCACCACUCUUCAAUCAAUCAUGCACAUGUCCGAGCCGGUCACAUUGCAGUUACCUCCUUCUUUCGAACCCAAAAGGAGCCUUCUUUUAUAGAGAUAAGCCUUGAUAAAACUUCGCCCAUGCCAACUCUCUCUUCUGGGAUAUCCGAAGAACAAGCGAUGCCGAUUUCUAGAAUGGAACUCAUAAGUUCCUCUAGGGCUUUUCUUGCUUUCUCUAAACUGUCGGUGGUGUGGCUGCGAUGGAUUAUUAAGUAAUGAAGUAGUUCAUUGAGUAGAAUUGGAUCCACAACUUCAGAUGAACAUUGUUUUGACAAAGCGCUCCUAACGAACUUAUGAAGGCUUAAACCGUCUUUAAAAGUUUCAUCGGUUGGUCUCCUUCCAGUAAAUAACUCAAGCAGAAGGAUACCAUAACUAUAGACAUCGCCUUGCAUUGAAAUUUCAUUUCCCGUUCCAUAUUCUAUAAAAGAGAUCAAUAAAAAAGGAAAACAAGCAAUGAGAAGAUAGAGAUAAUUAAAAUAUUUCUAAUAUGUAAGAAAUCACUUUAUUAUUUUUAAUUACCUGGAGGUGCAUAGCCAAUUGUUCCUUUUAUACCGAUUGUAGUUGAAGAUGGAUUUUCAACCAUUGUAAGAAAUUUUGCCAAUCCAAAAUCACCAACAUGAGCCACCAUAUUCUCAUCAAGAAGGACAUUGCUUGGCUUGAGAUCACAAUGAACAAUUGAAAUUUCGCAAUGGUUGUGAAGAUAAUCCACUGCGAAAGCUAUAUCAAUGACAAUGUUUAUCCUCUGAAUGAAGUUUAAACUCCUUGUUGUAGGCUCAUUUACUUUUUCAAUCGGCCAAUGGAGCCAGUCUUCUAAACUUCCAUUAGCCAAAAAUUCGUAGAUGAGUGCCUUGAAAUCAUUUCCUUCAUUAUCAAUGCUUGAACAUGCAGAUAUUAUUCUCACAAGAUUUUUGUGUCUAAUGUUCUUCAAUGUUUCACAUUCUGCCAUAAAACUCUUAGAAGCUCCACGACGCUGAAGGUUGAAUACUUUCACAGCAAUAUUGGUACCAAUUUCAUAAAUCUCAUCAAUGACACCCUUAUACACCGAGCCAAAGCUGCCUAUACCAAUCUGAUUUGUCGAUGAAAAACCAUUCGUAGCUUUGUAGAGCAUUUGGUAAGACAAUUGUAAUAAUUGUGGAUCAUUUGUUGCUACCGGCUCUUCUCUUCCUCUUUUCUUAAUGAACGAGAUGAAUAAGCAAGAACCAAUGGAAGUAAGAAAAAGUAGACUAGAAAUUGUUGAAAUAACAAUCUUCCACUUAACACUUAAUCUCUUGCUUGAGUGUCUCGUUAAGUUACAUGAUGGAAGUUUAAGUGGAGCAAUUCCCCCACAAAGCUUGCUAUUCCCGACUACUGAAAUGAUAGUAAUAUUUUUGAAUACUCCUUGAGUAGGCACUUCAUCUUCAAAAUUGUUAUACGACAGAUUCAAAAGUCGUAAAAUAUUCAUGAGCUCCAAAAACUUUGGAAUUUGACCAGAUAAAUUAUUGACAGAAAAAUCGAGCACUUGAAUACCUCUCAGGGAACUCAAAGAAGAAGGAAUUUUUCCUUGUAGGAGAUUGUCUUGCAAGUAUAGAGCCUCUAGACUUAUACAGCUACCCAAACUAGUUGGGAUGCUGCCUGACAACAUGUUAUAAGAUAGAUUUAAAAUACCCAAGUUUUUUAGAUUCCCCACCUCGAUGGGAAGGGCACCUGUGAACUGAUUGCGGGACAAGUCUAAGACAGUUGACAAGGAGGCAAGACUGAAGAUUUGUGGGGGGAUGACACCAUUGAGAUUGUUGCUAUGAAGACUCAAUCGUAAUAAUCCCUCACAACUGUGAAUAGAAGUAGGAAUUUCUCCACGUAAACUGUUAUUGCUAAUAUCCAGUUCAAUCAAUUUCGUCAAAUUUCCCACAGAAACCGGAAUAAACCCAGAAAGUUUGUUGUUCUGCAAUUGCAACGACUUUAGAGACUUGAGGUUUCCAAUGUUGGAUGGAAUCGUACCUGCCAAAUUAUUGUUACUUCCCCAAAGCAAUUCUAAGUUGACAAGGUAUUGCAUUCCGCUUGGAAUAUUUCCCGAUAUGUUGUUGUCGUUGAAUCUCAGAUCCUUGAGAUCGCUUGACAGGUUGCCAAUAUUCAGCGGUAAGCUGCCUCCAAAAUUAUUGGCUUGAAUCUCCAGACUUUCCAAACUAGUGGCAUUGGUCAAAGAAGAGAGGAAGUCCAAAUC
rnacentral:lncRNA from 1 species